GAGGCUUCUUGGGUGAGAGAGGCGACGAGUCGACACAGAGGAGGUAGAGAAGGGGCGCAGGAAGGAAUGGAGCAGGGAGGAGGUGGUGGUGGAGGAGGGGAGGAGGAGGAGGAGGGAAGAAGACGAAACCCUAGCGAGCGCCAUUCCAAACGAUGCUCCCGGCUGAGUUGCGGGAAGCUGCUGCGGAUAGGGGAUCGGAUCGGAUGGACUGGGUCCGACCGUCCGAGAGCCAGUUUGUUGGGCUCAUGGGCUAGAGCCUGCUCUUCUGGUGCAGAAGCAUGGAAAAGGCCUAAGGCCUGUUUGUUAGGUUGCAUCUUUUUUUUUUUUGAACAUCGGCAAGUAUUAUUAGGUAAGUAGCAUGUCCUUUACAAUAAAUGGGAUCAGGAAGUCUGGAGGUUUAUCAUGCCACACCCCAUAUUCCUGUCCCUCAAAACUAAAACGAGCAAGCUCAUGGGCACACCCAUUAGCUUCAUGCACACAAUGACUUACAGUCACCCUGCGAAAAGAACUUAUCAACUUUCGACAAUCGUCGGUAAUCGCUGCUCCCGACGCCCGAUACUCGAACGGAUUCUGUAUAGCCUGCACAAUCUCCAUAGAAUCGCUCUCGAUAUUGAUAUCGAGAAUACCCACCCCUCGGCAAGUCGUAAACCUAGUAGCAAAGUUAAUGCCUCCAUCGUAGGAGCAUAAGAGCAUGUUGCCUGAAUUCCACCGCUGCAGCAAUAAACCCUCAUUUGAAGUCCCGUAGAAUUGCACCACAUGAACCACCCCUCUGUCCACAUGGUAUGGCGUGUCCACGUUCAAUUUUAUACAUCCCGAUGCCGGCCUAGACCAGCAAAUAUCCCUCUGAGGAACUGUCUUCUUCUCGGCACACCAAUUGGCAACAAUCCCUCUAAUUUGUAAGGCAGAUCGUGUCGGGGUUGCAACCUCCUCAUCAUGUGAAAUCUGUCGCCGUUCCCACCAUAUAUACCAACAUGCAACAAGGAUCAGCUCCACCGCAUUAUCUCCAGGAACUUGCACCCCCCCCCCUUGUAACUUUGAGCACAAAAUCUCAUCCAAAAUCAGUGAUCCUGACCUGUACUGCGACGCGACAGCUGUCACACAAUCUCUGAGACCUAAUUCUUCCCAUACCUCUGAAGCUCUUUGGCAAAUGAAAAGCAUGUGUAUGAGGGCUUCUGGGUCAAUUUUACACACAAAGGCAAGUUACCGGCGUCUUUAUAAGCCUGUUCGCAAAAGUACAAUAACAAGGCACAAUAUCGUGCAGCGUCCUCCAAAUAAAAGUAAGCACCUUGGGAGGGGCCUCGUCUCCCAAGGUAUUUUCCAAACCGGAUGAGAAUCACUUCUUCCUCCUCCUGUUACAAUCCCAACUCUGAUUCUGUAUUCUGCCUUCCACUCUGCAUGAUAUGCUGAUCUCACUGUGAUGCAACCAGACUUACAAAAUUGCCAAGCAAUGAAAUCCUGUUGAUCUUGAGAUGAAAGUGGAAUUUGUAAAAUUCUUGAAACAUCAAUAGGCCAGAAAUUAUCUUGUAUAAGUUGUACAUCCCAUUCACCCGUGGUAGGGUCAAUUAGAUCAUGUACCGUCUCUAGUAGACAAUGACCCCUAGGAGAUAGAGCACGCCGAUCGUAGGCUCAAGGUAUUCAAAGAUCAGGCCAUUUUUUUAUAGAAGCCCCAUUACCUGGUCUCCAAAUGGCACCCCUCUUGAGGGUCUUUAGACCAGACAUGAUACUACGCCACGUAAAAGAAGAUCUUUUUUAAGUACAGCAGCAAAAGAAAUCCCCAUCUGAAUAAUACUUAGCUCGUAGCACCUGAGCACAUAAUGACUCAGGUUCAGACAAAAGUCUCCAACACUGCUUAGCAAGCAUAGCCUGGUUAAAACAAUGUAGAUCGCGAAAACCCAUGCCUCCUUGUUUUUUUGUAUACACAUUUUCCAUUAAGCUUUCCAAUGCAUUUUUCUUUGGUCCUCGGAGCCGCCCCACCAGUACCUCGCUAUUGCAUUACAAAUACCUUUGCAAAUUUUCUUAGGCAAAAUGAAAAUUGACAUUGCAUACACUGGUAUAGACUGUGUCACUGAUUUUAGCAGUGUUUCCUUUCCACUAGUUGAUAGCAUCCUAGCAUUCCACCCGUCAAUAAGAGCCCAAACUCUAUCAACAAGAUGUUGAAAACAAUCGCUACAAUCAACACCCACAUGUGAGGGUAAAACGAGAUAUUUAUCCGUCAUUGCCUCAACCAUAAUAUUAAGUUGGGAACACAAUUGUUCUCUUACCUCCACUCUAGUAUUGGGACUAAAAAAGAUACUAGAUUUGGCAUCACUUACCAAUUGGCCAUAGCUGCCAUAGUACAUGUCAAGUGCACUCCGGAGGGACGUGGCAUUCGACGUAUCCGCUCUCAUCAAGAUCAGAGAAUCAUCAGCAAAAAGCAGGUGUGAAACUGAUGGUGCCCCGCGACACACUCUAAUCCAUUGGAUACCACCGACCUCCUCCUCGUGCGCUAACAGACUAGAAAGUCCUUCAAACAAAUCAAGAACAAGUAGGGUGACAGGGGGUCUCCCUAUCGUAAGCCUCUGGUGGGUGUAAAAAUCUCUGUCUCUUCCGAAUUAAACCAAACCCUAUUCACACUGGUUACACAUGCCAUAAUCAUCUCCACCCAGGCAUCAUCAAAACCAAGCUUGAUCAUCAUAUCACGAAGAAAGCCCCACUCCACUCGGUCAUACGCUUUAUGCAUAUUUAGCUUCACUGCACACAUCCCACUCUUACCUUGUCGAUGGUUCUUAAUUGCAUGAAAACACUUCGUAAGCAACUAACACAUUGCCAGUAAUGAGUCGCCCCGGCACAAAAGCACUAUGAGUCAAAGAAUAAUGUCUGGAAGCAGCCCUUUUAAUCUAUUAGCAAGAACCUUAGCGAUUACCUUGUAAACAACGUUACAAAGGCUGAUCGGCCGGAACUGGGUAAUGAGUUCCGGCCCUUCCACCUUUGGGAUUAAAAUCACCGUUGUGUCAUUCCAACCCUCGGGGAUAACUCUUGAAUUAAGCACCAUCAAUAUCUCACCUGUGAUUUAUUCACCAACCACAUCCGAAAACUUUUUAUAAAACACUGCAUGAAGGCCAUCAGUACGAGGAGCUUUAUAGUCACCUAUGCUGAACAUAGCUUUUUUCACCUCCUCCACCGUAUAAGGCUUCAACAAAUUUUCAUUCAUUACCUCUGUAACACGAGGUUUCACACGAUCCAACAAAUUUACAUUCGUUCCUCCAACCUCAGAAGUGAAUAGGCGAGAGAAAUAAUUUGAUAUUAGCUCCUUGAGCUCAUCCUUUGUUUGAUGCCACACACCCAUGUCAUCUUUCAGUUUGAGGAUACCAUUUUUCUUCCUUCUUGCACGUGCACAAUUCUGGAAAUAGGCCAACCAAACCCGGCGAUGCAAAUUUGGUGUGUUUACUUUUUUUUGAAAGGAUAAAAGAGUUUUAUCUUAAAAUAUUAGGGUUACAAUCUAGAGGCAAUAUUCCUCAAUGGAUCUCUAUGUAGCUGGACUUGGCUCGUUGGAAACACUCAUUUUUUUUUCAGAGCCACGAUCCAGCGAGCCACGUGUGUGUCGUGUCUCACCUGCACAUGUGGGGAAGCCUAAAGAUGAUGGUAAGCGUGUGUAUCCAUAAUUAGAUUCGUGAUAGCAAAUUAUGAGAUUAACAUUUUGGCAAUGAUACAUUUGUCCAAGCUUCAAUGUUGUCGCUCCACCAUCAAAGAUAAUGAUACCAUGGCUGCAACAUGUGAAGCUAUUGUUAUCAGUCUUGUACCAUGAAAUUAUUCCUACUAUUUAUAGCGGAGCCCUUUGUGAUGAGGGAAUUUUUAAAACUAUUAUAAAUGUAAUAAUUAACACAAUGAUAUUCCUAAAUGCUUUUGUGCUCAUAUUCGGCUAGAAAUUGUUCGAAACAACAAAGUGUUAGUAAUUCAGCAAACAAUUUCUAUCUAAGGACAGUACUAACAUUUCAACGCACAAGUCAAUACCUCCACCGUCAAAGAUGAUGAUACCAUGGCUGCAAUAUAUGAAGCUAUUGUUAUCAGUCUUGUAUCAUGAGAUUAUUCCUACCAUUGGUAGUUGACCCCCUUUGUGGUGAGGGGUGUUAGUAAUAAGCAACUUGUAUUACCAUGAGGCCAUAGGCCGAUAUAUAUACAUGUACAGGUGAUGGACUAUAUGCAGGAAAACCCCUUAUAUAUUGGGAUAAAUACAAAAGGGUACAUGACUUGUAUUAUAACUCUAACAAGGGGAUCUUUUAAAACUAUUAUUACAAAUGUAAUAGUUAACACUAUGAUAUUCCCAAAUUGCUUUCAUGCUCAUAUUCAGUUAGAAAUUGUUCGAAACAACAAACUGUUAAGCAAAAAAGUUUAUGUUUAAGGGCGGAACCGACAUUUCAAUCCACAAUCUCUUACUGCAAUCUCAGAAAAGAACUGAAUGGCAGAUUCUAUGAAAAGUUUUCCAGAAAGAACUAGCCCUAAAUAUGGUAGUGGAAAUCACCUACUGAAUAGAAUAUGAUUUUUUAUACGAUCUACUACCUCUAUUCCUAAAUAUUUGUUGUUGGAAGAACUAGUUCUCCCCAACAACAAAUAUUAUGGAACAGAGGGAGUACUUUGCAUGCAAUUCUACAUGAAAAUUGUCAUCUGAGUCGAAUAGUACAGAAUUUUAUUUCUUUAAAUUGAUGUCUAUGGCAUGCACAUAAUCUUUUAAAAAAAAAUCAUGUGCGUUUUCUCUGGCACAACCAAACAACACAUAUUGUAAUUAUGCAUUCCUUCUGUUUCUAUAGACGUCAUGUCAUGAAAUCCAAUCCAACACAUACUGCACUGGUCUGGCUUAUUGCUUUGUGUACUAUUCAACAACAUAUUGUCAAAAAAGAAAGAAUUUACAGCAAACAACAUUGUAUACAUUAUUUACGUUGUGAACACCUGUUGGUCCAUAUCAGCUUAUUCAGUUUUAUAGGCGUAAUUUAGAGAAGACAGUCCAUGAAUUCAGCAUGCAUCAAAUUCCCUAUUUUCUGCGCAGAUCAGCAUCUUCGACUGUACACUUCAACAAUGAUUAUUGUAAACCGUGCAAACGACAGGAAGCAACAAAUGCACCUGUAUUUGGCUGCCCCAUCUGUAAUAGUUUCACAUUUAAGGGGCUACGUCCUCAUCGGUGUCUGAAGGUGUAUAGUCAUUCGCUCCCGGAAGAUAGAGCAUUUGCUUCGAUCCAGUCGAAAGCAAGUGGACUGAGGAAAGCAUCAGGGAUUCCGAAAGAACCGACAAUAGCAAGCGCAUGGGGCCUGAGUUCACUGCACAGUAUCAUGACUUCUUUCCUCACGGUGACUACAUUGUCCCGCGACAAAUAACCAUAUCUCAGAAAAGAUGCAGAUUCAUCUAUGCACACCAUAACAUACAUAGACCUCAGUAAGCCCAAUACAUCCUGCGAGUGACAAAUUCAAGGUGUGAUGAAGAUAACUUUUACAAGAAAAAGAAUCACAAAUCAUUCUGAUGCUUUCAACUGUUGUUGAGAAGUGAGUAUACCUUUAAAGAACCAGCAGGAGCAUUCAUCUCGUCCUCCAAAAAUAUUUGCAAAAUUGUGCGCUCGGUAAAUGCUCUAGCUAAGUCUUCAGCAAUUUGGUAGCUCUGGGUGAAUGUCAUUCACGUCAAUCUUAAUGGACAUUCAGAUCAGCAAGAAAACGAGCACUAGAAAGUAAAAUUUACCAGCAUCAGAGCCUUUUCUCUGCUUUCCCCUUGUGCCAGAUAGCGAGAUACCUCGUCUGUGAACUGUUUCAGCAAAUCCCGCUCCCUCAAGCAGAACAAAUCCAUCUAGCCAUAUGCACAUAGCCAACAUAAAGACAGGAUUUAUCCCACGACAAUAUAUUUAUUUUAAAAGGCAGCCCGGUACACGUAACUCCCACUUGCGCAGGGUCCGGGGACGGGUCCCGACCACUCUGGGUCUUCUGUACGCAGCCUUUGCCCACAUUUCUGCAAGAGGCUGUUUCCAGGACUCGAACAAAGAAAUCUUAUCACUAACGAACUGCAAUAUUUACCUGGAACUUGGAGCUCCUUAAUAUGUCACUUGUCAGACUACGGGGAACAACUGGGCAAGGACCAUUCAGAUGUUCCAAUCCCAAUCCCUUGAAUGGCUUCUUCUUCCUUUGUGUCGUUAAAAAUUCGGCAUACAGGGCUUUGCUUACCUGCGUCAACAAGAUUAAAUUAGGUACAACAAAGCCAAGCUUGAAGUAUCUUCAAGACACAUGCAUGAACGAUGAACAACAAUAAAUAAAAAUAACCUGCUGGAGUAGAACAUUAUUGUCACCCUCAAAUGUAGAUUGAACAUCAAAUUCGGCUUUAAAAAUUCCAACGCGAUUCUCGGUCUUUAAACCUUGGCCACCACAGGCCUCACGACACUCCUAACGGAAGAGAAGGAAAGUCCAGUGAAAACCACUGAUCCAAAUAUAGAAAAACAAUGCUGAUAACCCUUUUAACAAACCUGAAGCGUGGUCAUAUUCUGCCAGGUCAAUGUAGCUUUCAGAGCACUAGAGUAAACAUGUAUCGCUUUACUAAUUUCAGGUGUUCUUUUCACAUACAUAUUUUUCAUAAAAUUACUAGCACUGCUCAUCAUACAUCUGCAUAAUAAAAAAGGAAGUAUUUAGCAUAUGAUGGUCUGUGCUAAGUAGCAGUGAAAACAUUGGCAAAAAAGGAAGGUUUGCAUUGGAGAGUCCAAUUAGGGGUGCAAAUUUCUGAGGAUUAGGGUACCCUCCAGCCCACUUUUGUUCAAUCCAAUGAACUAAAAGUUCCAAAAACUGAUGUGAUUUUGGAAAUUUAGUUCAUUUGGUGGAAGGUACCCUACAGAUUAUGCAUUUGCAUCCCUAAGUCCAAUUACACUGUCUGGAAUAUUUUUGCAUCGAAAUGCUAAUAUAUCCUAUAGUUCCAUAAAAAUGAUUAUAGAUUUGGCAUUUCAUAACUAGAACACAAAAAUAUAAUCCAUUGCCACAUAGAUUAGAGCAGUAACGUUAAACGAUUAGCAAGACAUAGAAAUAGGCGAGCUAGCACAACAAAUUCAAUAUGCAAGAACUACCCUUUUAUGAGAAUGAGCAUAUUGAUUUGACUGAAAGUACUAUAAACCAAGACGAGCUAGUAUCAUACACUUUUGCGAGUAAAGGUAGGAGGCGCCUCUGGUGACUGGGAUAAUCAAGUAACAGCAUUUCAGGACCAUCUGGUGUAAUUGAAAAUGCCCUCCUUGACAAAGCAUACCUCACGGCAAUUGCUAGGCCUACCUGUAAGCAUGGGAAAGAAAGAGUGCACAACCAGAGUUAAAAUUAUAUGUUAGGCAUGGAAAAUUGAUCGAAAGCUAAUUCUUCUGGGUGACUAUUACUGACUACUUGCUUAUUGCUGGCACUAUCUGGCCUGUACUAGGCCAAAUGUAUUCCUCAAAACAAAAAUGUCAUGAUGUUCCACUGUUGGCUGGUAAAAAGCUGAAAACAGCUGGUUCCAUCAACACAUGGUCAAUGUUCACAUUUCAACCAAACUUAUCUGGGUGAUAAAAUAUUCAGACUCGUAACCUGUCCCUGUCCAUAUAGAUGAUAUCCCCUUUCGUUUGAGCCAGACAGAUCACCAGACUAGCUUCACUAACUCCCACUGGUUUGACCUAACGAGUCCAAUUUUAAUCGUCUUAUUUCUGCAAGCUUAUGGAGUUAAAUAUGUUAAGCUUCAUGCAUUAGACAACGCAACCAAAAGUCCAAACUAUGGGAGAGGGUCGGAGAUUAUGCUCCCCCUCACGGCUAUGCUCCUUUGAAGUUUAUGAGCGGAGCAGACCACAAUUAUUUAUUGCGUUUACUUAGCGUUUAGUGGGUUUUGAACCCUGAACCUCUUGGUUGUAAGUUUAUGCACCUAACCAAUUCAUCCAUCAGUCCGAACAGAUAAAAAGGGCUAGACAAUUCACAUAUACACUUCAACACCCCUCUCACGUGUGACACGGAAAGUCAACACGUGGAUAGACUCACAGGAAUGGCUCAAGAGGCGUAUACGUGGACAUAAAGGGGGGCAAUAGCAAUUUUUUUGAUAAAUUGUCAAAGCCAGGAGUUGAACUCAAGACCUUAGCUCUGAUACCAUGUUAAACUUCAUGCACUAGCCAACACAACCAAAAUUGCGAACUAUGGGAGAAGGCCGGACAUUAUACUCCAACAAUAUAUAUAUACCUAUGGAACUCAUGAAGAAAAAUAUGGAAUAACCUCCAUGCAUUUACUCAAAAGGAAAGGCCACCCAACAUACCUUUGAAAUAUAAACCGCGUUAACUGCAAUAUUUACCCGACCAAGAGUAAGAGGAGACAAAAAUGCUGCAAACCUCUGCAAAUAAGAAACUUUGUUAAUUUGGAAGUAAGAAACCAAGGUAGCAAACUGUGAAGCUCUGCUGACAGCUCUCCCCUCUUCUCACUGUACAUGUGUGGGAGAGAAAGAAAUGGUGGAUAGGUGGGGUCUGGUACCUGAUCUGGGUUAUCUAUCAUGCUAACAUAUUUCCCAUCUGGCAAAACAUCAGCAACCAGAUUCAGCAAAUUCUCUCGAGGAACACGUAUAUUGUUAAACCUGAAAGGACAGUCAAACUUCGUUGACACACAAUGAAUGCCAUACGGAUACAGUACACCAAAGGAUCUACAAAUACAAUGACUCACCAAAUCCGACCAUUAUCAACACCAUUUAGUCCAAUCUUAUGGCCACAGUCAGCUAUAUGGAUAUUAGGCAACACAUUUUCAUCUUGAUCCCUGAUCUGAGCUAUGAAAGCAUGGACUCCUUCAUUUCUUCCAUUUAUAUGGAGCUGAGCAAAGACGAUUGUAUGUGUAGCAUGCUGUAAAAGGACAUAAACAAUUAUAGUAGCUUAUAAAGAAAUGUGAAGCCUAUAUGUACACAGGAAGGUAAGUGAAAUUUCAUCUCACAUUAGCAGCUCCACCAAUCCAGUACUUCUGAGCUGACUCACAGGGAGUAUUUAUCACAAACUCUCCUGUUUUGGAAUCAUAAGUUGCUACUGUCUCAAUUCCUCGUACCUUCAAGUUCGUCAAUAGAAGAGAAGAAGGAAAGCUUAAUCAAUGCAACUAACAUAGGUUACACAAUCAAGAAAAGACAUUACCACCACUUACAUUGCUCCCAUGACCCAAUUCUGUCAUUGCAAAACAACCUUUGAUAAUAUAGUUUUCUGUGUCCAACAACCAUUUGUCAUGAUGGCGCUUCGUUCCAAGAAACUUGACAGCACCUCCCCUUAAAUGCACACAUAAAAAUAGGUAAACAUCAGAAGAUUCUCAAUGAAAGGUGAAACCUGUUUCUUCCAGAACAUCCCAGAAACCACAAGAAAAUCUUUGAAAUUAUAAUUCUAGUUUUCUGGACAAGAUUGCUUGUCACAUACUAGCAUACAACCCUACAAAAUUGAUAACCAAAACCAUAUCCCUAGAUCAUCACAAAAGAGGACAAUAAUGAAAAAGAAAGCACUAAAGUUUGAACCAAAAUAGGUGUGAUCUUCAGUUUUCAUCACUAUUUCUGACACCAUGUUCACCUUAAGUUGUGCGCUAAAUAUCCUAGAUUUAAAACUAUUCAAAGAUAUCUAACAAAUAGAACAGAACGAAAAAUCCAAAUUUUGGCACAAUUUACAACCGUCGGGCAAACACGAAAUUUUAGAAUGCUACGUGACAGGCUUCCAAGUUCCAAUAGCCAAUGGUAGCACCAUUUCCCAGGGUGCAAAUCCAAUUAUCUAAAUUGGAAAUAAGGAGCAAUUCCUCAUUGGUAGCAAACGAUUAUCCAUUAAGUGGAGGAAAUAUUAACAAAAAGGAAAAGGUUUAUACUCCUUUGUCUUAAAAGAACGGACUAGCGUGGUUAGCUACUUAGCCAGCUAUCAUAAUCAAGUGCCGCCAUAGUGUCACUGUAUCUGUAUAGCUAACUCUUACUGUGAAAAGAGCUACGGUAUACACAUUAAAAGGGCCUCAUCUGGAGCUCAAGAUAUUCCAUUCUAUAUGUUUUCUCUGAUGAUCACAUGCUCGGGAUUUUGGAUGAUUGCGGGGUUGAUUCUUCUUGUGUGGGCUCCUCUGUUGAUCUUCUUUCUCUCAUUCAACCGAAGGAGCUGGCGCAAGCUGCCUUAGCAGAGGCAGCUACAAUGUGGAAGUAGGGGCUUCCUUUCCGGUUCAAUGGUGUGGUGGCUAGGGCUGCUGCUCUUUGCUCUCCUCGCCGUACUAGCACGGCGAGGCGCGUGGCCAAAUCUUAGAAAUCGUAUUAUCCAGAUGAGGUACCUGUUCUGAAAUAUCCGUGGGUUUGGCCAUGUUGGUAGGAAGACACAACUAGUACCCUUUCUGAAACAUCCUUGAGUUUUGUCAUGUUGGUAGGAACACACAACUGAAAGAGUACAUGCGCAAUGAAUCGAUUGACAUUGUUGCUCUGCAAGAGCCAAUUAAGUCUGAUUUUAGGCAUCACUAUUUUCUCUCCAUUGACACUAGAACACUUGGUUUGGCGUUGCACUCUGGUGAGCUACUUCUUGGCUAUAAUCGUGAUCGCUGUGACGUAGUUUCCUGGGAUGAGGAUGUCUUUCUUCCUUUAUGCUCAUAUUAGAUAUCGUUCUUCUCUGCGUGAAUGAGUGGUGAUGGUUGUGUAUGGGCCGUCAGACACCCGUUCCAUGGAUUUGUUGUCGCGGUUCACCUGCCCAUUGUGGUGGGCGGUGAUUUUAAUUUGAUUCGUUACGGUGCGGACCGUAAUAACAACGCCAUCUAUUAGUUGUGUGUGGCACUUUUUAACAAUGCAAUCGUGGCCAUGGCGGGAAGUGGCUAGAUCGGGGGCAUGGUACACUUGGACUAGACUAACAAGCAGCUCGCUCCGGUCCGUAGCAUUCUCGACCGUGUGUUUGUGUCCUCUGAGUGGGAGAUGUUGUUCCCCCUAUGGAACCUUAUCGCUGAAACUCGCAUAGGUUCAGAUCAUAUCCCGCUUGUUCUGUCUUCUGGGGAGGAUCGUUUGCGGCAUAGUCCUAGAUUCUUCUUUGAAACAGCUUGGUUUGAAGUGGAUCGCUUCAACCAGAUGUUCUUAGAUGAGUGGGAUGCGGCCCUUGCCGGGUUUGGUUCGCAGCGUGCCCCCCCCCCUCGGGACAAGUCGGUUGCUUUAUGCGGUUUCGUGGGUUGCUGCGAGAAUGGAGAGCCAACCGGGGGCACGACGGAAAGCUGCUCGGGGCUAACCUGGUCUCAGAACUGUCUGCCCUGGAUGUCCAGGCUGAUCAGAGACAACUUCUAUCCAUUAUACGCUCUUAGGAGGAGUACUGGCAUCGUAGGGAUGGGAUGAAGUGGCGAUGCAAACACCGGCUCUCCAUGCCUAUGCUAAUGGUCGUCGUCGCAAGUGUGUGAUCCUGCACUUGCAAUCGAAGCAACGGCUCCUUCUUAGCCAGGGCCAUCCAGCUUAUGGGUUCCGAGGAGCCUAAGUUGGCAGGUAUGCGUCACGAUUUGUGGGAUUAGACACAGCGUAUUUCCUCACAAGAGAAUGAGGAGCUAUCGCUCUCGUUUUUGCCCAAAGAAAUCAAUGACGCGCUCUGUGCAAUGGACUUGGACACUGCUCCAGGCCCUGAUAGUUUGCCUGUUGCGAUGUUCCGUAGGUUCUGACCUGCUCUGAAAGGCAUCUUUUUUGCCAUUUUUAACGGGUUUGCGUUAUGAACCAUAGAUAUCUCUCGCCUCAACUUUUGUUAUUCUCUCGCCAAUCCCGAAAGUGCAAGGUGUAAACAAUAUCCGUCAGUUUUAGGCCGAUUGCUCCCAACAAUGUCCCUUACCUUCUAAAACUAUGCGUCAAAGCAUGUGAUUCCCGUAUGGCUCCGAUACUACAUAGGGUUAUUCAUAGAUGCCAUUCUGCGUUUGUCAGGGUCCGUUUCAUCCUGGAGGGCCCCAUUGUGCUCCAGGAGAUUGCUCAUGAGCUUAAACUCACAAAACAACGAGCGAUUCUCCUUAAACUGGACUUUGAUUAGGCCUAUGACCGGGUUAACCAGGUCUUCUUGCGGGAAGUGCUGCUUUGUAAUGGCUUCGCGGCAGGGUAGGUGCACCAGGUCUUGCAGCCCUUUCUACUAUGUUUGACAUGGCCAAACUAGCAGGUCACAUCAAAGGGGUUAUGGCCCACUUUAUCCAUGUGGGGGUGGGNNNNNNNNNNNNNNNNNNNNNNNNNNNNNNNNNNNNNNNNNNNNNNNNNNNNNNNNNNNNNNNNNNNNNNNNNNNNNNNNNNNNNNNNNNNNNNNNNNNNNNNNNNNNNNNNNNNNNNNNNNNNNNNNNNNNNNNNNNNNNNNNNNNGGGGGUUGCAAGUGCAAUAUGCAGACAACACGAUCCUGCUUUUUGAGCCGAAUCAGCAUAGCAUCCGCCGCUGUUAAUUUGCUGCUGCUUUGUUUCGAGUUGAUCUCCAGCCUGAAAAUUAGUUUCCACAAGUGCGAGGUGGUGUACAUGGGGUUGGACAUCGCUGAGGGUAGGAGGGUUGCAGACCUUCUCAAUUGCAAGUUACCCAAUUUCCCCAUUUCUUACCUGGGUCUCCCAGUCUCCACCAAAAACAUUUCCAUAGAGGAGUCGGGAACCUUUAUGUGCUAAAAUGGCGAGCAGGGUUUGCCCGUGAUAGCAAAUUUAUGUCUUCUGGGGCUGAUCCUUACCAAUUCUAGCUUGUCUUCGCUGCCCAUGUUUACCAUGGGUAUUUUCCUCCUAGCUGAUGAGGUUCAUGCUAGGCUGGACUCGCCUAGUUCCAGGUUCUUUUGAGAAGGAGCUGGUUCCAAGCAUAAACAUCACAUGGUCAAAUGGGCGGCAAUAUGCUACCCAAAGAACCAGGGAGGGCUAGGGGUGAUAAACUCCAAACUCAUGAACGUAGCUCUCCUUUCCAAGUGGAUCUGAAAACUUUACCAAAAUGCUUUGGGGCUUUGGCCGGAUUUUCUUAAAGCCAAACAUGUUCCCAAAGGAUCCUUCUCCGAGUCUGCUGCCCGCGGCUCGCCGUUCUGGAAUGGGAUCGAAGUGGCUUUUGCCUUGGGGGCUAAAUUUGAUGUUAACAACGGUGAUCAAUUCGUUUUUGGUUCGACUCGUGGUCGUGCGUGGAUAUUCAGCAGCUUUGGAUGGAGUUCCAGGCCCUGUUUUUGCUUGAGGUUGAGCCAAACAUUUUGGUGGCAGAGGCUUUGCGUUCCUCACCACCGGUCAUUGCCUUUCGCCGUGAGCUCCCCCCCAUCGAGUGUGGCAGCUGGGGCUUGCCGUGUGCUAAGGUGGGUUCGAUUAGCUUGAAUAACAAUCCUGAUAAAGUGUGAUGGCACCUCUCUUCCUUGGGGCAGUUAUCGUUUAAAUCGUUGUAUGCCAAACUUACCAAGGGCCCUGUUUUGAAUGUAGCCAGGGAGCUUUGGAAAGCCAGAGUUCCCCUUAAAGUCAAGAUUAUCUUAUGGCAAAUGUUCCAUAAUCGUCUCCCUAACCCGGUCAUGUUGCCCUACCCCGGUCAAUGUUGCCAAGCGCAAUGGACCUUCCGAGGGCCAAUUUCCUGUGCGUUCAGUAUAGGAGGAUGCCAAGCACACAUUCUUUUGCUGUCAUUUAGCUAAAUUUGCUUGGAUUGCUGUUAGUGAGGCCAUGGGGGUGAGCUGGAACCCUGCUUCUUGUGCCGAUUUGCUUACUUGCUUAUCUUCUGUGCAUGGUUCUUCUAAACGUGUGAUGUGAAGCUGUGUUGGGGCAUUCCUUUGGUCACUUUUGGCAUUUCCAUAACAAGAUAACGAUCGAGGGGGUGUUUCCGUCGCACCCAGCUGACUGAAUCGUUAAAUGCAUCCUGUUUUUGCAGGAACGGGCUCGGCUGGGGAGGCGUCAAGACGCUAACUAAGCUCCGUCAGAUCAACAGUAUCGCCAGGUCUUCACAUGUCGCCUCUUAGGGUAAUUGCGACUUUUGGUGUGCCGAGCCUGCGUGCUCUGUUCGGGCUGAUGGACCCGUAAGCUGACUAUUUCUAUCUGGUUGUGUGAACCUUUUCGUAUGACUAUUUCUAUCUGGUUGUGUGAAGCUUUUCGUACCGUCUGUUCUAUGUACUCUGCCUGUUGUGUGGGCUUCGUUCUACAUACUGUAUUUUGCGAAUCAAUCCCAAUGUGUCUUAAAUGUGUUGAUUUGAAAUAUUUUGCAUGAAAGAAUACAUGAAGUUUGAUGGCGAGGGGAAGUGUCAAUGAAGUAGGUACCAGAGGAAGAAGUGGACGCCGACCUUGAUGGCGAGGGAGUGGUCGUAGACGCCGAGGCACUCGAGCAGCGCGAGCUUGCGAAGCUCGGCGUCGGGCCCUGGCUCCGUGAGCCAGCCACGGAACACGCCCCUGCGCGCGAGGUACCCGAUCCGUCGCAUGGUGGCCUCCCUCUGCCCCUCCUUCCCCUCGUUGUAGUCCGGCGACACGAACACCUUGUCGCCGGCGCGGCGGGGGCAGAAGAGCGGGCUCUCCUCCAUCGCGCCGUACGCCCAGUCGCGCUCCCUCAGGUGGUGCCCGUCGAGGAGCGCGCGGAGCUCCAUCGGCGCGAACGCCGGCGGGGCCUCGGACGAUUCCGGGGGCGCGUAGCUCAGGCACGGGGAGAAGUGCAGCCCCGCCACGGCGGCGGCGGCACCGGGGGGGAGGCCAGCGAGGUGGCGGGCGAUCGCCGCCGCGCGGCGGGCAGCUGCGGUGGGAGAAGCGUCCAUCAGCGUCACGCGUCUGGAAUUGGUUGGCGAGUCAACGAGGAUUGGUGGGUUGGAUUGGGAGGGAGGGGAGGGGAGGGGGGCAGAUUAGAACAGAGGAGGGAGAAGCUUGCGAGAUGUUCCAAGCUCCAGGCCAACGGAUAUUUCAAGAGAGAAUAAUAAUGCCACCCACGGCCGCAACGGAAAGAAAAAAUUCUGACGUACGGCCGCAACGGAAUUGGUACUCUCUCCUAUCCAUUACUCCGUAUCAACUAACUCUCCUUUAGUCUAGGCCAUCAAUUAAUAAGUGUACGCGUACACUUCAAUUCUUGCGAGUACUACCAUAAAGAUUUCCCUGUUUGAUCAUUUUAUUGCGGAUCUGGUGUAGCUGCAACAUGGAUGAUGGAUGAAAAUGAAUUGAAAGCGAUGUUGUUUUACAAUUUUUUACUUGAAACUCCCAGGUAAAAAGACGGAGAGCUGCUACACACAAGACAGAUUUUAGACUGUUGAAACUAAUCGAGCGGGAAGGAGGGACAAACAAAUAAGAAUGAACUUGUGUAGUCUUUAGGGUAACUCCAACGGACCGACCCAAAGGGACGAUAAUUUUGUUCGUUUUUUGUCCGUUUGGGUCGGCCAGACGGACACGAACGUCCGUUUCGAUGUUUGAGUCGACACAUGCGUCGAACGCUGACUCGAUCCAUUUUUACCGGAAUGCACCAAACAUGCAUAAUUAAACAUUAAAAAAGCCGGUCACGAAGGCCGACGAGAGUCCACGCGUUAUAUUAUUAUGAAAAAAGAAAAAACCCUAGGCAUCCUCGGCGGCGGCAGCGAGGUCGGGCUGUGCCGGAGCGGGGGCUGGCUAUGCCGGCGCGGGUAGUGCUGGUGUCGGCGGUGGCGCACCACGGACACACUCGUUCGCCAGACGCAGCGCCAUCUUAGCUUGAAGGUAGGCGGCCUCCUCUGGAAGAAGCGCGCGGGGAUGGACGGCGAGGGUGUUCUGGAAAAAACUAAGCGUAGCACGGGCGCGCUCGUGCGCCUGGUGCAUCGCCCUCUUAGCCUGCAGGUAGACGACCUCCACUGGAAGCAUCGCACGGGCAUAGACGACGAGGUUGUCCCGUUGUCCAUGGUUGUUGGGUCGUCGACGAGGAAACAGAGGGGUGGCGAGAUGGGGACGCGGGAGGGUUCUGGAAGCAGAUGGCCGAACCCCACCGCACGCUCCGAUUAAACAAGGCCGACCAUGGUCGCUGACGCGUGGGCCCGAGGAUGACAGCCGUCAUAAAUUGUGUUGACCGCGGUGGUUGGGGUGGACAUCGAGGGGGCACGCGCGCAUCCGCUUCGCGUCCGCACCUACGCAUUUCAGUCCCAAAUUUGGAUCGGAAAUGGGUCGACGCGGACGCGAAGGGAUACGUUUUGGCAAUGGAUCGACGCGUUGGACCAUCAUUUUUAUCCGCACCGACCCAAACGAACGACGGACGACGAAAUGGAUCGUUCAAUUAAAAUUACUCUUAUUGAUCAUCUUUCACAGAUUAUAUACAAGGUCGAAGAGGCGCCUAGUGGGAUGCGCCGGUUGGCAAGGGGUGAAACAGGAAAGGAAUUGACCGGAUGAUUGCUAGAGUUGCAACCGCACGUGAGGGGAAAUCGGGGAUUUCCUAAUUAAUCAUUGGGGUUAAUUAUCCUUAACACUUUCCUUAAUCCCCGCUUUUAUCGUAUGUGUGAUUAUCAUAAUUGUUCAUAGAAAACCUGUGAAAAAAAUAUGAGGAGGUAGGCAUUCGAUAUGUUGUUGAAAAUCUUGCAAAUUCAAUGAAAAAAUAAGAAAAAAUGAUGCAACAUAAAUGAUUAUUACCUCUUCCAACUCAAUAUGGAAAACCCCACAGAAUUAAGAGGACAAUAAAUGUAUUUUAUAUACUUUUUUAAAAACCCCAGUGGAAAGAACAGAAAGUAUGGCAUAUGGUAUUGUGUUGAUAUUAGUUAUUACCUUAUUAAAAAUCUUUGUAUGAACCUGUAAAAUAAACUCUUGAAGAGAAAAAUAGUCUGAUAUGACACUUUGAACAGAAUAAUUCAGAAAGAUACUCCCACUGAUUAUUGCAUAUUCUGAAGUCAUCAUAUACUAAUUUCAUGAACACAUUUCUAAAAUAUAGAAGUUUGUAAAGACAAGAUGAACACAUCAGUUGCAUGAUUUAACUUGCAGGAUUGCAAUAUCGUGAUAUUGCUUAUUAUGUAACAUGUUUGCAUCCGGACAACACAAGCAACAUUAUCUUCGAGAUAAUGGUUGGUGGAUGUAGCCACGAGGUCUGUUUCAAAAUCUCCCAUGAGAUGGCUACCACGCCUAGUAGGAACACAAACCUUGUCUACGACCUAACAUAACAGGGAUCUGAUCGAUGUAUCCAAUGAUAUUGGUGUCCAAAUUUCUAUGAAACUGAAAUAUUAGGAUAAAAUGUUUGAUGCAUUGGAGACAUCGAAAGAUAUUCUUGAGUCUCAACCAAUUAUGUUUGAUGGAACCAAUGCAUGCACUAUGAUAUGGAACCUUAGGCCUCAAAUAUCUUAUUUCCACCCCUCGUGGUCUAAAUGAAUACUUCUCUACAUCCAGAGAACGAACAAUCAAUUAUGGAUGGAUAAGACUUGUCCACAAUCAAUAUCCCUAAUAUAAUAUGAAUAUAGACAACAUGGUGUACCGUAAUGAUUGAGUGAAGGUGCUCAAGGUUUUACCCAAAUCCUUCAUCUCAAAUUGUGUCAUUUAGAUGAUCACAUGCUUAACAUGUAUGGCUAAUCAUCAGUUUAGGAGUAAUCCUUGUGUGUAAGGAACUCACGUCGGUUGUACCAAAUGUACCGACAUCAAUAAGCCGUCUGGUGACUUUUUGAUUUUACACAAUGUAUGUUGGGUUUUGCAUUUCAAUUCAAACAUCUAAAUUCGGUGAUCCACAUGGAUAUGGAAUUAUUACAUCUAUUGUAACAACCCAAGACCUAUUCCCUGCAUUAUUAUUAUUACUAUUAUAUUGGUUGCUCUAGUUAUUUUUGCAUUGCAUCAUGUCAUCAUGCCAUUAAUUCUUGCAACCCAAACAAAACUCUGGUAAAUAAAUUGUGUGGAUCUUUGAUGUGUUUAAAUCGAGAGAAUUCACAUGGUGUUUCUCUUUAUAACUUAUAUCAUAUACUGCCAAUAUUUAUAGGGAGCUAAAUUAAUUAUUCCAUUGAUUUGGAAGAAACCACAACACACUUGCAAUUUAACUCAUAUGCUUUUUUCUACUUAAGUGUGAUCUCAAAAUCUUGGCAAUAAUUCUUUCUCCGUGUAUCGAAGCCACACCAAAAUUCUCAACAUUUUGGACCUUCCAACACCCACUUACCAUUUCAAACCCCAUUUGAAUUAAAUUCAAAUGAGUUUGGAUCAAAACUUCCACACAUGUCUACUACUAUUUUCUUGGAUCAUUCUCAUUUUUUUUGAGUCCAGGAAAGUUACUCUCAUGGACAAAUUCUUUCUCUAAUCCUUGGUUUCUCUCUCUUUCUUUCUUUCUUUUGUUACGUUCAUGAAAAAGAAGGAAGAGAGAGAGACAGAGAGAGAGCAGCUCAGUUGGCCCUCCUAAACCCGCAACCAGGCUGGCCCAACCAUCCAUUUAGGCCCAAUCGUGCCCCUACCUAUUGAACCCUAGCCCUCACCCUACCCAAAUCCCCAAUGCCCCACUUCCUCGAUUCCCUCAUCAUCCUCCUGACCGACUCCCGCUAACAGCGCCACACACUCACGCGAGAGCCCGAGCCUCGAUUCCCUUUGUGCAGCCACCAGGGGAUCGACCCCCACUCUAUCAAGCCCCCUCAUGCACUCGCCCUGCUAGACCUCCUCCUUGCCUCGUCCCUGAGUUGGGGAUUCCAGCCAUGUCAUCGCCGCCCUGGCUCUGCUCUGCCCUGCACCUCCUUCCUCGCCUCCUCACGCCAGUGACCUCGCCCCAUGCCUCACUAGAGCGGGCUCGGACGUCGCCAUGCCAAGCCACGCCUCUUCGCCCAAGGCCUUACCUCCGCCCGUGUCUCGAGUGGGCCGGCCUCCCCAUCCCGUUCCCAACCUCCUCCUCGACCAGAGCCAUCGGAGCUAGAUGAUACGUUCAAAGGAUCGAUAUGGUUGACUAGUGGGGGGGGGGGUGAAUAGGCAACUAGCAAUUUUUAGCUCUACUUACCAAGUUAGAGAAAACAACAUAAAGGUUCUCUAAAUUAGCUACUAGAUGAGCAACCUAUAUGAUGCUAACUACCAUGACAACUAGUGCAAGCAAGACAUACAUAGCAAAAAUAAUAUACAUAAAAUAAAGGUAAGAGAUAACCGCAAGUGGAACCGAGGAAGACGAGGAUGUGUUACCGAAGUUCCUUCCCUUUGACAGGAAGUACGUCUCCGUUGGAGCUGUGUGGAGGCACAAUGGUCCCCAAUAAGCCACUAGGGCCACCGUAUUCUCCUCACGCCCUCACACAAUGUGAGGUGCCGUGAUUCCACUCUUGGUGCCCUUGAAGGCGGCGACCAUACAUUUACACACAAGGUUGGGGCUAUCUCCACACAAUGCUUGGAGGCUCCCAACAAGACCACGGAGCUUCACAACAAUGGAUAUGGCUUUGAGGUGACCUCAACCGUCUAGGGUGAUCAAACACCCAAGAGUAACAAGAUCCGCAAGGAAUUAGCGAGGGGAAUCAAAUAUCUCUUGGUGGAAGUGUAGAUCCGGGCCUUCUCGACCAAUCCCUAUGAAAUCAACAAGUUUGAUUGGCUAGGUAGAGAGAUCGGGCCAAAAUGAGCUUAGGAGCAACAAUGGAGUCUUGGAAGGUCAAAGGUAGGGUUCUUGGAGUGGAAGAACCCUUUAUAUAGUGAGGGAACAAAUCCAACCGUUACCCUCACUUACAGCACCCUCAACACGGUACUACCGCUUGGGGUAAGCGGUACUACCGCUACCCCUAGCGGUACUACCGCUUGGAGGGAAGCGGUGCUACCGCCAGCCCCAGCGGUACUACCGCAAGGCCUAGAGCGGUACUACCGCUAGGUAGGUAUAAAGCCAUGGUAGUAAAAAUACUACUACCGGGUCUACCACCGCUGGAAAAGUACUCGCAAAAAGUCCGACGAAGUACAACCGCUCAGAGAGAGCAGUACUACCAUCCAGAAGCGGUACUACCGCUCAACUGGAGCGACACUACCGUUGGAACUUUUGCAGAGGCUGGGAGAGACCAAACGGGAACUCCAUUGUUGCAAAGAAUAGGUGGUGGAAAGAAAAACUGUGCGUGUGUGAGUUGAUUCCACCCAAACCUUUCCGACGCGGACCCCCUCUUAAUAGUACGACUUUCCUACGACUCAAAACCACCAAAGAGAACCGUAGAAUCCACCGUGCUUCAAAACCACCGAGGGGCGACGAAUUGUCUUGUGCCUUGCCAUGUAUAAUCCAAAAUGUUCAAUGCACACGAUUAGUCCGCAGUGGUACUGUCAUCAAUCACCAAAAUUACUUAGGACAAAAUAUGCCCUAACAAUCUCCCCCUUUUUCUGAAUUGAUGACAACACCGGAUUUGCACAAAAGAGAAUAAAAUGAAGUCAUAUGCAAGUCCAAAGUCUAUGAACUAGAGACUAGACCCCCUGGGUGUGUGCAUGUUUAAAGUAGUGAUCUGAACAUCAAGGAACAUAAUCCAAGGAAAAGCACUCCUCUAGAAAUCAUAGACAGAUACUCCUUGCAAUGGCCUAAUACAACGUUGAGUAAGGAAGCAAGGUAUAAUAUGUGAGCAUAAAGAUAGGGGCAUAAGAUAAAUGAACUCACAGGCUAAGCAUAUAGAGAGACAAUAAAGAUAAUAUAGGGAUAACAUAUGUCUCACACCAUAUGACUAAGAGUCUUCACACACAUGAUAAAAUAUCCGACAAGAUAAAACCAGCCAAGUUCAGCAAAUAAAAACUCAGAAAAAAUACGAAAACCCAAAGCAAAUCCCUAACACUCUCUCCCCCUUUGGCAUGAGGACACCAAAAAGGCAGAGAGGACGCGAACGACACAGGUGGUAGCUCAGCCAUCAGAUUCCUCCGUAGCAUCCUCAUCUUCCUCAUCAGGCUCCUCGUGAUCAGACUCCUCCUUGUUUUCCUCAUCAGGCUCAGCCUUAUCAGACACAACCCACUAGAAGUCUCUUGCCUGCAUCCAAUCAGCCUCUGGAGUGAUAACUUCCUGAGAUCCGCUCGAGAAGUGCACAUCAAGCGUCCUCAUGAUACGCUUAUCCCUCUGACGGCUCUCCUUCUGGGCCACAUGAGUCAGAUGCUGCCCCUUCGCCUGCAUGCAAAAUAAGGUCCUCAUUUGGUACUUCAGCUUAUUGGCCCAAGAUGGCUCAGCAGAAGAACGAGUAUGGGUGGAAAGGCCGCCCUCAUCCUGAGCAGCAGCAGACUCCUCAAUCUCCAUGCAUGUACGUGAAGUGGAGGUGUUGGCCCACUUGUCUUUCUGGUGCAACUUGAUGGGAUCAUGGCUGAAACACCCCGGGGCAGCAGGAAAGGGCACGUGAGGAAAGGACUCAGACCACUUUGUCUUGAUGAAGUAGUACAGGUAAGGCCCGUAGAUGGGAACCUUACGGUUGUAUAUAGCCAUCUGAAGCUCGCAAAACAUCACAUUAGACACAUUGAGUGGCCCAAUGUCCUUCGUACGUCCCUCUUCACACAUAAGGAGCAUGUCCACCAGAUAAGAAUGGGCUUGGUCUUUGUUGCCAACCUGAGGGAACAGAGUGUUGCAGAAGAUCCUAUGCAUGACAUCCAAGAAGGUGGGGAGCACAUUCUUCCUGAGAUAGAAGGGCUGCAGCUUCUCCUUGGGGGUAGCACCGGGGUUGGCAUGAGGGCGUAAGCCAACAGGAUUAUGUAGCCCCUCAUCACGGACAGUCAGAAGCUUCAUGAACUCAACCCAAGUGCUAGACAUCUUCUCGCCAUGAGUCAUCCAGGUCAUAGUACAAUCCACAUCAGCAUGAAAGUGGACAGAGACAUAGAAUUGAGCCACUACCUCUGGAUCGAAGUCAUAGUGAAAGGUGAAGAGGUCCUCAAUACUCAGCUGCUUAAUCAUACUCAGGGCUUCUCCAAAAUAUGCAGGAUCCCUCUGGAGAUGAUUGAGAUCAAUCCAUUGCACCGGGACAUAGAUUUUAUUCCGAGUUAGGACGGCAUCUUGAUAUAUCAGGACUUGUUGCUUGGUCUAGAACAUCUCACAACCCUUGAUCUGAGCCCUCUCAGUGACAUAGGGAUUGAUCUUUCGGCACCGCACAUACUCCUUAAGAGGCAAAGUGUCAUAGUCGACGUUGGCCUCCUUGUCCUUCGAUGUCGUUUUCUUGAUAUUGCGCUUCAGAGGAUUGGAACCUUCCGGGUCGUCAGAGUUGCGGAACCUCUUGGACUGGGUGUCACAAACCGGGUUUGAGCGACGGGAGCCACCAUCUGUGACAUGCAACACAAACACGCGAAAACGACAAAAGGAAGUCAUGGCAAAGUCCAGAACACAGGAUAAAACACAGAAGGAACCAGUUUUAGGUCAUGCAUACAAGGCACAGCGGUAGUACCGCGUGGUUUCAGAUCUAGCAGAGCAGAAAAUAGAUCUAACCACGAAGCUCUAACUACGGUGCAAAAAUAAUAGAUCUGACCACUAUGCAUAACCUAUUCAACAACACACGAGGAAAACACUCCCAAGAGCCCUCCUUCCAUCCAUGUAUGAGACAAAAUCAUGCCAUAACAAUGAAGGCAAUACACCAAGCCCCUAACCCUAGAACCAAGAACACCAAAAUAAGAGAAGGAUGAUAGGGGCAGUACCGGGAUCCAUGGCACAAGGAGGAGGAAGGGGGAAAUCCCUUCAACUGGCACGGAAGGAGAAGCGUCGUGGAGGGAGAUCUCUUCAGGUGAGAUUCGAGAGAAAGAUAGAGAGCUCCAUGAUACGUCUCCAUCGUAUCUAUAAUUUUUGAUUGUCUCAUGCCAAUAUUCUAGAACUUCCAUAUACUUUUGGCAACUUUUUAUACUAUUUUUGGGACUAACAUAUUGAUCCAGUGCCGAGUGCUAGUUCCUGUUUGUUGCAUGUUUUUUGUUUCGCGGAAUAUCCAUACCAAACGAAGUCCAAACAUAAUAAAAAGUUACAUGGAUUUUUUUUGGAAUAUUUAUGAUUUUUGGGAAGAAUAAUCAACGCGAGGCGAUGCACGGAGUGCCCACAAGCUCUGUCGCCGCGGCCAGGGGGUGGGCCUGCGGCAAGCAGGCUUGUGGCCACUCCUUAAGGUGGUUGGAUCCCUUCUCUCGCCGCAAGAAAGAUAAUAUACGGAAGAAAAUCGUGUUAACAUUUCAGCCCAAUCGGAGUUACGGAUCUCCAGGAAUUUAAGAAACGGUGAAACGCAGAAUCUGGGAGCGCAGAAACAGAAGGACACAGAGAGAGAGAUCCAAUCUCGGAGGGGAUCUCGCCCCUCCGCCGCCAUGGAGACCAUGGACCAGAGGGGAAACCCUUCUCCCAUCUAGGGAGGAGGUCAAGGAAGAAGAAGAAGGAGGGGGGGCUCUCUCCCCCUCUCUCCCGGCGGCGCCGGAACGCCGCCCGGGACAUCAUCGUGUGACGGAGAUCUACACCAACACCUCCGUCAUCUUCACCAACAUCUCCAUCAUCUUCCCCCAUCUAUAUUCAGCGGUUCACUCUCCCGCAACCUGUUGUACCCUCUACUUGAACAUGGUGCUUUAUGCUACAUAUUAUUAUCCAAUGAUAUGUUGCUAUCCUAUGAUGUCUGAGUACAUUAUCGUUGUCCUUUCGGUGAUUGAUGAAUUGCUAUGAUUGGUUUAAUUUGCUUGUGGUUAUGUUGCUGUCCUUUGGUGCCCAUCAUAUGAUCGCACGCGUGGAUCACACCAUAGGGUUAGUUGUAUGUUGAUAGGACUAUGUAUUGGCAGGCUAGAGUGACAGAAGCUUCAAAUCUAGCAUAGAAAUUGAUGCAUAUGGGAUUGAAGGGGGACCAAUAUAUCUUAUUGCUAUGGUUGGGUUUUACCUUAAUGAACGUUAGUAGUUGCGAACACUUGCUAAUAGUUCCAAUCAUAAGUGCAUAGAAUUCCAAGUAAGGGAUGACAUGCUAGCAGAGGCCUCUCCCACAUGAUACUUGCUAUCGAUCUAGUAACGUAGUCAAUUGCUUAGGGACAAUUCCGCAACUCCUACCACCACUUUUCCACACUCGUUAGACACUCGUAGUUUUUUCUUUAUCUAACCAGCCCCUAGUUUUAUUUACGUGUUCUUUACUUUCUUGCAAGCCUAUCCUUUCACUCCUACAAAGUACUUCUAGUUUCAUACUUGUUCUAGGUAAAGCGAAUGUAAAGUGUGCGUAGAGUUGUAUCGGUGGUCGAUAGAACUUGAGGGAAUAUUUGUCCUACCUUUAGCUCCUCGUUGGGUUCGACACUCUUACUUAUCGAGAAAGGCUACAAUUGAUCCCCUAUACUUGUGGGUUAUCACUCCACGGGAGAGGAACAAAUGUGACAGAAAAACUACCCCCUCUUCUUAUAUAGCCCCCAGGGCACGGGGAGGGCGGUAGUACCACUUGCCACGGUAGUACCGCUCCGUUCAUCGCGGUAGUACCGCUUGGGUCAUGGCGGUAGUACCGCUCGGGUCAUUGCGGUAGUACCGCAUGUGAUGGUAGUACCGCUCCCCCUGAGGCGUACAGAUCUGAAGGCGGUAGUACCGCUCAGGUUAUCGCGACAGUACCGCUCCAAGAGUGGUAGUACCACUCCGCUAGCGGUAGUACCUCUCGACAAGCGGUAGUACCGUGCGAGAAAAACUCAGAAAAAUUCCAGAAAUUGCCAAAACAGCGAGAAAUCACUAUGGACACAUACCAGACAAAAAUUUAGAAUAGAAAACCAAACAAAAUACACUGGCUGGUGUGUCAUAACCCUCUUUUAGGGGGCGGUGGCUGGAGCCACCUAUGUUUGAGACAAAUGGUAUGACACCGCGAAGAAUUAUCCUUGGGUUCAUGACCAAAGCUCAUCUUUGAAGCACAAGUGCCAUCAAUGAUGGCUAAUGUGAAAGACUUGAUCGAUUUAUGCAUAAUGGGGGGAGGGAAAGUUCAUUGGUUGAACAACACCCCCCUAUGUCCAUGCCUACACCUAGAACAAGAUAUAAUGCAGAGUGAGGUGCAAAGUGCCUAGUUUCAAUCCACGUUACUUGAAUUGAUGAUAUUUAGCUCAUGCCUUAACUCCCGGAACCUUCCUUCAUCUAGGGGCUUAGUGAAAAUAUAUGCAAGUUGCUCUUGAGUGUUGAUGAAUUUGACUUCAAUAUAUCCACGCUUGAUAUGCUCACGGAUGAAGUGAUGACGAAUAUCAAUAUGCUUGGUUUUGCUAUGUUGCACCGGAUUGAGGGAAAUCUUGAUAGCACUUUGAUUGUCGCAUAAAAGAGGCACUUUGUCACAAGUGACACCGUAAUCCUUUAAAGUUUGCCUCAUCUAUGGCAACUGUGCACAAUAACUUGCAGCUGCAACAUACUCAGCCUCAGUGGAAGACAGUGAGAUACAAUUUUGCUUCUUUGAAGACCAAUUACCAGCGAACGACCAAGAAAUUGACAUCCUCCAGACGUUGACUUCCUCUCCACACAGUCUCCUGCCCAAUCUGAGUCAGAAUAGCCCACUAGAUUGAAGCUUGCUCCUUUGGGAUACCAUAGGCCAAAGUUUGGGGUAUGAUCCAAAUAUCGAAAGAUUCGUUUAACAGCCGCAAAGUGGCUUUCUUUUGGUGCAGAUUAAAACCAUGCACAAAUCCCUACACUCAACAUGAUAUCCGGUCUAGAUGCACAAAGGUAAAGAAGGGAUCCAAUCAUGGAGUGACAUACCUUUUGAUCCACUGCUUUACCAUCGGGAUCACUGUCAAGCUUGCAUAUAGUUGGCAUGGGAAACUUGACCGGCUUGACGUCCUCUAGCUCGAACCUCUUGAGCAUGUCUUGGGUGUACUUGGCUUGUUUGAUGAAGGUUACUUCUAAGCCUUGUUUAAUACCGAAUCUGAGGAAGAACUUCAACUCACCCAUCAUUGACAUCUCAAAUUUCUCAGUCAUUAGUGCAACAAAUUCUUCAUUGAAAGAUUCGUUAGGAGAACCAAAAAUGAUAUCAUCAACAUAUAGUUGGCAUAUGAACAAAUCUCGUUUGACCCUUUUGGUAAAAAGGGUGGGAUCGAUCUUCCCAAUUUCAAACACACGAUCUUGCAACAACUCGGUAAGGUACUAAUACCACGCACGUGGGGCUUGUUUAAGGCCAUAGAGCGCCUUGUUGAGUUUGUAUACAUGAUUGGGGAGCUUGGGAUGUUCGAACCCCGGGGGUUGUUUGACAUAUACCAACUCGUAUAAAGGACCAUUAAGAAAUGCACUCUUCACAUCCAUUUGUUGUAAUUUGAAAUCAUGAUGAGAGGCAAAUGCAAGAAGCAUGCGAAUAGAUUCAAGACGAGCAACAGGGGUAGAGGUUUCACCGUAGUCGAUACCCUCGAUUUGGGAGUAGCCUUGAGCCACCAGUCUUGCCUUGUUUCGAACCACAAUCCCAUUGGCGUCUUGCUUGUUUUUGAAUAUCCAUUUGGUCCCAAUGACAUUAUGUUCCUCCUUUGGUCUUGACACUAACUCCCAGACUUGAUUGCGCUCGAAGUUGUUCAGUUCUUCAUGCAUGGCCAUAAGCCAAUCCUCGUCAUCGAGCGCUUCAUGUACCUGUUGAGGUUCAUAAUACGAAUCAAACUCGUGAUGCUCACAAUAAUUUGAAAUUUGUUGACGAGUGGAUACUCCCCUUUUUAAGCUUCCAAGCACAUUCUUCAUAAGAUUUUAUUUAACCCUGAUCUUGGAUGCUAUCUUGGUUGCGUGACGCUCUAGGAGUUCCGCGCUAGUUAAUUGAGGAGCAUCAACUUGAUCAUGCUGUUUGGGCUUGUUAUUGGGUUUUGACUCUGCCUUGACACCGCGACCCCUUUUAGGUGCCGCAGUAGGAAAUUGAGGAACAACCACCUGAUCAACUUGAUCUUCAUCUUGAGCAAGCUCACUGGUUUGUUCUUUAUCUUGUGGCUGCUCUUGAUCUUGAUCUUGGAGCUGCACUUGAUCUUGAGCUUGAGCAUAUUCGGAACCUUGUGUUAGAACUCGGACAUCAUUUGGUGCAUCAUCAUCUUCGUGUGGUUGAUCUCGUCCUUGAUUCCGUUCAACUGGUUGAGGGUCUUCACUUUGUUCAUCGAAAGCAUGUGGGGCUAGCGAGGGUGAUGGCUCCACUUGAGUAGAGCAUUGUCCUUCUCCUUCAGCCACAAGGGGUUCCUCAAUGGGGAGUAUUCGACCAAUCCACAUUCUUCUUAUGGCUUGGGGAGGAAUUUCAUCACCUACAUCACAAAGACCACUUUGCUCCACCUGGGAGCCAUUAUUUUCAUCAAAAUCUACAUUGCAUGUCUCCUCAAUGAGUUUGGUGGACUUGUUGAGAACACGGUAAGCAUGAGAGUUUGUAGCAUAACCAACAAAUAUGCCCUCUUGAGCUCUAGAAUCAAAUUUAGCUAGACGAGCACCUUUCUUGAGAAUGAAACACUUACACCCGAAAACCCCAAAGUACUUGAGGUUGGGCUUGUUUUCGGUGAGGAUCUCAUAAGGAGUCUUGUUCAAGCCUUUGCGGAUAUAGAGCCGAUUGGAUGCAUGACAUGCUGUGUUCAUGGCUUCGGCCCAAAAGUUGUAUGGAGAUUUGAAUUCUGCCAUCAUUGUUCUUGCAGGGUCCAUCAACGUCCGGUUCUUCCUUUCCGCCACACCAUUUUGUUGAGGGGUGUAUGGUGCUGAAUAUUGAUGCUUGAUCCCCUCAUUACUGAGAAACUCAUCCAGGGUGUAGUUCUUGAACUCGGUGUCGUUGUCACUUCUAAUCAUCAAAAUCUUUGCUUCAUGUUGACGUUGAGCUUCAUUUGCAAAGUUGAUGACAGUGUGUCGAGUCUCGCUCUGCCUUUUGAAUAAAUACACCCAAGUGUAUCUUGAGGAAUCAUCAACAAUCACCAAGCAGUACUUUCUGCCCCCAAGACUAUCAAAAGAUGGAGGACCAAAGAGAUCCAUGUGAAGGAGCUCCAAGAGCCUCUUAGUGUAAAUGAGAGUCGUGGGACGAUGAUCGGUUUCAUGAAUCUUCCCUUCAAUACAAGCAUUGCAAGCACGAUCUCUGGCAAAACUCACAUUUGUUAGUCCACGAACAUGGUUCCCUUUGAGAAGACUUUGCAAAGAUCUCAUAUUGACAUGGGCUAGUCGGCAAUGCCAAAGCCAGCCCACGUCAACUUUAGCCAUUAGACAAGUCGCAAUCUUAGUGGGUCGCUGUGAAAAGUUCACCACAUAGAGACCAUUUUCAACAUAUCCAAUAUAGGCUACUUUAAGAGUCUUGCUCCACAAAAGGGCCACGAUAUCAAGAUUAAAGAAUGUGUCAAAGCCUAUAAUUGCAAGUUGACGAACACAAAGUAAAUUAUAAGCAAGGGACUCAACAAGCGUGACCUUCUCAAUAGAUAAAUCUUGAGAGAUGACCACCUUACCAAAUCCCAGUACCUUAGACGUUGAAGCAUCAACAAAUUGGACAUGGGUGGGCAUAGAUGGGGUAGGAUGCACGUCCACCACGAAGUCCUUGCUUCCGGUCAUAUGAUUUGUUGCUCCACUAUCGAGCAACCAUGACACCCCACCGGAAGCAAACUCUUGCAAUAGGUCAAGGCUUGGUUUUAGGUACCCAUUUUUGAAUGGGUCCUUUGAUGUUAGAAACAAGGGUCUUAGGAACCCAAAUAGCCCAUUCAAUGGACUCAUAAUAAGAACCAACAAAUCUGGCAUAGACAUGCCCAUCACCAGCACGACAUAAAACAUAAGAAGGAUUAAAUUUUCCAGCUCUGUUGGUAGGGAUGGUUUUGCCCUUCUUGGCAUUACUAUCCCUACCUUAUUCUUGUUCUCCUUCUGAGUCGCCUCACCCUCUUUGACAAAUAUGUCCUUGAGAGUAAGCGAUCACUUGUUCCUGUUCUUCCUUUUUCUUUUCGACUUGGAUGUAAGUCCAAGUCCCUCCUUUCCUACAACUUCCUUUUGAUUACGCAAAAGGUCGUUUAGGUUCUUCUCACCUUGGAUGCAUGACACAAGGCCCUUCUCAAGUUGAUCCUUCAACUUAGCAUUUUCCUACACAAGAUGUACAUGCUCACAACAAGGGUUAGUUGCACAAGCAUUAUCAAUUAAAACAAAAGGAGGACAGGUAGAGAUCUCCUUGGUAAGCUUUGCUUGGAGUUGAUCAUGAGACUCCUUCAAGGAGAAAUGUGCACCUUUCAAGACCUUGUGGGCCUUGUCAAGUGUAUCAAAGUCUCCCUUGAGUCUUUCAUGGCCAACCCCAAGUGCAGCCUUUUCAAACUUAAGCACACGGGUAAGAACAAUUGCGUGAUCUAACUCUUCUUGUAAUUUAGCACAAUCAUCGCUGUGUGACUCCUCAAGAGCCAAACAAAGACUGUGCUCUUCUUCUAGAGCAAUAGAUAGUUCAGCAAUCUCAUCGGCAUAGUCACGACUAUGUCCUUGCAACUCGAAGAUAGUCUCCUCAUGAGACUCAAUGAGGUCAUUAGCCUCACCCAGUUGUUCCAAAAGAGCAACAAAAUGCUUCUUGGACUCUCCUUUGAUUUUACACAGAAAUUUGUCAAAAUCAUGCUCGUUAAGUUCGACAACAUCACUAUUAUCAACACAGUUUGACAAUGAGGGAGCAGUAGUGAUGGUGGUCUUAAUGCUGGGUGUUACCUGAUCGAUACAUUUGGCCAUAAGGCACUUGGCGAUGCGGUUGUCGUUGGGGGCGUCGAAGAGAGACACCUUGGGAGAGGAGGUGGCAAUGACUACAGUAGCCGUUGCCACCGUAUCAUCAUCAUCAUCAUCGGAGGUGUACUCUUAAAAUGCCACCAUACCCUUUGGAUGAGGUUUCUUGACAAAAUCGUUCUUGUUUGGGAAAGACUUGGCUUUGUCUUUGCGAAUGAGCUUGCCACCGUUGUCUUCCCUCUUCUCAUAAGGACAAUCUGCCAUGAAGUGACUCACAUUGCUGCAGUUAUAGCAUGUCCUCACACACUGCUUGGUCUUGGACCCACUCGAGUUAUUCUUGGAGAAGUUAGGCCUUGAGUUUCUCCUGUUGCCCCAGAAUUGCCUUGACGCAAGAGCCAUGUGCUCGUGAUAAGCAUACUUAGUGUCUUCAGGACAGCCAUCCUCUUCCUCUUCUUCUUCUUCAUCAGAAACAACCUUGGCUUUUAAUGCAAGAUUGGGUGAAGCUGUCUUUGACCGAACACGAGCAAGAGCAUUAUCAACAGUCUUGUUCAUGACAUUCAUUGCAAUGAAUUCGCCCUANNNNNNNNNNNNNNNNNNNNNNNNNNNNNNNNNNNNNNNNNNNNNNNNNNNNNNNNNNNNNNNNNNNNNNNNNNNNNNNNNNNNNNNNNNNNNNNNNNNNAAUACAAGUUGCUUAUUCCUAACAUGGUAUUAGAGCCUAGGUUUUCUUAGCACGCGCAACUCGUGCUCCUCCCGAUCUAAUCCCUCGCACAGCCGCCACCGAUCCCGUCUAUUCUUCCCUGCCGCCUCGAUCUCUCCCCGCUGCAGCCUCGAUCUGGUCCCCGCUCUCAAAACUCGCGGCGGUUCCCGGUCCAGGCGGCUCCAGACUCGCGCGGCAGGCCCUAGGCGGCAGGCCCAGGCGGCUCCAGUCCCGCGGCAGGCUCCAGCGGCUCUCUCGCUCCACCAAUCGCUGUUGGAUCCCUUCCUGCCCCGCUCCACCAACCACCUCCAGACCUGCUGCUGGAUCCNNNNNNNNNNNNNNNNNNNNNNNNNNNNNNNNNNNNNNNNNNNNNNNNNNNNNNNNNNNNNNNNNNNNNNNNNNNNNNNNNNNNNNNNNNNNNNNNNNNNNNNNNNNNNNNNNNNNNNNNNNNNNNNNNNNNNNNNNNNNNNNNNNNCCUGCUGCUGGAUCCCAGCCGGUUCGGUGCAGUCACCGCUCCCACUUGAGUACUGCUGGAUCGGUUUUCUGCUCCCUAGGAUCCCCUGCUGCUGAUUUCGCCAGAUCCAGCGCUGCUCUCGUUCUCCCGUUGCAGCGCCCGCCAGCCGCCUCGAUUGGAUCCGGCUCUCUAGUUCCAAAAAAAAAAAGUCUGCUUCAUCCGGCUAUGUUGCUGUUCCUCGUUGUCCGGUGAUCUUUGAUGGCACUAAUUACACUGAGUUCAUUGGCUUCAUGCGCAUUCACAUGCGUGGCAUCCGCCUAUGGGGUUUUCUUUCUGGCGAGGUCUGUUGUCCGCCAUGCCCGGUUCCUCCCGUGGCUCCCACUCCGCCGACCCCACCGGCUCUUCCUGCGGAUGCUUCUCAGGCCGCAACGGAUGCGACUAAGCUUGCUGAUGAGGCCGCUGUGAGUGCUUAUGAUGAGAAGGUCUUGGCUUAUGAGGAGGCUCUUCNNNNNNNNNNNNNNNNNNNNNNNNNNNNNNNNNNNNNNNNNNNNNNNNNNNNNNNNNNNNNNNNNNNNNNNNNNNNNNNNNNNNNNNNNNNNNNNNNNNNNNNNNNNNNNNNNNNNNNNNNNNNNNNNNNNNNNNNNNNNNUAUCAUGGUGCUCUGUCCGUUUAUACCCAGUGGCUUGAUGAUGAUGCUCGUGCUGCCGUUGUUCUCACUGCUAGUGUCCUGCCUCAGUUUGCUUCUGAGUUUCUGGGCCUUCCUACUGUAUUUGAGAUGUGGACCCGCCUUCGUCAGCGCUAUGAGCCCUCUGGUGAUGCCUUAUACCUCUCUGUGGUCCGUCAGGAGCANNNNNNNNNNNNNNNNNNNNNNNNNNNNNNNNNNNNNNNNNNNNNNNNNNNNNNNNNNNNNNNNNNNNNNNNNNNNNNNNNNNNNNNNNNNNNNNNNNNNNNNNNNNNNNNNNNNNNNNNNNNGUGGUCCGUCAGGAGCAUGCUCUUCAGCAGGGUGACUCUACUGUUGAUGACUUCUAUGCACAGAGUUCUGCUAUCUGGCGCCAGCUUGAUUCUCUCCGCAGUGCUGGUUGUCGCACUUGCCCUUGUUGCUAGGCUGUCCAGGCCGACUUGGAGUUUCAUCGUGUCUACGAGUUCCUGUCUCGGCUCCGUAAGGAGUUUGAGCCCCGGCGUGCUCAGUUGUUUGCUCGUGGCCGUAUUUCUCUCAUGGAGGCGCUUUNNNNNNNNNNNNNNNNNNNNNNNNNNNNNNNNNNNNNNNNNNNNNNNNNNNNNNNNNNNNNNNNNNNNNNNNNNNNNNNNNNNNNNNNNNNNNNNNNNNNAUGACUUCUCGUAGUGAGGUGUUGUCCAUUUAUAAGCGUUUUGCUGCCAUGGUUCAUACUCAGUUCUCUUCUCCCAUUCGUGUGUUUCGUGCUGACUCCGCUGGCGAGUAUAUCUCUAAGAUGUUGCGUGGUGUUCUUGCUGAGGAAGGGACUCUCUCUCAAUUCUCUUGUCCUGGUGCUCAUGCUCAGAAUGGCGUGGCUGAGCGCAAGCAUCGUCAUCUUCUUGAGACGGCUCGUGCAUUGAUGAUUGCUGCCUCUCUCCCGCCUCAUUUUUGGGCUGAGGCCGNNNNNNNNNNNNNNNNNNNNNNNNNNNNNNNNNNNNNNNNNNNNNNNNNNNNNNNNNNNNNNNNNNNNNNNNNNNNNNNNNNNNNNNNNNNNNNNNNNNNNNNNNNNNNNNNNNNNNNNNNNNNNNNNNNNNNNNNNNNNNNNNNNNNNNNNNNNNNNNNNNNNNNNNNNNNNNNNNNNNNNNNNNNNNNNNNNUGGUGUUCCUUUCGAGCGUCUUUUUGAUCAGUCUCCCGAUUAUUCGACGCUUCGCUUGUUUGGUUGUGUUUGCUAUGUUCUUCUUGCCCCCCGCAAACGCACCAAACUCACCGCUCAGUCUGUUGAGUGUGUCUUCUUAGGUUAUAGUGAUGAGCAUAAGGGCUAUCGUUGUUGGGAUCCUAUCGGUCGUCGGAUACGUAUCUCUCGGGAUGUGACUUUUGAUGAGUCUCGUCCCUUCUACCCACGCCCAUCUUCCUCGACUUUUUCAGUGGAGGAUAUCUCUUUUCUCACUUUUCCUGACACGCCUAUCACACUUGUCGAGCCUUUGCCUACUCAUUCCGCUCCCUCUACUUCUCCACCUCCAGUCGAUUUGUCGCCACCAUCUNNNNNNNNNNNNNNNNNNNNNNNNNNNNNNNNNNNNNNNNNNNNNNNNNNNNNNNNNNNNNNNNNNNNNNNNNNNNNNNNNNNNNNNNNNNNNNNNNNNNNNNNNNNNNNNNNNNNNNNNNNAUUUGUCGCCACCAUCUUCCACGGCCUCCUUGUCUAGUAUGUCACCGGAUUCUACACCUUCAUCUCCGGUAACUUCUUCGUCGCCACCCUCCGAUUCUACUUUAGCGAUUCCUCCUUCCAUUGUUCCAUCUUUUCCUCAGUGUUACACUCGACGUUCACGUUCUGUGGAUGCCUCUCUGGAUGUGCCGUCCUCCUCGUCUCAGCCUACUUAUGGCUUGCGUUCUCGUCCCCGUCCGCCUGUUGAUCGCUUAGGAUUUUCCACCGCCGGAGCUGCUGUUCUUGAGCCGACUACUUAUCAUCAGGCUGUUGUUCAUCCUGAAUGGCAGUUUGCGAUGGCUGAGGAGAUUGCUGCUCUUGAACGCACAAGUACGUGGGAUCUUGUUUCCCUUCCUCCUGGAGUCCGUCCCAUCACUUGUAAGUGGGUCUACAAGGUAAAGACUCGCUCCGAUGGUUCUCUUGAGCGUCACAAAGCUCGUCUUGUGGCUCGUGGNNNNNNNNNNNNNNNNNNNNNNNNNNNNNNNNNNNNNNNNNNNNNNNNNNNNNNNNNNNNNNNNNNNNNNNNNNNNNNNNNNNNNNNNNNNNNNNNNNNNGAAUAGAUUACUCACGGACGAUGAAGAGCUUCAUGGAAUUGGAGAGGGAAGAAGGUUGAUGAUGACGAUGGCGAUGAUGUCCCCUCUCCAGAGCCCAUAACGGACUCCAGAUGUGCCCUCCAGAUGAAGAACAGGAUGUGGCGGCGCCUCCGUAUCGCAAACGCGAUGAAAUCUUCUCUCUUGAUUUUUCUAGGACGGAAGUGAACUUAUGGAGCUGUGAUUGGGGCGGCAGAGCCACGUGGGCCCCACAAGCUUGCUAGCCACCACCAGGGGGGUGGCGGCUACAGGGCUUGUGGCCCACUAGCCCACCCACUUCGAUGGAUCUUUGCGCAGGUAUUUUUCAUAUUUUCCAGAAAUAAUCUCUGUAAAUUUUUAGGACGUUUGGAGAACUUCCAUUUCUGCACAAAAACAACACCAAGGCAAUUCUACUGAAAACAGCGUCAGUCCAGGUUAGUUCCAUUCAGAUCAUGCAAAUUAGAGUCCAAAACAAGGGCAAAAGAGUUUGGAAAAGUAGAUACGAUGGAGACUCAGUUGACAAACUGAAAGAGAAAGAAAAACUUUGACAAACUCUGUUUGAUCUUGUUGUUGCAACUAUGUCUAACUCAUAACCAGAAUUCCAGCAAGAUCACAAGUUAACCACAUAAGCAAGUGACACAAAGGUCUCACAGUAAACUAAUAUCAAUGGCAUAAACAGCUAACGAGCAAAUAAUAAUGAGUUUCAAAUACCGACACUUCAAUCAAAACAAGCAUGUAGCAAUAUGAAUAGGUGGUAUCUCGCUAGCUCUUUCUGGGACCGCAAAACAUAAAUUCAGAGCACUUUCAAAGAUCAAGGGUUGACUAAACAUUGUAAUUCAUAGCAACGAAGAUCCAGUCAUAGUCAUACUCAAUAUCAAUCAAAAGCAAAGCAUAAAAAUGAUAGAGGUGCUCUCUAAUUGGUGCUUAUUAAAGAGGAGGAUGACUCAACAGGAAAAUAAAUAGACAUGCCCUUCGUAGAGGGAAGCAUUGAUUUGCAGAGGUGCCAGAGCUCAAUCUUUGAAAACAGAGAUAAUAAUUUUGGGUGGCAUGCUUUCAUUGUCAACGCAAUGACCAAGAGUUCUCAAUAUCUUCCAUGCUACUCAUGCUAUAGGCGGUUCCCAAACAGAAAAGUAAAGUUUUAACUCCCCCACCACCAAUCAAUCACACUCCACGGCUAGCCGAAUCCUCGGAUACCGUCCAUACUAACAUCAAUCCGGGGGGAGUCUUGUUUUACGGUUAUGUUUUCGAUUUAAGCGUGGAACUGGGCAUUCCAAUUACCGGCCCCUUUCUCAUGAAUGACAGUGAAUAAACACAUGUCGAGGAUAACACUCCUAGCAUGGAAGAUACCAAUAGCCCCCUGUCACCACAUGAGCGGUUCGGGCAUGCAAAACAGAUUAUUUCUUGAAAAUUUGGAGAGUGGCACAUGCAAAUUUACUUGGAACGGCAGGUAGAUACCGCAAAUAGGUAGGUAUGGUGGACUCUCAUGGAAAAACUUUUGGGUUUAUGGAAGUGGAUGCACAAGCAGUAUUCCCGCUUAGUACAAGUGAAGGAUAGCAGAAGACUGGGAAGCGACCAACUACAGAGCGACAAUAGUCAUCAAGAUGCAAUGAGUUUGACUAACAUUAAAUGCAAGCAUGAACAGGAUAUAAAUCACCAUGAACACGAACAUCAUAGAGGCUAUGUUGAUUUUGUUUCAACUACAUGCAUGAACAUGCGCCAAGUCAAGCCACUUGAAUCAUUCAAAGGAGAAUACCAUCCUAUCAUACUACAUCAUAGUCAUCUCAAAAUCUAUGUUGGCAUUCCAGACAAACCAUUAUAAGCUCCUAGCUAAAUAAGCAUGGCAUGAGAAACUAUGAUCUCUAAGUUGUCAUUGCAAACAUGGUUUUCUCACAACAAAGCUGAAUCUGGGAUGACAAGCUAGUCAUAUUUACAAAAAAAAAAUAGAUAGAGUUCAUACCAGCUUUUCCAGUCUCCGUCACUUCAUCAUAUAUCAUCAUUAUUGCCUUUCAUUUGCACGAUCGAACGAUGUGAACAAUAAUAAGAGCAUUGGACUAAGCUGAAUCUGCAGGCAAACACAAAGGAGAAGACAAAGUAAUAUGGCUCUUUGAAAGCUAAACAGGUAUGCAUGCAAAAGCCACUAAACAUUGUAACCAAUAUCUUCUACCUUGACCCAAAGAAAAAGAAAGCUAUUUACACGGGAAAGCUCCCAACAAGCAAAAGAAGAAAGAAAAAUCUUUUUGGGUUUUCUCAAAAGGACACAAAACAAGAAAACGAAAAUAAACUAGCAUGGAUAAUAAAGUGGCAAAGUGUAAACACCGGCUAACAAAGUGAAGGCAUAAGCAUGAAUGUAAAGUCGGUGAGGACACGUACUUCCCCAAGCUUAGGCUUUUGGCCUAGCUUGGUCUACUCCCAUGGACGGUCCUGGCGAGACCCAAAAUCAUAAUGAGUGUUAUACGGGAGUGCUGCAGCCACUGCCUGAAUAGCUGCCUCACGAAGUCGAGCAGCCGUCGCCUCCCUCUCAUACUCACCUGCCUCUCCUAUGGUUAUGUAGUAUCUUCGUUUUACCUGAAAGUCAAAGAAAGCAGUAGCAGGAAGGGUAAUAUGGAAAACACGCUGCCGGUUAUAUAUCAAGCGGUAUAGGAGGGAUCCAUGGUCCCUCUCAAGGAACUGGUAGCGUGUUAGAGCGACACGAUCAAGGUAGGCUGUAUGGAGAGGGGGGGUCUUCUGAACGGAUGGAUACUCCAAGAAAAUUUGCUAAGUGUGUAGCAUAAAUUCCACCAAAGAAAUCCCCCUCAAUGGCAUUAUUAUUCAGCCUCCUUGCUAUUAUAGCUCCCAUAUUGAAGCUCGUGUCACCUGUUACUACGCUCUUAAGGACACUAAGGUCGGAAGCGCAUAGGUGACAAUGUGCACCCUUGCCAUUAAUGCACCUACCUAUGAAGAGGGCAAAGUAGUGCAAGGAAGGGAAAUGGAUGCUUCCUAUGCUGGCUUGCGUGAUAUCUCUAGUUUCUCCAACAGUUAUACUGGAGACAAAGUCUCUAACCGAAGACUUAGAAGGAUCGUUAAUACUACCCCCAUCGGGUAUCUUGCAAAUCCUAUUGAAAUCCUCCAAAUCCAUGGCGUAGGAUUUAUCAUAAAGAUCAAACAGUAUGGAUGAGUCACGGCCAACUGAAAAUUUCAAUCUACGCACGAAAGAGGCAGUGAGCAUAGCAUACUAUUCACAUUUAUCUGAGAGGAAUUCUUCUAACCGGCAUUGCGGACAGAUGUAUCAAACUCAUCCUUGAAACCUGCUUCGAUCAUGAACUCAUCGGAAGGCCAUUCACAUGGUUGUACCGGUGCGUCCCUUAGUUGAAAAGGUCCAGGCUCCCGAAAAGAAAGACGGGGACCCUUCUUACUUGAGGAACCACCAUGAAACUUCCUCCUGAACAUAAUUUCCUUUUGCUGAAAUUUUUGAAGUUCAAGAGAAAAGUAAAUGAAGACCAACCACACCUUGUAGCAACUACUCAUACCAGUGCCUAGAGACCGUAUCACGCGCUAAAACUACUCGGGACCAGCUAAAGUCAACAUUUCUAGCUCAAGAACAGGGUCACCAAGGUAGCAAGAAUACGCGAAGGAUAAAGCACUAGAGGAAAAACUAAUUGGACCAAUGGAGGAGUCACUUACCAAGGAGUAAUUUCCCCAAAACGGUUAGGAGAAUGGUGCUUUGAGCAAGGAGAUCGAAAAUCACGGCCAAUUGAGCAAGGACACGGGUUUGAGCUGCGAAACAAUUUUUUCUGGAGGUGGAAGAAGAGGUUGGGAGCUAGAAUGAGUGGAGGGGGUCCCUAUGGGCCCCACAAGCUUGAUAGCCGCCACCAGGGGGGCGGCGGCUGCAGGGCUUUUGGCUCACUGGUCGGGCCCCUAGGCCAGCUCUCAGGCCCAGUAUUUUUCAAAUAUUCCAGAAAAAAUCAUACUAGAUUUUCAGGACCAUCGGAGAACUUCUAUUUUCGGGGUAUUUUUCUCCGGGACGCUAAAACAGAAAACAAGGAAAAUUAAACUAAAUCUAUCAUAUUUCUUCUAAGCAAAAGAAAAUGAAAGCUCAAAACAGAGGUAUGUGACUCUUUGAUUCAUCCAUUUCAUGGUCAUCGAAAGAAAUCCGUCAAUGGGGUUGAUCAAGUCCUCAUGACAAAACCUUCUUGAAUCGCAAGAGAGAACGGAUAAUUUUCGAAUAGCCACUAAGUCACCUCAAUGGGGAUGUGUAUCUCCCCAAAAAGCAAAUCAUACUUCAUCUUGACACGAGGAAUAGGGCAUUCAAAGCUCCUAAUGAAAAUCGAUGACGUCUUUUCGAUAGCAUUGAUCCAAUGUACUUGAUAUCGUUUCUUCGGAAAGUGCACUGUGUGCUCAUUACCGUUGACAUGGAAAGUGACAUUGCCUUUGUUGCAAUCUAUAACAACCCCUGCAGUGUUUAAAAAGGGUCUUCCGAGGAUGACAGCCAUGGCAUCGUCCUCGGGAAUAUCCAAGAUAACAAAGUCUGUUAAGAGAGUGGUGUUAGCAACCACAACAGGCACAUCCUCGCAAAUGCCGAUAGAGAAAGCAGUUGAUUUGUCGGCCACUUGCAGAGAAAUUUCAAUGGGUGUCAACUUAUCUUGUUCAAGUCUACGUUAAAGAGAGAGUGACAUAACACUAACACCGUCUCCAAGGUCACAUAAGGCAGUUCUUACGUAGUUUCUUUUAUUGGAGCAAGGUAUAGUGGGCACUCCGGGAUCACCAAGUUUCUUAGGAGUUCCACCUUUGAAAGUGUAAUUAGCAAGCAUGGUGGAGAUCUCAAGAUCUGAUAUCUUUCGUUUAUUGGUCAUGAUAUCUUUCAUGUACUUGGCAUACAGAGACAUUUUGAGCAUAUCAGUUAACCACAUCUGCAGAAAGAUGGGUCUUAUCAUCUCAACGAAGCGCUCAAAAUCCUCAUCAUCCUUUUUCUUGGAUGGCUUAGGAGGAAAGGGCAUAGAUCUCUGAACCCAUGGCUCCCUUUCUUUACCAUGCUUCCUAGCAGUGAAGUCAUUCUUAACGUAUCUCUUAGGUUGUGAGUUAUCAGGAUUAACCGUAGGUUCAAUCUCCACAUCCUCAUCAUUGCUAGGUUGACCAUUACUAUGAACAUAACUGUCCAUAUUGUCACCAGGUUCAUGUUCAUCACCAGAUUGUGUUUCUGCAUCAGACGCAAAAAUAUCAUUAGGUUCUUCAGGUGUGACAGUAUUUGGUGAACUGGCUUGUAGGUUUCUAUCAUCCUUCUUCUUCUCCUUAGGAUGACUGGGUGUAUCAGCGUUAAUUCCUUGAGAAUCUUGAUCAAUUCUCUUAGGAUGGCCUUCAGGAUACAAAGGUUCCUGAGUCAUUUUGCCUCCUCUAGUAAUGACUUUGACAGAGUUGUCAUUUAAUUCAUUGAGCAAGUCAUUCUGAGCUUUAAGUACUUGUUCUACCUGAGUAGUAAUCAUAGAGGCAUCUUUACUCAGAAGCUUCAGAUCAUUGACAUUUCUCUCUACACAAGCACUUAAAUGGCUAAGCAUACGAGUACUUUGUUCCAAAUGUCUGCUAACAUAAUCACUGAAACUCUGUUGUUUGGCAACAAAGUUGUCAAAUUCAUCAAAGCAUAGGCUAGCAGGUUUGUCAAAAGGAAUAUCACUCUCGUAAAACCUACGCAGAGAAUUCACUUCUACUACCUGUAUCGGGUUAUCAAGACCAUGGAUCUCUUCGAUAGGUGGUAGAUUUUUGACAUCUUCAGAUCUAAUGCCUUUCUCUUGCAUAGAUUUCUUGGCUUCUUGCAUAUCUUCGGGACUGAGGAAUUGAAUACCUCUUUUCUUCGGAGUUGUCUUCGGAGGUGGUUCAGGAAUAGUCCAAGCAUUAUCGUUGAUCAAGAUGUUAUUCAGUAGGGUCUCAGCUUGUUCUACAGUUCAUUCCCUAAAAACACAACCAGCACAGCUAUCUAGGUGGUCUCUAGAGGCAUCGAUAAGUCCGUUAUAGAAGAUAUCAAGUAUCUCGUUCUUCUUAAGAGGGUGAUCAAGCAAAGCAUUUUGUAGCUGGACCAGCCUCCCCCAAGCUUGUGGGAGACUCUCUUCUCGGAGUUGAGCAAAGUUGUAUAUUUCCUGCAAGGCAACUUGCUUCUUAUGGGCAGGGAAAUAUUUCUCACAGAAGUAAUAGACCAUAUCCUGGGGACUACUCACACAUCCACGAGCAAGAGAGGUGAACCAGGCUUUAGCAUCAUCCUUUAGAGAGAAAGGAAACAUCUUAAGGAUAUAAUAGUGGCGGAUCUUCUCCUCACUAGUGAAAAGGGUGGUUAUAUCGUGCAGUUUGGUAAGAUGGGCUACGACCGUCUCAGACUCAUAACCAUGGAAAGGAUUAGAUUCGACUAGAGAGAUUAUCUCACGGUCGACAGAGAAUUCAUAAUCCUUAUCGGUGAUAAAGAUAGGUGAAGUGGCAAACUUCGGGUCGUAUUUCAUCCUAGCUUUCAGAGAUUUUUCCUUCCACUUGAGAAGUAAUUUCUCAGCGUCAUAGGCAUCCUUACACGCAAGAAAAUCCUCAGCUAUCUCUCCCUCCAUAACAUAACCCUCAGGUAUAUCAGGCAAUUCAUAUCUAGGAUAGCUAGAUCUAGCACGAGCAAAAGCAGGUUCUAUCUUAAUAGUAUCGGCAGUAUCAGAAGCAUCAUGAGCAUUGGCAGUAACUCUAGCAAUAUGAGCAUCAAGGAACACCCCUAGUGGAACAUCAGGCAAAGUAGUAUCUCUAGCAGUAUCAAGCUUAGCAUCAUCAGGCAUAGCAUCUCUAGCAGUAUCAGACAUAGUAUCUCUAGCAGUAUCAAGCAUAGCAUCAUCACACAUAGUAUCAAGCAUAGUAUCUCUAGCAGUAGCAUCAUAAUAAUCAUCAAGCACAGGCGACAUAUCAAGAUUUCUAGGAGGAGGUGAUGUCGCAAACUUGCUCAUAACUGAAGGUGAAUCAAGUUCGGAGCUAGAUGGCAGUUCCUUACCUCCCCUCAUAGUUGAGGGCAAGACUUUAGUUCUUGGAUCUUUCAGAUUCUUCAUAGUGAUCAGCAGAUAUAAAUCCCAAGUGUCUCAGAGAAUAUAGCAAUACCCCCCCGGCAACGGCGCCAGAAAAAUAAUGACUCCGUGACAACAGACCUUCCCCUGCAAUGACACCAGAAGAAUGCUGCUAGCACUCUCCGACAAUCAAACUAGAAGAAUGUUGUUAACGGCCCACCAGCGCAUGGGAUCGCAGCGGUUAUCGUGGGUAGAGUAUUUGACCCAAAUUUGUUGAUACGCCAAAAGGAGGUGAGAGGAUACUCUCAAGUAUUAGCAGCUGAAUGUGUCAGAUUCAACCACACUUGAAAGAUUAGUAUCUGCAAGCAAAGUAUCAGCAGCAAAGUAAUAUGAUAACAACGGUGUCAGAAACGAUCUCUUGACGGCAUACUAUUCCUAACGAUUGUAUCAAUGGCGCCAGAAGUUGCCCGUUGACGGAAAUUGUCUGUUCCCGUCAAUGACCAGGGUACCAAAAUUAUAGCGGGUAUCAGCAGUGUAACGAGUAAUAGUAGUGGCAAGGAACAACAGUAGUGACAACAGUAGCAAGUAACAACAGUAGCAAGCGACAAUAGUAACAACAGUAGCAGCAGAGCAAGACAAGUAACAGCAGUAGAAGCAGAGCAAGACAAGUAACAGCAGUAGGACAAACUCGUAGGCAAUGGGUCUGUGAUUUGUUUGGAUGAUAUUCAUCAUGCAACAGUUAUAACACGGAGAGAUAUGUGGCUAGCUCCCGUUCGUCAAUGUGAUGUAGGCAUGCAUUCCGUGUGUCGUCAUACAUGCUUAGGGAAAAGAACUUGCAUGACAUCUAUUGUCCAUCCCUCCCGUAGCAGCGGGGUCCAAAAGGAAACUACGGGAUAUUAAGGUUCUCCUUUUAAUAAAGAACCGGACCAACGCAUUAGCACUUGGUGAACACAUGAACUCCUCAAACUAUGGUCCUCACCGGGAGUGGUUCCGGUUAUUGUCACUCCGGUGUUGCCGGAUUAUAACCCAUAGUAGGUAACUACAACUUGCAAGAUCGGAUCUAAAACACACAUAUAUUGGUGACAACAUAAUAAUUUUAGAUAUGAAAUCAUGGUACUCGGGCCCUAGUGACAAGCAUUAAGCAUGACAAAGUAGUAGCAACAUCAAUCUAAGAACAUAGUGGAUACUAGGGAUCAAUCCCCGUCAAAACUAACUCGAUUACACGAUAGAUCUCAUCCUACUCAUCACCGCCCAACGAGCCUACGAAUAGAUUAGUCAUGAACGAUGAAGAGCUUCCUGGAAUUGGAGAGGGAAGAAAGUUGAUGACGACGAUGGCGACGAUAUCCCCUCUCCGGAGCCCAAAAUGGACUCUUAAUCUGCGCUCUAGAUGAAGAACAGGAUAUGGCGGCGCCUCCGUAUCGCAAACGCGACGAAAUCUUCUCUCUUGAUUUUUUAUGGGACGAAAGUGAACUUAUAGAGCUGAGAUUGGGGGCGGCAGAGCCACGUGGGCCCCACAAGCUUGCUAGCCGCCACCAGUGGGGUGUCGGCUACAUGGCUUGUGGCCCACUGGCCCACCCCCUUCGGUGGAUCUUUGCGUAGGUAUUUUUCAUAUUUUCCAGAAAUAAUCUCCGUAAAUUUUCACAACGUUUGGAGAACUUUCAUUUCUGCACAAAAACAACACCAAGGCAAUUCUGCUGAAAACAGCGUCAGUCCAGGUUAGUUCCAUUCAAAUCAUGCAAAUUAGAGUCCAAAACAAGGGCAAAAGAGUUUGGAACAGUAGAUACGAUGGAGACGUAUCACUCAUCACCCGUGUGUGAUCCUCUAUCCCGGCACGUCGUCUGUCGUCACCACUUUCAUGCAUCCCUGUAUCACGGCACGCCGCCCCUCGUCACAGCUCCCGUGCGACCAACAAUGGAUCUAAGGUACGACCAUGAAUAGGCUCAAGCUUACCCACCAAGUUUGAGAUUUUUUGUUUUUUAAAGCAAGCACAUGCAAUCGCAUCCCUCGUUCCAGCCAGAAGCAGCAACGGCCGCGCCGUCCAGUGGCAGAUCCAUAUUAAAUAAUGGGUAUUACAUGUGCACACCCAAUUUUUUUUGGCAGGUAUACUAGGCACAUGUAUUAAUAGUAGUGUGGGAGUUGUUUGAGCAAAGAACAUCACGUCAAUUCAUAUAACCCAGGUCUAGUUGGCCCAUUACCCCACUAGCUUGAUUCCGUCACGUUGAACCCAAAAGCCUAAUACAAGGUUAAUUACGUUUCAUGCUAAUAUGGACCUAGUAGUAUUGAUGAUAUCACGUACCAUUUCACUUCACAUACUGUAAUCUUAUCUUGUCAUUGUUUAAAUGUCUGAUUUCAGGGUUGGUGCUGCCAGCUUCAUCACCUUGUUGUUACAGAAGGUCAUGAUUAACAUCAAGCCAUAGACGGUGAUGUUACUGAAAUUACUUUACACAACUAUUCUCGGAAAAGGAGUUAUGCAGCCAAAAGGGUCUUCGCGUCUUCUUGUGUUGUACUCCCUUCGUCCCAAAAUUCUUCUCUUAGGUUUGUCUAAAAAUAAAUGUACCUAAAUACUAAAACAUGACUAGAUACAUUUAUAUUUAGACAAAUCUAAGACAAGAGUUUUGGGACGGAGGGAGUAGUUAUGAAAUGUUCUAGCCAAUCUCAGCCCCUCAGGCUCCCAAACUUAUUGAAGACAAUGCUUCUCUACAUUUUGUAGAACUUUUUUAUCAUUUAUCUGGUGCAUUUUUUAUUAAAUCCUACUUGAGCAAUGCAACAAAUGUAUUAGUGGAUACAAUGCAAUUGUUAGCCUGUAAUAUUUUCUUCAAGGUAUGUGAACGAUAUAUCUGAAGUCUCAACCUUGUAAAACUAAUAUGUGAGCUAUUCCUGAUAUUAUGAAGUUCAUUAUCAUAAAAACUACAAUACCAGUUCCCUCUAUGUAGUCUAGGUACUAGAUCUCAAUAACAAAAUGUCUUUCAUAUUUGAUGAUGAUAAAGGCUUAUAGAGACUAGCUUAGCCUUCUUUUCAUCACAUUAAGUUUGUUUCCAUGUCUAUUUCUGUUUCUUUGUGUUUAAUUUUGUUUAAAAUCUGGGCAUACUGAAAAAUUCAAGAUUACCACGGAAAAAAAAGAGUCAUGAUUCAGACUACUGUAGUGAUUGUUGAUACACUAGAAAAAAUGAAUUGAACUCUCACCACAACACUUUGUGAAUUAUAUGACUUUUAAUAAAUGAGACUCCUAAUACAUCUAAGCACUCGCAAAAAAAUUCAGGGUGGCUUAUAAAGCGUCAACGAAUAUGGUGUCAGCAAAAGGUUUAUGGCGAUGUUUCACAUUAGGUUUUGUUGUUGUUCUUCUUCCUACUCUUUGAUUCAAGCAGUCUUCUUGAUUAUUGGAGGACACAAAGUCGAGGAUUGAGUCCGUCUUGCACUUAUGAUGUGGGAUGAUGGUUUUGUGUGUAGCUCCGACCAAACUCUGCCCCCUCCAGUCAGUUGCACGCAUUCAGGUUCGUUCUUCAUCAGUGCUAAUGCCAAACAUUCAUCAGUUUUAUGUAUCCUACCUGACCAACCAAGUUCCAAAUUCAUAUUUUGGCACUCAGAUGAUUUACAUUUAGUUCGAAGCAUGUGUAGUUAAUCCGGUCUUUAAGACUUCUAAUCAAUAAUAUUUCUUAGAAGCAACGGAAAGUGUAGGUUUAUAUCUAACAUGGCUGAUAUGUUAUCUACAGUAGGUCGCGGAGAAGUGAGCUGCCUGAGCUGUAUCUGUUGAAAGACUCCAUAAAUUAUUGACAUAUUGAUAGAAACUCCAAUUCUCCUCCAGUAGUUAUUGGGUAUAACCCUCAUUGGCACCUAUUUCUAUUUUUGUUACAGGUUUACUUAGUUACUUCCAUGUACUUUAAGAAUAUAGGAGCUUUCAUUGUCAUCAGUACAUAUGGACAGGGGAUAAAGAACAUUUCAGAUCUAAUACUGUAAUAUUGUACUUCUAGAAUUAUGAAUAUAAUAUAAUUAGUUGAUGUGGCAAUACUAUUAUGCAAUGCAAUCUACUCUAUAAACUACUUAUUGUUUACUGAAUUUAAUCUGCUUCCACUGAUUUAUGUCAAUAAAAUAUUAUUUAAAGAUGGUGCUAAAUAAUUGUUCGUUAGUGAUCGACCUCAACAAUCAAUCGUUUUCAAUAUGUUGGUGUUUGAUCGAGGUACAAAUAGAGUUUUGAUUGUGUAGUCUCAGCAGCCUCAUUUAGGACUAUUCUCCUUUCAUCUUCUAUAUGGAAGUACGAUAAUAGCAUUUAUGAAGCUUUUGUAAUUCCUUUACGAGUUCUUUCAUUUGGAUCCUAUGAUUACUUUCAUUUUCUCCUGGCAGGAACUAAAAUAUUCUUGAAGAGCCUGUAAAAUUAUUACGGAGAUGUAGCUCUUGUUAGAAUUCCUUGUUGUGCUCCUAAAUUUAAAAUCGAUGGUGCUGAAUUUAAAAAUUAAUUCUAGGCAGUGCAUGUUGAUAUGGCACUUUGAAAACUUAAUAUUUUGUAUGAUGUCGCGGAAACUGUAGCACUGUCGGUAAUCAGAAAAAACAAAUAUUGCAUGGCCAUCAACGAGUAUAAGUGACUAAUAUCCUACCUCUGUUAUUGCUUGUUACAUGUCAAUGCAUUGUGUGUUAACAGUUUUUUGUAGAUUCUAAAGAUAAAUGGAUGAUUAUAUGGGUAUAUCGCAAGUAUACUGUAAGGAUGAUGAUGAUGUUCCUGUUUAUGACGAUGAGGAUGAUGAUGGAUGUUCUCAUUUUGAGUCAAGUUGUAGGGAUGAUGUUUCUAUUAGAUUAUGUUUCUUGGUUAAGUUGUAGUUAAGUUGUAGGGAUGUUGAUGGAUGCUUUUAGUGUAAGUUUUGUUGUCAAUAAAAUGCAUCACAUUUGUAUAAUGUUCCUUAUGUAAUAAUCACUAUUGUAAUCCAACUGUUUUGUCUAAUAUAUGAUUUCUUCUUACGAGAGUAUAUUCUCUUAUUUUUUGUUCACAUGAGAUACAUAUUUAUCAAGAUUGUGCGGGGCAUUUAUGUUGUAGUGCAAGUAGUUGUGCGGUGAGAUGAUUCGUAGCAAGUAGCAAGUAACAAAAGUAACAACGGUGCAGCAAAGUGGCCCAAUCCCUUUUGUAGCAAGGGACAAGCCUGUACAAAGUCUUAUAGGAGGAAAAACGCUCCCGAGGACACACAGGAAUUUCUGUCAUGGUAGUUUUCAUCAUGUUCAUAUGAUUCGCGUUCGCUACUUUGAUAGUUUGAUAUGUGGGUGGACCGGCGCUUGGGUACUGCCCUUACUUGGACAAGCAUCCCACUUAUAAUUAACCCCUCUCGCAAGCAUCCGCAACUAUGAAAGAAGAAUUAAGACAAAGUCUAACCAUAGCAUUAAACUAGUGGAUCCAAAUCACCCCCUUACGAAGCAACGCAUAAACUAGGGUUUAAGCUUCUGUCACUCUAGCAACCCAUCAUCUACUUACUACUUCCCAAUGCCUUCCUCUAGGCCCAAAUAAUGGUGAAGUGUUAUGUAGUCGACGUUCACAUAACACCACUAGAGGAAAAACAACAUACAACACAUCAAAAUAUAGAACGAAUACCAAAUUCACAUGACUACUUAUAGCAUGAUUUAUCCAUGUCCUCAGGAACAAAAGUAACUACUCACAAAGCAUAAUCAUAUUCAUGACCAGAGAGGUAAUGAGUAGCAUCAAAGAUGUGAACAUAAACUCUUCCACCAAGCAAUCCAACUAGCAUCAACUACAAAGAGUAAUUAACACUACUAGCAACCUUACAAGUACCAAUCGGAGUCGCGAGAUGGAGAUUGGUUACAAGUGAUGAACUAGGGUUUGGAGAUGAGAUGGUGCUGAUGAAGAUGUUGAUGGUGAUGAGUCCCCCCCGAUGAGAGGAGUGUUGGUGAUGAUGAUGGCGACGAUUUCCCCCUCCAGGAGGGAAGUUUCCCGGCAGGAUCGUCCUGCCGGAGCUCUAGAUUGGUUCUGCUCAAGUUCCGCCUCGUGGCGGCGAAUCCUCAUGAUUUUUUCCACACUGAAACCCUUCUUGUAGAAAAAGAGGGGGGCCAGUGGGCCAGCAGGCAGCCCACAAGCCCCCUAGGCGCGACCAGGGGGUGGCCGCGCCUAGCAGGCUUGUGGCCACCUGCUGGCGCCCCUCUGGCACUUCUUUGGCCUAGUAUUUUUUAUAAAUCCCAAAAAAAUCCACGUUGAUUUUCACGGCUUUUGGAGUUGCGCAGAAUAGGAAUCUCAAACUUGCUCCUUUUUCAGGCCAGAAUUCCAGCUGUCGACAUUCUCCCUCUUCAUGUAAACCUUUCAAUAUAAGAAAGAAAAGGCAUAAGUAUUGUAUCGUGAAGUGAAAUAACAGCCCAAAAAUCAAUAAAUAUCAACAUGAAAGCAUGAUGCAAAAUGGACGUAUCAACUCCCCCCAAGCUUAGACCUCGCUUGUCCUCAAGCGAAAGCCUAGAUCAAUAAACAUGCCCACAUGUUUAGGGAGAGAGGUGUCAAAAAAACAAGAUACGAACAUGCAGGCAUCAUGAUCAUGAUUAGAACAGCAAUACCAUCAUAUCAACUCUUAUGCUAAAGUGACAAUUCCUUCACAAAGUAAAGUAUGGAUCAAGAACCUUACCGAGAAUUAACAACCGAUAGCCUUUAGUCAUUGAAGCAAUUGCAAUUUAUCACAACAUCAGAAAGAGUCAAAUAAUAGCUUGUAAAGAAUAUCCACAUACUCAAUCAUCUUUUCGUUCUCUACAAUUGCUACAACUCAUGUGGUACUCAUGAGAUCAAAGUUUCAGUUGGACACAGAGAAAGAUAGGGGCUUAUAGUUUCGCCUCCCAGCCAUUUACCUCAAGGGUAAUGUCAACAAUAAUAAUUCAUGAAUACUUACUUCCAAGUUGACAUAUGAAUAUAGAUCUUUCCAAAGCAUAAGACGUUAGAUAAGAUAAAGGCGAAACAAGGAAUUGGUGAAGAUCACCAUGGCUCUUUCAAGGGCAAAAAUUAAAGGUACAAGAUAGGCCCUUCGUAGAGGGAAGGAGAGGUUGUCAUGCACUUUUGAGGUUUGGAUGUGUGUCCUCUUAGUGUGGAGGAACGUCACUUUAUAUUGACUCAUGUGAUAAAGAAGUUUAUUAUGCAAUCUGUCGCUUUUAUGUCUUCCUCAUCACAGGUUCAUACAAAGCUUAUUUUCCACACACUAAUAGAUCAUACAUAUUAGGGAGAAAUUUUUAUUGCUUGCACUGAUGACAACUUACUAGAGGGAUCUUAUUCAAUCCAUAGGUAGGUAUGGUGGACUCUCAUGGCAAAACUGGGUUGAAGGUUUGUGGAUGCACAAGUAGUAUCUCUACUUAGUGCAGGAGGUUUGGCUAAUAUGAGGUAGAAGCAAACGUCACAUGCUAAGGGAUAUCUAAUCAUAUAACAUUGUCCAACAUCUACUUCUAAGCAUGUAAUAGUUUAGUGAGUGUUCACAAUCAUAGAUGGUGUCAAAGAUGAUAUAUUUAUAUGUGAACCUAUCCUUCUUUAUCACUUCCAAUUAAUUGCAACAAUGACCAAGGUCUACGUUUGUCUACCCUCAACAAGUUUCAAUCAUCAUUCUUUUUAUAUGUGAAGCCAUCACUUUCCAUAAGAUAAUUACAUGACCUUUCAUGCUUUUGUUCCUUCUCAAUCUUUUGAUCAUGGCAUGAGGCAAAGCCCUUCAACUAAGACACUCUUUAUUAUAUGGCUCACGAUCUCGAAUACAUCGGGGGUGACACAAAGCAAAACUGAAGCCUAAAACACUAAGACCUUUAUUCUACUAGAGAAAUUGAAAACUGAAAAGGAACAAACUAAAACAAAGGUAAAGGCAAAAGAUGUGAUGGUGAUACGAUACCGGGGCGACUCCCCCAAGCUUGGCACAAGCCAACGGGAUUGCCCAUACCCAUGCUCAGUUGUCUUCCUUUGGAGGUGAUGGUGGUGGAGUUGUUGCAACAUGAGUUUGAUCCUCCGUCUUCCAAGGCAUAGGUGCUCCAUCAUGGAAAGAUGAACGAGUCUCCGGAAUCCUCAAAUCUGCAGUCAACCGUAUUGAUUUAAAUCUAUACUCAUACUCACAGUUUUGGUUCUGUAGGUCAUAGAUAUGGGCUUUGAGGUGAUCAAUCCUGUCAUAGAGCCUGGAGAGGUGCUUCCCGAUGUCAUUGGCGUCGAUCCUGUGCUUGCUGGUGAACUCUGUGAUCAUCAUGUGGUUGGCUUUGAGUCCAUGUUCCACCAUCCCUUGGCACUUGAAGACUUGUUGCUCCAUCGCUUCGAGCCUCGCCUCCAUGCUUCCGGUCUUCUUGGGCCCCUCAACAUCACGGAUGUGCAGCAUCCCCUCACGCAUCUCGAUAGAUUGAGGGUGUUGUAGCACUCCCGAGAGGUAGGGAUUGAUGACCUUCUCGAAGAUCUUGUCCUUCGGAGCUUUUGGGGAUGUCAUAGCGAUCUAGAUCUGCAACAGAAACAGGCUCGAAACGAAAACAAAGGAAAUCUACGUGAUGCAAGGGUCAAACCUUUCGGGAGAAUAUAUAAUGAUUUUUUUCUGACCAGAAGGAGUACUCCGCACGUAAACGGAGUCCGGGAGGCACACGAGCUGGCCACAAGCCCCCCAGGCGCGGCCAGGGGGUGGGCCCACGCCUGGCAGGCUUGUCGCCUCCUCGCGCGCUUUCCGGACUACUUCCAAUUUUUCUAUUUUUUCAAAUAUUCCAAAACGGAGAAAAAUUCCUACUGGAAAAGUUUUGGAGUCUGUUUACUUACCAAAUCACAUACCUCUUCGUUUUCGGAGUCUGAAAUAGGCUGAUAAAUAUCCCUUAGGUAUUCCUCCGGAGUUAUGGUAUUGAUAAUAUUGCUUUCAACAUUUAUGGGAGUACCUGAGAUAUAAUGCUUGAUUCUCUGCCCAUUUACCACUCUCGGACGAUUACCUUCCGUGUUGUUGAUCUUGAUAGCACCAGAACGAUAUACUUCCUCUACAAUAUAGGGACCUUCUGAUUUAGAGAGAAUCUUGCCUGCAAAAAAUCUUAAACGAGAAUUCUAUAGCAAGACAUAAUCACCUACAUUGAACUCACGCUUUUGUAUCCUCUUAUCAUGCCACCUCUUAACCUUUUCUUUGAACAACUUGGCAUUGUCAUAUGCCUGAGUUCUCCAUUAUUCAAGCGAGCUAAUAUCAAAUAACCUCUUCUCACCAGCAAGUUUGAAAUCAAAGUUGAGCUCUUUGAUUGCCCAAUAAGCUUUAUGCUCUAGCUCAAGAGGUAAAUGACAUGCUUUACCGUACACCAUUUUGUACGGAGACAUGCCCAUGGGAUUCUUAUAGGCAGUUCUAUAAGCCCACAGUGCACCAACGAGCUUCUUAGACCAAUUCUUUCUGGACCUGUUGACAGUCUUUUGCAGAAUCUGUUUAAUCUCUCUAUUGCUUAGCUCUACUUGACCACUGGACUGAGGGUGAUAGGGAGACACAAUUCUAUGGUUGAGAUCGUACUUAGCAAGUGUUUUACGGAAAGCACCAUGAAUGAAAUGUGAACCACCGUCGGUCAUUACAUAUCUAGGGACUCCAAAUCUAGGGAAAAUAACUUCUUUAAGCAUCCUGAUAGAGGUGUUGUGAUCAGCACUACUAGUGGGGAUAGGUUCUACCCACUUAGUGACAUAAUCAACAUCAACUAGGAUAUGAGUAUACCCAUCGGAUUUUGGAAAAGGUCCCAUAUAAUCAAAUCCCUAGACAUCAAAUGGUUCAACGACAAGUGAAUAGUUCAUAGGCAUUUCCUGACGUUUACUGAUAUUACCUAUUAUUUGACAUUCAUCACAAGACAAGACAAACUUACGAGCAUCCUUGAAGAGAGUGGGCCAAUAGAAACCUGAUUGCAAUACGUUGUGUUCAGUUCUAUCUCCCGCAUGGUGUCCUUCGUAGGCCUUCGAGUGACAGUUCUGUAGGAUCUAUCCCUGUUCAUGUCCAGGUACACAACGUCUAAUAACACCAUCUACUCCUUCCUUAUAAAGGUGACGAUCAUCCCAGAAGUAAUAUCUCAAGGCAAAGAAGAAUUUCUUCUUUUGCUGGUAUGUGAAACUAGGUGGUAUAUAUUUGGCAACAAUAUAGUUUGCAUAAUCAACAUACCACGGUGCACUACGUGAAGUAUUGAUGACAUUCAAUUGCUCAUCAGGAAAACUAUCAUCAAUAGGUUGUGGGUCAUCAAGAACGUUCUCCAACCUAGACAAGUUAUCUGCUACUGGGUUAUCAGCACCCUUCCCGUCAACAACAUGAAAAUCAAAUUCUUGUAGCAAGAGAACCCAUCUAAUAAGUCUAGGUUUAGCGUCUUUCUUCUCCAUGAGGUACUUAAUAGCAGCGUGAUCAGUGUGAAUAGUGACUUUGGAAUCAACUAUGUAAGACGUGAACUUUUCACAUGCAAACACGACUCUAAAAAUUCCUUUUCCGUAGUUGCAUAGUUUCUUUGGGCACUGUCUAGAGUUGUACUAGCAUAGUGAAUAACAUUCAAAUUCUUAUUAAUUCUUUGCCCUAGGACAACACCAACAGCAUAAUCACUAGCAUCACACAUGAUUUCAAAAGUUAAGUUCCAAUCAGGUGGUUGAACAAUAGGUGCAGUUAUCAAGGCCUUCUUAAGUAUUUUGAAGGCUUCCUCACAAUCAUCGUCGGAAACAAAAGGAAUAUCCUUUUGCAAGAGAUUGGUAAGAGGCUUAGAAAUCUUAGAGAAGUCUUUAGUGAACCUCCUAUAGAAACCAGCAUGACCAAGGAAACUUCUUAUACCUUUGAUAUCUCUGGGGUAUGGCAUUUUCUCGAUUGCGUCAACCUUAGCCUUAUCGGCUUCAAUACCUCUUUCAGAAAUUUGAUGUCCUAAGACGAUGCCUUCAUUAACCAUAAAGUGGCACUUCUCCCAAUUCAAGACAAGAUUGGUGUCUUUAAAUCUCUGCAAGACCUGAUCAAGGUUGCUGAGGCAAUCAUCAAAAGAAGACUCGUAAAUGGAGAAGUCAUCCAUGAAAACCUCAACAAUCUUUUCACAAAAGUCAGAGAAUAUAGCCAUCAUACAUCUUUGAAAGGUGGAAGGUGCAUUACAUAAUCCAAAAGGCAUACGUCUAUAAGCAAAGGUACCGAAAGGGCAGGUGAAAGUGGUUUUGUCCUGAUCAGCUUGUGCAACUGGUAUUUGGGAGAAACCAGAAUAACCGUCUAGGAAGCAGAAGUGUGUGUGUUUAGAUAGCCUUUAUAGCAUUUGGUCGAUAAAAUGCAAAGGGUAAUGAUCUUUCCUAGUGGCUUUAUUCAGUUUCCUAAAAUCGAUCACCAUCCUAUAGCCAGUAAUAAUACUCUGUGGGAUCAAUUCAUCCUUAUCAUUAGGGACAACGGUAAUGCCUCCCUUCUUAGGGACGCAAUGCACCGGACUCACCCAACCACUAUGAGCAACGCGAUAGAUAAUAUCUGCUUCCAGGAGCUUUAUUAUUUCUUUUCUUACUACCUCUUUCAUCUUAGGAUUUAAUCUCCUUUGAUGAUCAGCAACUGGUUUGGAAUUAGGAUCAAUUUUAAUCUUGUUCUGGCAUAGAGUGGGACUAAUGCCCUUAAGAUCAUCAAGAGUAUAUCCAAUAGCAGCACGGUGCUUCCAGGAGUUUUUACUAACUUCUUUUCUUCUUGCUCUGAGAGGCUAGCGCUAAUAAUAACAGUAUAUAUCUCUUUUUCAUCAAUAUAAGCAUACUUAAGAGUAUUAGGCAACUGUUUAAGCUCGAACACAGGAUCACCCUUUGGUGGGGGUGGAUCCCCAAGCAGUUCAACAGACAAAUUAUUCUUAAGGAUAGGAUAUUCUUCUAAGACAACUCUAUCUAUCUCAUCCCUUUCAUCCAUAUGCAUAUCAUUUUCAUGCUCAAGCAAGUAUUGCUCUAAAGGAUCAGUAGGAGGCUCGACAAAAGAAGCUAGGGCAAUAGUUUCAUCCCUACUAGGCAACUCUUUUUCAUGAGGUUUUCUACCAAACUUAAAGAAAUUGAACUCAUGUGACACACCUUCAAAGCCAACAGUGACAGUUCGUUUCUCACAGUCAAUAUGAACAUUGACAGUAUUGAGAAAAGGUCUGCCAAAUAUGAUGGGACAAAAGCUAUCUUGAGUGGUAGCAAGAACGACGAAAUCUGCAGGAUACUUCGUUUUACCACACAAGACUUCAACAUCCCUAACAAUUCCCAUAGGGCAGAUAGUAUCUCUAUUGGCCAGCUGAAUAGUGACAUCAAUAAGCUCUAUCUCAAUAGGUGCAAUCUCGUCUUUGAUUUCAUCAUAUAAGGAUUGAGGUAUUGCACUAACACUAGCACCCACGUCACAUAAACCAUGAUAACAAUGAUCUCCUAUCUUAACAAAAACAACAGGCGUGCCAACAACAUGCCUAUGUUUGUCUCUAACGUGAGGUUUAGCAAUUCUAGCAGCAUCUUCACAGAAGUGAAUAUUAUGUCCCUCAACAUUAUCGGACAGGAGAUCUUUGAUAAUAGCAAUGCUAGCUUCAACUCUAAUUUGCUCAGGGGUGUAGGUGUUCUAAUGUAGCCUCUACGUAUCAUAGAUGAAGGCUCAGAAUGAUCCUUUAUCCUAACAGGGAAAGGUGGUUUCUCAAUGUAAGCACUGGGAACAACAUGAUCAUUAUAGGCAAUGACUCUCUCUUCAACUGGAUUGGGUUUAACUAGAUUGACUUCUAAGGCAGGAUGAUAUUUAAACCACUUCUCUUUGGGGAGAUCAAUAUGAGCAGCAAAUGAUUCACACAAUGAAGCUACUAUCUCAGAGUCAAGUCCAUACUUAGCGCUAAAAUCACAAAAGGUAUUUGUUUCAAUAAAGGAUUUAACGCAAUCAAACUUGAAAUUCAUACAUGACUCCUUACCUUCUUCAAGCUCCCAAUCUUCAGAGUUGCGGUUAAUUCUCUCCAAUAAAUUCCAUUUGAAGUCAAUAUCUCUCUUCAUAAAAGAACUGGUACAAGAAGUGUCAAGCAUGGUGUGAUCAUCAUGAGAAAGCCGAGCAUAGAAGUUCUGAAUGAUAAUUUCUCUCAAGAGCUCAUGGUUGGGGCAUGAAUAUAACAUUGAUUUAAGCCUCCCCAAGCUUGAGCGAUGCUUUCUCUGUCACGAGGCCAAAAAUUAUAAAUAUAAAUCCGAUCACGAUGUACUAAAUGCAUAGGAUAAAACUUUUGAUGAAAUUCCAAUUUCAACCGAUCGUAGUUCCAUGAUUCAGUAUCAUCACAUAGCCUAUACCAUGUCAACGCCUUAUCCCUCAAAUAUAAGGGAAAUACCUUCUUCUUGACCUCAUCCUCGGGCAAACCUCCAAGCUUAAAUAAAUCACAAACUUCAUCUACAUAGAUUAGAUGCAAGUCUGGAUGUAAUGUUCCAUCUCUUGUAAAAGGAUUAGCCAGCAGUUUUUCAAGCAUACCCGAAGGAAAUUCAAAGCAAAUAUUUUCAGUAGGUGCAGAAUGUUGAGGAGCAACUAUUUGUGCUUCCGUUCGAGGUGAAGAUACCCCGAACAAGCCCCUCAAAGGAUUAGUUUCCAUAGUGACAAGUGACAAUAAAUGUCAGCACACUAUAUGAAUGUUUCCUUACCAAUUUCCACUUACCAAAGGCACUUCACUCCACGGCAACGGCGCCAGAAAAGAGUCUUGAUGACCCCACAAGUAUAGGGGAUCGAUCGUAGUCCUUUCGAUAAGUAAGAGUGUCGAACCCAACGAGGAGCAGAAGGAUCUGACAAGUGGUUUUCAGCAAGGUAAAAUCUGCUAGCACUGAAAUUAUUGGUAACAAGUAGUUGUGCGGUGAGAUGAUUCGUAGCAAGUAGCAAGUAACAAAAGUAACAACGGUGCAGCAAAGUGUCCCAAUCCCUUUUGUAGAAAGGGACAAGACUGGACAAAGUCUUAUAGGAGAAAAGACGCUCCCGAGGACACACGGGAAUUUCUGUCAUGCUAGUUUUCAUCAUGUUCAUAUGAUUCGCAUUCGCUACUUUGAUAGUUUGAUAUGUGGGUGGACCGGCGCUUGGGUACUGCCCUUACUUGGACAAGCAUCCCACUUAUGAUUAACCCCUCUCGCAAGCAUCCGCAACUAGGAAAGAAGAAUUAAGACAAAGUCUAACCAUAGCAUUAAACUAGUGGAUCCAAAUCAGCCCCUUACGAAGCAACACAUAAACUAGGGUUUAAGCUUCUGUCACUCUAGCAACCCAUCGUCUACUUACUACUUCCCAAUGCCUUCCUCUAGGCCCAAAUAAUGGUGAAGUGUUAUGUAGUCGACGUUCACAUAACACCACUAGAGGAAAAACAACAUACAACACAUCAAAGUAUCGAACGAAUACCAAAUUCACAUGACUACUUAUAGCAUGACUUAUCCCAUGUCCUCAGGAACAUAAGUAACUACUCACAAAACAUAAUCAUAUUCAUGACCAGAGAGGUAAUGAGUAGCAUCAAAGAUCUGAACAUAAACUCUUCCACCAAGGAAUCCAACUAGCAUCAACUACAAAGAGUAAUUAACACUACUAGCAACCUUACAAGUACCAAUCGGAGUCGCGAUAUGGAGAUUCGUUACAAGUGAUGAACUAGGGUUUGGAGAUGAGAUGGUGCUGAUGAAGAUGUUGAUGGUGAUGAGUCCCCUCCGAUGAGAGGAGUGUUGGUGAUGACGAUGGCGACGAUUUCCCCCUCCGGGAGGGAAGUUUCCUCGGCAGGAUCGUCCUGCCGGGGCUCUAGAUUGGUUCUGCUCAAGUUCCACCUCGUGGCGGCGGCAAAUCCUCCGAAAAGCCUCCUCUUGAUUUUUUUUCCAGACCGAAACCCUUCUUGUAGCAAAAGAGGGGGGCCAGUGGGCCAGCAGGGAGCCCACAAGCCCCCUAGGCGCGGCCAGGGGGUGGUCGCGCCUAGCAGGCUUAUGGCCACCUGCUGGCGCCCCUGUGGCACUUCUUCGGCCCAGUAUUUUUUAUAAAUCCCAAAAAAAAAUCCACAUUGAUUUUCACAGCUUUUGGAGUUGCGCAGAAUAGGCAUCUCAAACUUGCUCCUUUUUCAGGCCAGAAUCCCAGCUGCCGACAUUCUCCCUCUUCAUGUAAACCUUGCAAAAUAAGAGAGAAAAUGCAUAAGUAUUGUACCGUGAAGUGAAAUAACAGCCCAAAAGGCGAUAAAUAUCAACAUGAAAGCAUGAUGCAAAAUGGACGUAUCAGUGUGGCACAUAGAAAAUGUGGGUGGCAUCGUUGGUAAGAAUAACUGGGUCCUUGUGAUAUGCCGUAUUUAUGUGGUCAACAUAUCUCUUCCUAUAAGCAUCAACCUUUACGCUAUUAAGAGUGACCCAUCUGCACUUGAAUAAUGCCACCUUGACUCGCACGUAAUUAAUCUCGUAAAUCUCUUUGAUGGUUGCAUAGUACACAUGUUUAUCAUUUUCGUCUAUAGUUCAGCAUUCUAUUUGAACAAAGUUGUUCUGAUACAAGGACUACCAUCACGCUCCUCAGUGUAGAACGUGUUGCCAUUUAUGUUGUAUGCUUGGUACUUCAUAAUUGUUGUUAAUGGCUUUUGUGCCAACCACGUUGCAAGGUCAUGUUUGGAUCCGCGUGCCAAAUAAUCCUUCAACCAUCUUACGUAGUCCUCAUUGUGUGCAUUUGUCUCGGUAGCUGGUGAAAGCACAUUUGGUAAGUUUCUUGGUCGUAUCUCCUUCACGUGUUCUGUAGCAUAAGCGUCGAGUAUUAGGGUGUUAAGAAGUACCGUCAAAUGGGCUUGUGCGGCCAUUUCUCCAGGUGCACAAAUCCAUGUGCGAGCAAGGAAUGGCUUACCAGCCAUCCUUCCAUCAUGGUGAGAGAGGGGUGCACCUAUAGUUCUAAGUUUCAUGUAUUCGGUGCAAAACUAAACCACCUCCUCCACAGUAUAACCUUGCAGGAGGCUUGUCUCUGGAUGACAUCGGUUCUGAAAAUAGCACUUCAAUAUUCACAUGUACCACUUGAAGAGAUACAUGUUGCAAAGAAACACAAGACCAUAAUACUUUACCUCGCCGACAAAGUGCACGGUGACAUGGACCAUGGCAAUAACACCUUGCAUAUGAUCCUGCUCUUCAAUAUCCACCACCUCUUGCCAUAGUUUGUUGAAUAAAUCACACAAACCAAUCAGUGUGUUUCUUAUGUCUGUGUACAUCAUAUUCCUUAUGGCUACCGUGAGUAUUUGUGUCAAAAUUACGUGGCAAUCAUGUGACUUCAUGUGAGACAACUUAUUUUUAGCAAAGCUAUAAUCCACGAGACUUAUGAUGUUUGCGGAGUAGGAAGAGGGUGUCUUAAUAACCAACAAAAAUUCGAAGAACUCCUUUACUUCUGCUGUAAUGAAAUUGUCACUUUGGUGUAGGUGGAGCAAUUUGUCAUCAUACUAUCCUUCAUUCAUGCGUUCUGAUUGAUCACCAAUCAUAUCGAGUCAUGCACCGUCACCAUCCUUUCUUUUGACUUUAAUCUUGAGCAGAGUACCAAGGAUACUUUCACAGACGUUCUUCUCUACGUGCAUGAAUCAUGAUAUCAAUGAAGUGACGUACACUUACGAUCAGUUUUCCCCACCCCCGUACCCUUUCUUGACCCAUCCACUCGCUUGCACCGCUGCUUCCUUCCUCUUGGAGCACGGCCUGCACGAGCAGUGCUCGCCGCAGGUGCACGUGGUGUGCACCACCGCUGCAGGGGUUCACCGGCAUCGCCCCACCGCCGUCUCCGCCUCCGCUCUGCUUCUUCCCGAUGCACCUACCCGCAUGAAGACACGUCAGAUUUAGCGAUGGCCCCUCAAGCAAGCAAGGUACUACAAGCUGCAGGGAGGUUGGGUGUCACGGUGCCUGCCUCCAGGCGGCGCUGCCAGGGCAUGACAGGGCGCGACCACACUUGUCGUCGCUGGGCAUUGCCACAAAAGCUCUUGCUUGGCGCCUUUAUCACAGAUUAUCAGUCGGCAGAAGCUUUACAGGGCGCGCGUGGCAUUUUAUAGCCUACCACGAGUGAUGGAGAUGGGUGCAUGGACGUCUGGUGGGUGUAGCGGUGGCGGCGGUGCGGGAGCUCUAGGGAGUGUGGCCACAGCAAGUAGAGAGGCAACGACUCCAUGACGCAUCCAACGUAUGGACGGGGAAGAAGAAAAAUGCAGCUACGCUGCAGUUCGGUCGCACAUGCGCUGGAUUAGUCUUGGAGUUCCUCGUCCAUGGCUUGUGAUCUCUUUGAAUAAUACACUCGUAUUACAACCGAGCCAAGCGCAUGGUACAACCGGAAUUUUUUUCUAUGUAAUUUGCUGGAGGUGAGUAAUAUACAGGUGUAAAACAUUAUAGGGGUGGUAGAAAAACAACAUUCCAAUCGGGGCUUUAGGAACUCCGAGUAAGGUAAUUCUUGGAACACUAAUUUCUUCUUAAACACUUGGUUCAUGGGUGCUUUUUUUAGGUCGAACUGGAUCCCUUGCCAAGUACAACUUCAAUUUUUUAACCAUGUUUGUGGACUACUUGCUGAUCAUAGGGUCUUAGGCCCGUUCCUUUCUCUACCAUACCAUCAAAUCUCUCCUUAAGAACCUACAGUGAUGCAAAUACAUGGUUUUGCGGCUAUUUGGAAGGAAAUCUACUCGUUGGCCUACCCAUGCAUGUGACACAUCCUACUGGUCCCUUUGUUUUCUGCCCCGAAGUGUUGCCUCAUGCUGUCAUAUCUUGAAUGAUGUGCAGCAAGAAUGCAUGUAGCCGGGAAAACUCCUUUGCGUAGGCAUCAUAACAGUUCACACCAGGCUCGCACAAUGUGAGCGGUUCUUCUACCAGUAACUAAAAGUAAACGUCUAUAUCAUUCCCAUGUUGCUUUAGGCCUUGGAUAAUCAUCGACAUCAUGAUGUAUUUUUUCUCCAUACAUAACCAGGGAGGAAGGUUAUAUAUGCACAGAAGCACCAUCCAAGUGUUGUGCUUGGUGUUCACAUCGCCAAAUGGAUUAAAUCCAUCAGUACACUCCCCUAGCCAUAUAUUUCUAGGAUCCUUUGCAAAAUCUUUAAACAUGUCCGUGAUUUGUUCCCACUGAGCCCCAUCUUUCGGGUGCCUCAUAUAUUUAUCCGCAGUUCGCUCGUCAUGAUGCCACCAUAACCUAUUUGCCUCUCUAGGGUUUGCAAACAAACGCUUCAACCUUGGAAUUAUAGGCAAGUACCAAACAAAUUUACACGGAAUUCCUGUCUUGAUCUCUUUGUCCAUUUUGUACUUGUCCUUUGCUCUCCCGCGCAUGUAUGAUGGAUGCUUGCAUAUGCGACAUGAAUGCUAAUCUCUAGCAUCACCACAGUAGAACAUACAAUCAUUCACACAAGCGUGUAUCUUCUGGACUUCAAGUUCAAAUGGACGAACAACUUUGUUCGCUUUGUUCGUGCUUUUGGGGAGCACAUUAUCUUCUGGAAGAAUGUAUUUGAAAAGGCUCAACAACUCUGUGAAGGCCUUGUUUGAUAGACCGCUUUCUGGUUUAAAUCUGAGAACUGACAGUGUGACACUCAACUCGGAAUAUUUAUUUUUGCAACCUUGAUAAAAAUCUUUCUUCGAGGUUGCAUCAAUGGUUGGCGCUUAUUGUAGUCGGCUAUAUCUACAUCUGGGACCUCGAAAUCUAUAAUCAUAGCAGCAAAAUCUGGCAUAUCAUCAAGGUUGGUGUCUUCUGCUUCACACUCUUGGUUUUUCUUUGUGGUUUUUGGCAUGCGAGUGUUUUUUGUGUAGCUUGACGUACGAUCCCCGAGGUUAAAUUCAACACCCAUGCGACACUGAUCGGGGUUUGGCAACUUGCCGACGUGCACAUUGUUACCUUCAUCCAUAACCGGCUCUUUAGUGUGUCUAGUCCAUCGUGUGUAUCCACCCAUGAAUCUCACCUUGUAUAAGUGUAACUCGACCAAAUCAAUUGGACGUGACACCAUAUUGGUACAAUCCUUGCAUGGACACAUGACGUAAUCUUGAUCACCAAUUCUCUUCUUUGUCCGUUCAGCGAAAGCCAUGAAUUCUUGCAUGCCAUCCACAUACCUUGAGCUUGUCCGACCCCCAUUCAUUCAGAUCGUUCCAUCUGCACCAGCAAGGGGUAAUUAAAAAAUAUGGAUUAAUGGAUGCACAAAGAUGCAUGAAGAAAUCAAAAUAUUUUAUUUUCAAAAUUUAUGGAGAGCGCUACAUAAUGUUAUCCAGCUGUACGAUGACACUAAUCAAUGACUAGUCAAUUUACACAUAUUAUCAUCACUAGUUCCUUUAUAUGAAUUUAAUAUCUUAAUUAGCAUACUCAACGAAAAUAAUACCUUAGUUAAUUAGCAGCGGCAUGGCAAGAUAGCAAGGUUGAUGAGUAGAGUUUAGCCGGGCAACUACCUGAAGUCCGGUCUCCACUCUCCCACCUACAACCGCAAGGGACAUGCUCUAUUCACGUCGGUGCCGACCACGAUGAUUGAGUUCCUCCUCUAUCUCCCACCACUGACUGAGGAUUGACCUCCUAUCACACCGCCGUCUCUUACCGAUCAAGAAUGGACUUCCUAUAACGCUGACAUCGCCGACCGACCAGGGAUUGUAUACUAUCUGAUAGCCAUUUCCUCGGUCGCCGCCCACAUCUCUAUUAGCAUAAAAAAAAUUGGGGUUUUCGGAGAGCGGUUGUUUAACACCCUAUAUGUAUCAGGUAGCACAUCAAAAAUUGUCAUGUUACGGUAACUGUGUAUCACGGAUGUUUCCAUCUCACACAAUUUGGUUUAGGAAACCAUGUGUUGUGUACAAUAGAGUGCGAUAAACAGUUCCCCGACUUCCUUGUCGCUCUUGGUUUCCCUAUCUUCCCCAAAUCCCUAUAGCUUCCUUGUCUUCCCCAAAUCCAUAAAUAGCCUCCAAAUAUAUAGCCCCCAAAUUCCCUAGCGUCAUGCUGACAUUGGGGCAAUGUGGACGAGUGAUGCUGAUGGUUUUAGUGCACCCGCUCCGGUUCGUACAGUCGCUCUUGGCAGCGCCAUUGAUGGUGCCACCACAACGGAUGUCACUGUCGAGCACUUGCCAAAGGUCAUCAUGAGGCCAGUGUAAUACGAAUCUGAAUCGUCUUGUGAGGUCCCAAUCAUUCCUCGUCUUUUUAGUGUGUCCAAAGCAAGAAGCUCACUCAAUCCGUCAUGAAUUGGACUCUCUCUCUCUCUCUCUCUCUCUCUCUCUUAGGAAAGUGUUCAAAUGCCGGAUCGAGCGUAUGACUCCAGCAGACUCCCGCAACGUGAGUUUGAUUCUGAGUUUUGCCCACGAAGAAGUACUAAAAGAUGAGUUGUGCGCACGGACACAUUCCCGCUUGACAUGUAUGGACAGAGGGGUUCGAUAUUGGUAGACGGUUUCUUGGUUGUUCGGUAGAGGUUAGUGCUAAGUUCACCCUUUAAGUUCAGUUAAUGCCCUCACUCAUUAUGAUUAAUUAACAUUCACACGGAUAUGAAGCUUGUGACUUUCUUAAUUGGUUGGAUGAUAAAUGGCUUAGCAGGGCUCAAAGUGUUAUCACCAAGGUUGCGGAAGAUAACCUAAAGUUGAAGAAGAAACUGGCUGAUCUGGAGUGUACAAUAAAUAUGAUGAAGCAAGAAAGAAUCUAUCAAAGGCAAGAGAUGAAAGAAAGAGACAAGAAGGAACUAGCAUGUGUAGCUGUAGUUGUCGCAUUAGCCUUCUGUUGUUUGCAAUUAUGAUUGGGGGUUUUGUUUGAUUGUUACUAGCUACAUCAAUAAGUAGAGCUCAUUUUCACUUGAGCUUUGUUUCCCCUGUUGAUGAGUAUAGAUUCGAGAGUAAUCAUUCACUUAUCAUGCAUAAUUUGUUUCUUCCACUGUGUGGCCUGUCAAGCACACAAUUCAGAACAACAAAUCGUAUGUGUUGCCUAGAAUUAUGGCACACAAUUCUGAUUAUUAUCGACCUGUUUGUAGAGUAUCACACAUGCCUUGUUACGACAAACCGUUUCUCUUCUUCUGGAUCAGCGCAAAUAGUUCAUCUGAAUGACCUGUAUGUCGUAUAUCGCACACAUGCAGAUCUGCAUAACCGCUUGGGUACCGCUGGAUCUUCGCAAGCAGUUCUACAUUGUUAAGUGUAUGUCGUACACAUGUGUGUUUAUUAAAUCAUUUGUGUUGUUUUUCCUCAUCACAAAUAGUUUGUAAAUACCAGUUGUUUGCUUCGUAUCACACAUGCAACUAUUAUCCAAAUCGUGUUUGAUGGACGGCCAUCGCACACAGUUUGUUUCAUUAGCGACAGAGCUAGAACUACACAGUCUGCGAUUCAUGCAUCCUCACAAUUUUGUUGAAGGGUCUCUGGUUGUAGUGUAGCGUUAGCAGGAUCCUAUAGUAGUGAAUAAAAGUUGAUUGAAGAGGAGCUACCAUCAAUUCUGCUACUAUAAUGGCCCUUUUAUGAAGUAAAAAAUCUUGAAGAUCACAUCAAAUAAACAUAUUGUUGAAGAGCUAUAUUGUUGCAGGGUCUGAGAAUCAACACAUUUGAGAGCGAGGGCCAUACCAACAUAAUUAAAUCUAGCUAAGUCCAGCUUGCCUUUGUUAAAACCACACAAAAGAUCUAUCAAGUUUAGACCAAUAAUAUCCCAGUAAUUCUCAUAAAAUUAUAUAGGGAAAACAUCAGGUCUAGAAGCUUAAUUAUGUUUCAUAUCAAAAACAACAGUUUUAGUUUCCUCUAAACUGAACUCUAUGUCUAGAUUAUAUCUAUCAACAUUAUCUAGCACUACCGUCAAUAUCAAGAGUUACAUUAUGUGCGAGAUAAAUUCGUAUAGAAAUAUGUAGCAUAAAGUAAUAAGGUCUUGUCCCCAUGGAAGUGGAUAACAUAUUAGUAAUAUUUUUAAUAGAAAUAAUCAUAUUUUUCCUCUUCCUACUGUUGUCCCUAUACCUGAAAUAAGAUGUUAAAGUAUCUCCGUAUAAUGGUUAUUUCUCUUUAGAUCUCUGUAACCAUUUGAUUUCUUCCUCUUUGUCAAUUUUACAUAACUCCUCCUCCCAAAUUUUCCUUAAGACAUGCUUAUCUCUUGUUAAACCUAUCAAUUCACUUUCUCUAUCAAUAUCAUUUAUAGCUUUUGUAAUAAAACCUUUCUUUUUUAUAUAACAAAAUAUAGCUAAGUUUCCAUCCUUUCAGUUUUUCCUAUAUUCCCAGCUCUAUUUUGCCACCAAUUCUGUAAAUAACAAUUCCACACUAUGCAUCACACAUAACAUCUAUAACUACAACAUGUAAAUGCUCUCUUAAAAUCCAAAAAAGUUCAGUUUUAAAAGGUCUAGAAAUUUUGGGGUGGUUUUAACCAAAAUCUAAUAGCAAAAAAGUACUCGAGGAAGAGCUCUAAUAAACUUUCCAUGAGCAGUGUUUCAAAUAGUAACUAAAACUAGCAUUGCAUACAGGAGAAGAAAUUUUAGGUCCAUAUGUGGGAUUGCCUCCAAAUUCCUAACUUUAACUCUCCCCACAACUUUAUCCAUCAUAUUCAUAUCUCCCAUGUUCCUAUAUGUCCUCCUUAUUCCCUCAUCCACCACCCAUAUUUGCCCAUGUUCAAAUCUCUAAGGUUCUCCCACAAGAUUUUCGUGUUCACUUUCCUAGUGUCACACAUGAUGGAAACUUUGCUAGUAGUUUUUUCAAGCAAUGAAUGACGGACCUUAUAUGUAAAAUCCCUCUUCAAGAAUUCAUUGGAUUAACAAGUUAACUUGCCGCUCAGUCCCUACUCGUAGGGUCAACGAGUAGCCGAUUAACUGAUAAAUCACCCGAUUAACUUGCCGAUUAGCCUAUUAACCACCUACGCGUGAGCCAACUGAGUAGUUACUAGUUAACGAUUUCCUCAACAAUGUGUAAAAUUAUCAUAUCCCUUCACAACUCUUUCUUAUAGGUAUUGUGUGCUUUCCAUCAUAUCCUCUCUAAAAUCUGUUUGAUCGUAUGUGUACCAAUCACUUCUAAGAUCCGUUUUACUAGCAUCAACUACAAAUUCUCUAUUAACAUAUUCUAGACCUUUUGAUAGUUCAACUACCACUACUUCAUCUUGUGAUUUUUUUCCUUUCUAGGACAUCCUUUGUGGUAGUAGCUUCCCUUGCCAGUUCUGUCUUUUGCAUUUCCACAAUAUCCUCCAUCUUUCCAUCUUUGUUUCCACCAGACCAUUGCCCUUUUUCAAGAAAAAUAGUUGAUAUCCUUUUUUGUCCGCCUUUUGUCAUGUGGGUAUAUGAGUAACUUCAUAGGUCCUUCUGACCAGCAUUCUAUAAAUCAACCAAGGACUAUCUCAUACCAGCAUGGUGCAUAAAAUAAAAAGGAUAAAUAAACACAAAAGACGCUCCAAGCAUUUGCACAUAUCAUGUGACGAAUAAAAAUAUAGCUUCGAGUAAAAUUACCGAUAGUUUGUAGACGAAAGAGGGGAUGCCUUCCGGGGCAUCCCCAAGCUUAGACGCUUGAGUCUUCCUUGAAUAUUACCUUGGGGUGCCUUGGGAAUCCCCAAGCUUAGUCUCUUGACUCUCCUUAUUCCUUCAUCCAUCGUGGUCUCACGCAAAACUUGAAAACAUCAAUCACACAAAACUCAAUAAAACCUUCGUGAGAUCCGUUAGUAUAAUAAAGUAAAUCACCACUUUAUGUACUGUUGUGAACUCAUUCCAAAUUCAUAUUAGAAUUAUAUAUACUGUAAUCCAACUUCACCAUCGUUCAUACCCCCUGAUACUACCCAUAGAUUCAUCAAAAUAAGAGAACAAUGCAUAGAAAACAGAAUCUGUGAAAAACAGAACAGUCUGUAGUAAUAUGAACUUAUACCAUACUUCUGCUACUGCAAAAAUUCUGAAAGAAAUUAUGAAAAUUAGGUAAAUUUGCAUAUCAAUCGGCAUAAAAAAGAAUCAACUCAAAAUCUCUUUCUGGAUAGGAAUUAAAAAUAAUUUCGUGAGGACAAAGUUUCUGUCUUUUUCAGCAUGAUUAAACAACUAUCACCCAAACUAAUCAUAAAGGCUUUACUUGGCACAUUAUUUUUAUAAUACAAUGGAAUUGUACAAGGGGAUAAUUAUUUUUGCGAGAAACUUCCAUGAAAAAUUCUACAUUGUAUCCAUGAGCAUGAACACAAGUGUUCAAGGUCGACCCUCACUUCCGCAAUGCAUCACUUUUCAAUUGCUUCUCUUUUUGAACACGUUUUAAGUCCCCCUCUAUACUUUUUUGUUUUAAAACUAUAUAAAAGCACUCAACAUAAAUAAAUGACUCUCUAAAACUUCUGGGUUGUCUCCCAGGCAGUGCUUUCUUUAAAGCCAUUAAGCUAGGCAUAAAGUGCUCAAGUAAUGGAUCCACCCGGAUCCCAAGGUAUAUCAAAGCCAAUUUUAAUUAACAAUGAUUUGUAAUUUAGUAGUGAGCACAAGGUAACAUAUAUCAUGCAAUGACUAAGUCUAACUCUCUUCCUAUGAAUUGGCAUGUCAUAAAAGAACAAUUCAUCCACAUCAAGUAAACAUAGCAUAAGCAGUUUCUUGCAAUUUUAUCGUAUUGGAAACAUAGAGAGGUGGAGAUGUAGUUCCUCUCCCAUAAUAAUUGCAAGUAGGAGCAGAAAGCACAUGCAUAUUAUAUUCAUCAAAAUCAUCAUGUGUGAUAGUAGAAGGCAACCCAUCUAUGUAAUCCCUAAUAAGAGCAAACUUCUCCUAUAUAGUGUUGUUGGGAGAGUUCAAAAAGAUAAUAGGACUAUCAUAAGUGGGUGCGAUAGCAAUAAUUUCAUGUUUAACAUAAGGAACUAUUGCAAGUUCAUCUUCAUAAGCAUCAUUCAUAUUGGCAUCAUGGCCACAAUCAUAGCAAGCAUCAAGUUCAUCAAAAAGGGAUAUUUGAAACGAAUCCAAGGGAUCAUAGCAAUCAACAUAGCAUUCAUCCUUCGGUAAGAACGAAGGGGAAUUAAACAAUGUUUGAGUUGAAGAGUUACUCUCAUUAGAAGGUGGGCACGGGUAGCUAGUCUGCUCUUUCUCCUUUUGUUCUUCGCUCUCCUCGUCAUCUUUUUCAUCUAAUGAGCUCACGGUUUCAACAUUUUCUUCUUCCAUAGUUUCCUGCAAAAUAUUACUCUCUUCAUGGGCAGCGUAGAAUUUCUCCAUGAAUUGAUAAAUAUGGGCAUUAUAUUCAUAAUUAGCAUACCAAUAACGAAGCAUAACCAAAUUUUCAGAUCGGUAAGCAGCAUCAUCAUUAUCAUCACACGUUUUAAACAGAGCUUCAAUUUCAUAAGCACCCAUAAAAGCAACAAACUCUUCUAUUUGUUCCACAUCAUAGUAAUCAUAUAUACCAUUAGCAUAAGAAGCCAAGGUUUCAUUAGCAUUAAAUUUACAAGAAAAGGGAAGGUGUUGAGCCUUCAUCCUAGAGCAACAAGUAAUAUCAUAUCUCAAGCAUAGAUCCCAAGCAUACCAUUUCAACAUAUGAAUUUGAUCCCAUAAUAGUUUCCCUUUUUGAGUCAAGCGAUAAUCCCUAAAGUAUUCACUUGAUCCAACGUGUAUCCCAUUAUAUAAUUUAAUGGGGUUUUCUUAGGAUUAUUAAAGAAGUGCAUAAUAUUUUCCACAUAACGAGCAUCGAGGGUUUUAGAAGGUUCCCCAUCUCCAUGAGUAGCAAGUACACCUAUUUUUUUGGUAUUUCGUGUUCCAUAUCCAUAACUAAAGAGAGAGAACAACUUAGAACAGCAAAUAAAUCUACUUACUGAUAAAGCAAACAAGCACACAUGAGAAUAUUCACCCCACGCUAUUGUUCCCCGGCAAUGGCAGUAGAAAAAGAUCUUGAUAACCCACAAGUAUAGGGGAUCAAUUGUAGCCUUUCUCGAUAAGUAAGAGUGUUGAACCCAACGAGGAGCUAAAGGUAGGACAAAUAUUCCCUCAAGUUCUAUCGACCACCGAUACAACUCUACGCACACUUUACGUUCGCUUUACCAAGAACAAGUAUGAAACUAGAAGUACUUUGUAGGAGUGAUAGGAUAGGUUUGCAAGAAAAGAAAGAACACAUAAAUAAAAACUAGGGGUUGGUAGAAACAAGUACGUUAGUUUAAUGAGUGUGGAAAAGUGGUGGUAGGAGUUGCGGAAUUGUCCCUAAGAAAUUGACUAUGUUACUAGACCGAUAGCAAGUUUUAUGUGGGAGAGGCCACUACUAGCAUGUCAUCCCUUACUUGGAAUUCUAUGCACUUAUGAUUGGAACUAUUAGCAAGCAUCCACAACUACUAACGUUCAUUAAGGUAAAACCCAACCAUAGCAAUAAGAUAUAUUGGUCCCCCUUCAAUCCCAUAUGCAUCAAUUUCUAUGCUAGGUUGAAGCUUCUAUCACCCUUGACCUCCAAUACAUAGUCCUACCAACAUACUACUAACCCUAUGGUGUGAUACAUGCGUGUGCUCAUAUGAUGGGCACCAAAUGACAGCAACAUAACCACAAGAAAAUUAAACCAAUCAUAGCAAUUCAUCAAUCACCGAUAGGACAACGAAAGUCUACUCACACAUCAUAGGAUGGCAGCACAUCAUUGGAUAAUAAUAUGAAGCAUAAAGCACCAUGUUCAAGUAGAGGGUACAGCAGGUUGCGGGAGAGUGGACCGCUGAAUAUAGAUGGGGGAAGGUGAUGGAGGUGUUGGUGAAGAUGACAGGAGGUGUUGGUGUAGAUCGCCGUCACACGAUGAUGUCCCGGGCGGCGUUCCGGCGCCGCCGGGAGAGAGGGGGAGAGAGCCCCCCCUUCUUCUUCUUCUUCCUUGACCUCCUCCCUAGAUGGGAGAAGGGUUUCCCUUCUGGUCCAUGGUCUCCAUGGCGAUGGAGGGGCGAAAUCCCCUCCGAGAUUGGAUCUCUCUCUGUGUGUCCUUCUGUUUCUGCGCUCCCAGAUUCUUCCUUUCACCGUUUCUGAAAUUCCCGGAGAUCCAUAACUCCGCUUGGGCUGAAAUUCUAACAUGAUUUUCUUCCGGCUAUUAUCUUUCUUGCGGCGAAAGAAGGCCCCCAGCCACCUUAUGGAUUGGUCACAAGCCUCCCACACGUGGCCCCACCCCCAGGCCGUGGCUAGGGGGCUUGUGACCCCCUCGGGCGUCGUUUCGCAUUGAUUCUUCUUCCCAAAAAUCAUAAAUAUUCCAAAAAAAUCCACGUAGGUUUUUUAUUGCGUUUGGACUUCGUUUGGUAUGGAUAAUCUGUGAAACAAAAAAACAUGCAACAAACAGGAACUGGCACUGGGCACUAGAUCAAUAUGUUAGUCCCAAAAAUAGUAUAAAAAGUUGCCAAAAGUAUAUGAAAGUUGUAGAAUAUUGGCAUGAAACAAUCAAAAAUUAUAGAUACGACGGAGACGUAUCACUAUGUUACCGCAUUGUUAGCCCUUCUUAUAGCGUUGUAGUUGCACAUGCAUGCUGCUUCCAUGUGAAAAAAUGGGCUCCUUGAUAUAUCACCAUAUUAUUGCUAUCUAGUUUAAUGCACCUAUAUGCCUGGUAAGAGGUAGAAGGCUUGGCCUUCUAGCUUGGUGUUUUGUUCCACCUUUGCCACCCUAGUUACUUGUGUACCUAUGUUACGUUCCAUAUUGAGAGCUCCUAACAUGUUUGGGCUUGUUAUGGGGACCCCCUUGAUUUUAUUUUUGGGAUAAAACUCUUCUCUCAAGGCCCAACAUUGGUACUAUUUGUUUUAUAACAACUAAUAAUAUUUUCAUAGGGCAUUGAUCACUCAUGGAAAAUUAAUCACCCUCGGGCUAGUGCUCCUCAUGAGUGUUGGCCCAACCUUUCAACCGCCAGUGGCCGCCAGGGGCAACUUUUGCUUGGCCUACCAGAAGUUUGGACAAUCCGGUUGUACCCUGAGAACGAGAUACGCGGCUCCUAUCGGGAUCGCCGACACGUUAGGCGGCCUUUCUGGAUUAGUUUUACCUUUCUCGAACAUCUGGUGCACGGGAUUCCGAGGAUACUUUGGGCUAUCUCGAGGUUGAGGUUUUCCAUUGGAAUUUCCAAGGAGACUACGAUUCUUCCAUGGUUGAGGUUAUUCCAUGCAGCUUGUCGUAGUUUGUCAUGGACUAGUUGGGGCACCCCCUGCACGGUUAAAACUUUGGAAAAGCCAUGCCCGCGGUUAUGGGACAACUUCGAAACUUUGUUUAACACCCGGUCAUAGCAAACUUGAAGUAAACUCAAUUAAAAUAUGCCAAUUGUGUGUGUAACUAUGACUGUCUCUACUCAUGAGUUAUGCGUCCGAGAGAGGUGAUACGUGCCCAACGUAUCUAUAAUUUAUGAACUAUUCAUGCCAUGUUUAUAAUAAUUUUAUAUGAUUUUAUUGGAACUAACUCGCACUGGGGCUGUUUUCAGCACACCAACCGUGGUGUUGUUUUUGUGUAGAAAUAAAAGUUUUUGAAAUGGGCUAAAAAUUUACGGAGAAUAUUUUUGGAAAAUAUAAAAAAUAUUCGAGCCAAAAUAUACCGGAGAGGAGGCCCGAGGUAGUCACAAGCCUAGGGGGCACCCCCCCUAAGGCGUGCCCCCAUGGCUUGUGGGUCCCUCGGGAGUCCCCUUGAAGCGAGACCGAUGCCAAGUAAUUCUAUAAAUACCAAAACCCCCAGAAAGAAACCAAGAUUUGGAUUUCCCUCGCCGCAAGCCUCCAGAGCCACGAAAAACCUAUCGGGAGCCCGUUCUGGCACCCUGUCGGAGGGGGAAACCAUCACCGGAGGCCAUCUUCAUCAUCCCGGCGGUCUCCAUGACGAGGAGGGAGUAGUUCACCCUCGGGCCUGAGGGUAUGUGAUACGUCCAUUUUGCAUCAUGUUUUAUAUGAAUAUUUAUUGCAUUAUGGGCUAUUAAUAUACAUUAGGGUACAAUACUUAUGCCUUUUCUAUCUUAUUUUACAAGAUUUACAUGAAGAGGGAGAAUGCUAGCAGUUGGAAUUCUGGAAUGGAAAAGGAGCAAAUCUGAGAGACCUUUUCUCCACAGCUCCAAAAGUCCAGAAAAUUUACGAGAAUUGUUUUGGAAUAUAUAAAAAAUAAUGGGGAAAGAAAUAUCGGAGGGGACCACCAGGAGGUCACAAGCCAGGGGACCCACCAGGAGGCAGGCCUCCGGGGCCCAUCUUCUCCUAUUUGAAGGGUUUUGACCUGGAAAAAAUCAAGAGAGAACUUUAAGGGAGAAGCGUCGCCGUCUCGAGGCGGAACUUCGGCAGAACCAAUCUAGAGCUCCGGCAGAGCUAUUCUUCCAGGGAAACUUCCCUCCCGGAGGGGGAAAUCGAAGCCAUCGUUAUCACCAAUGAUCCUCUCAUCGAGAGGGGUUCAAUCUCCAUCAACAUCUUCAUCAGCACCAUCUCCUCUCCAAAACCUAGUUCACCUCUUGUAUCCGAUCAUUGUGUCAAAACCUCAGAUUGGUACAUGUGGGUUGUUAGUAGUGUUGAUUAUUCCUUGUAGUUGAUGCUAGUUGGUUUAUUUGGUGGAAGAUUAUAUGUUCAGAUCCUUAAUGAUCAUUAAUAAUCCUCUGAUUGUGAACUUGAAUAUGCCUUGUGAGUAGUUAAGUUUGUUCCUGAAGACAUGAGAUAAGUCUUGUUUUAAGUAAUCAUGUGAAUAUUGGUAUUCGUUCGAUAUUUUGAUAAGAUAUAUGUUGUCUCUCCUCUAGUGGUGUCAUGUGAACGUCGACUACAUGACACUUCACCAUUAUUUGGGCCUAGAGGAAGGCAUUGAGAAGUAAUAAGUAUAUGAUGUGUUGCUACAGUGAUAGAAGCUUAAACCCUAGUUUAUGCGGUUCUUCAUAAGGGGUGAUUUGGAUCCAUAGGUUUAAUGUUAUGGUUAGAUUUAUAUGAAUUCUUCUUUCAUAGUUGUGGAUGCUUGCGAGAGAGCUUAAUCAUAAGUGGGAUGUUUGUCCAAGUAAGGGUAGCACCCAAGCACCGGUCCACCCACUUAUUAAAUUAUUAAAGUAACGAAGCGAAUCAUAUGAGCAUGAUGAAAACUAGCUUGACAUAAAUUCCCAUGUGUCCUCGGGAGCGCUUUUCUUUAUAUAAGAGUUUGUCCAAGCUUGUCCUUUGCUACAAAAAGGAUUGGGCCACCUUGCUACAUCUUUGUUACAUUUGUUACUUGCUAUUCGUUACGAAUUACCUUAUCACAAAACUAUUUGAUACCGAUAAUUUUAGUGCUUGUAGAGAAUACCCUACUGAAAACCGCUUGUCAUUUCCUUCUGCUCCUCGUUGGGUUCGACACUCUUACUUAUAAAAAGGAAUACGAUUGAUCCCCUACACUUGUGGGUCAUCAAGACUCAUUUCUGGUGCUAUUGCCGGGGAGUGAAGCACCUUUGGUGAGUGGAACUUCAUAAGAAAAAAUUUAUAUAUUGUGCUGAAAUUUACGAUCACUAUGGAAAAUAAUCCUUUGAGGGGCUUGUUCGGGUAUCUUCACCCCGACCGGAAGCACAAAGAGAUGAUCCUCAACCUUCUGCACCUACUAAAAAUAUUUAUUAUAAAAUUCCUUCGAGUAUGAUAGAAAAACUGCUAGCUAAUCCUUAUGCAGGAGAUGGAACACUACAUCCUGAUUUGCAUCUAAUCUAUGUGGAUGAAGUUUGUGGAUUAUUUAAGCUUGCAGGUCUGACUGAGGAUGAUGUAAAGAAGAAGGUCUUUCCUUCAUCUUUGAAGGAAAAUCCAUUGACAUGGUAUAGGUUAUGUGAUGAUAUUGGAUCAUGGAACUACAACCGAUUGAAAUUGGAAUUUCAUCAGAAGUUUUAUCCUAUGCAUCUGGUUCAUCGUGAUCGGAAUUAUAUUUAUAAUUUUUGUCCUCGUGAAGGACAAAGAAUCUCUCAAGCUUGGGGGAGGCUUAAGUCAAUGUUAUAUUCAUGCCCCAAUCAUGAGCUCCCGAGAGAAAUUAUUAGUCAAAAUUUUUAUGCUCGGCUCGUUCGUAAUGAUCAAUCCAUGCUCGACACUUCUUGUUCUCGUUCCUUUAUGAAGAAAGAUAUUGAAUUCAAAUGGGUCUUAUUGGAAAGAAUUAAACGCAACUCUAAAGAUUGGGAACUAGACUAAGGUAAUGAGUCAGGUAUAAGCCUUAAGUUUGAUUGUGUUAAAUCCUUUAUAGACACCGAUGCUUUUGUGAUUUUAGCACUAAAUAUGGACUUGACUCUGAGGUAGUAGCUUCAUUCUGUGAAUAUUUUGCUACUCAUGUUGAUCUCCCCAAGGAGAAGUGGUUUAAAUAUCAUCCUCCCAUUGAAGUUAAAAUGGUAGAACCUAUUAAAGUUGAAGAAGAAACUACUAUUUAUAAUGUUGAUCCUGUUAUUCCUACUGCUUAUAUUGAGAGACCACCCUUUCCUGUUAGGAUAAAGGAACAUGCUAAAGCUUCAACUAUGGUUUGUAAGAGUUAUACUAGAACACUUAUACCUCCUGAACAAAUUAAAGUUGUACCUGAUAUUGCUAUGGUUAAAGAUCUCUUGGUUGAUAAUAUUGAUGGGCAUGUCAUUCAUUUCUAUGAUGAAGCUGCUAGAAUUCCUAGACCUGAUACUAAGGGUAAACAUAGACGUAUUGUUGGCAUGCUUGUUGUUUCUGUUAAAAUAGGAGAUCAUUGUUAUCAUGGAUUAUGUGAUAUGGGUGCUAGUGUGAGUGCAAUUCCCUUUACCUUAUACCAAGAAAUUAUGAAUGAUAUUGCACCAGCUGAAUUAGAGGAAAUUGAUGUUACCACCAAGCUUGCUAAUAGAGAUACUAUUGCACCAAUUGGGAUUGUUAGAGAUGUUGAAGUCUUUUGUGGGAAAAUAAAGUAUCCUACUGAUUUUCUUGUUCUUGGUUCCCCACAAGAUGAUUUUUGUCCCAUUAUAUUCAGUAGACCCUUCUUGAAUACUGUUAAUGCUAAGAUUGAUUGUGAAAAAAAAACGAUUAUUGUAUGUUUUGGGGAUGCAUCUCAUGACUUCAAUUUCUCUAAAUUUCGUAGGCAACCCCAUGACAAAGAACUUCCUAGUAAAGAUGAAAUUAUUGGUCUCGCUUCUAUUGUGGUGCCUCCUAUCGUUCCCUUAGAACAAUAUUUGCUAGACCACGAAAAUGAUAUGCAUAUGCAUGAAAAGAAUGAAAUAGAUAAGAUUUUCUUUGAUCAGCACCCUAUUUUGAAACAUAACCUACCUAUUGAAAUACUCGGGGAUCCUCCUCCCCCAAGGGUGAUCCCGUGUUUGAGCUUAAACAAUUACCUGAUACUCUAAAGUAUGCUUACCUUGAUGAAAAAGAGAUAUAUCCUAUUAUUAUUAGUGCUAACCUUUCACAGCAUGAAGAAAAGAGAUUAUUGAAAACUCUAAGGAAGCACCGUGCUGCUAUUGGAUAUACUCUUAAUGAUCUUAAGGCCAUUAGUCCCAAUCCAUGUGAGCAAAAAAUCAAUAUGGAGCCUGAUGCUAAACCAGUUGUUGAUCACCAACGACGAUUAAAUCCUAAAAUGAAGGAAGUGGUAAGAAAUGAAAUACUAAACCUUCUAGAGGCAGGUAUAGUUUAUCCUAUUACUGACAGUAGAUGGGUUAGCCCCGUUCAUUGUGUCCCUAAAAAGGGAGGUAUUACUGUUGUUCCUAAUGAUAAAGAUGAAUUGAUCCUGCAAAGAAUUAUUACAAUAUAUAGAAUGGUAAUGGAUUUUAUGAAAUUAAAUAAGGCUACUAGGAAAGAUCAUUACCCGUGAGCUUUUAUUGAUCAAACGCUAGAAAGACUAUCCAAACAUACACAUUUUUGCUUGCUAGACGGUUAUUCUGGUUUCUGUCAAAUAUGUGUGUCAAAAAAGGAUCAAGAGAAGACCACUUUUACUUGCCCUUUUGGUACCUUUGCUUAUAGACGUAUGCCUUUUGGUUUAUGCAAUGCACCUGGUACCUUUCAAAGAUGUAUGAUGGCUAUAUUCUCAGACUUUUAUGAAAAGAUUGUUGAGGUUUUCAUGGAUGGUUUUUCCGUUUACGGAACUUCUGUUGAUGAAUGCUUGAGCCACCUUGAUCGAGUUUUGCAGAGAUGUGAAGAAACAAAUCUUGUCUUGAAAUGGGAGAAGUGCCACUUUAUUGUUAAUGAAGGCAUUGUCUUGGGACACAAAAUCUCCGAAAGAGGUAUUGUAGUUGAUAAAGCUAAAGUUGAUGCUAUUGAAAAAAUGUCGUGUCCAACAGAUAUCAAAGGUAUAAGAAGUUUCCUUGGUCAUGUUGGUUUCUAUAGUAGAUUUAUUAAAGACUUCUAUAAGAUUUUUCAGACUCUCACUAAUCUUUGCAAAAGGAUAUUCCAUUCAUUUUUACGAUGAUUGUGUUGAAGCAUUUGAAUUUCUUAAGAGAGCCUUGAUCAGUGCACCUGUUGUUCAACCACCUGAUUGUAACCUACCUUUUGAAAUUAUGUGUGAUGUCAGUGAUUAUGUUCUUGGUGUUGUUCUAGGGCAAAGAGUUGAUAAGAAAUUAAAUGGCAUCGAUUACGCUAAUAAAACUCUAGACAGUGCUCAAAGAAACUAAGCUACCACUGAAAAUGAAUUUUUUAGCAGUUGUGUUUUCUUGCGAUAAGUUUAGACCUUAUAUUGUUGAUUCCAAAGUAACUGUUCACACUGAUCACGCUGCUAUUACAUACCUUAUGGAAAAGAAAGAUGCUAAACCUAGACUUAUUAGAUGGGUUCUUCUACUACAAGAAUUUGAUGUGCAUAUUAUUGAUAGAAAGGGCGCUGAUAACCCCAUAGCAGAUAACAUUUCUAGACUGGAGAAUGUUCUUGAUGACCCACUUCCUAUUGAUGAUAGCUUCCCGAUGAACGAUUAGCUGUCAUAAAUGCUUCACACAAUGCUCCUUGGUAUGCCGUUUAUGCUAACUACAUUGUUGCUAAAUUUAUACCGCCUAGCUUCACAUACCAACAAAAGAAAAAGUUCUUCUAUGAUUUAAGACAUUACUUUUGGGACGAUCCACACCUUUAUAAAUAAGGACUAGAUGGUAUUAUUAGACAUUGUGUACCUGAGCAUGAACAGGGAAAGAUCCCUCACAAGUGUCACUCCGAGGCCUACGGAGGACACCACGCGGAAGGUAGAAAUACACACAAGGUAUUACAAUCUAGUUUUUAUUGGCCUACUCUCUUCAAAGAUGAUCAUAUGUUUGUAUUGUAUUGUGACAAAUGUCAAAGAAUUGGUAAUAUUAGUAGACGUCAAGAAAUGCCUAUGAAUUACUCUCUUGUUAUUGAACCAUUUGAUGUUUGGGGUUUUGACUAUAUGGGACCUUUUCCAAAACCCAACGCGUAUACUCAUAUUCUAGUUGUUGAUUAUGUUACUAAGUGGGUAGAAGCUAUUACAACUAGUUGUGCUGGUCAUAACACUUCUAUUAAAAUGUUGAAAUAAGUUACUUUCCCUAGAUUUGGAGACCCUAGAUAUUUAUUGUCUGAUGGUGGUUCACAUUUUAUUCAUGGUGCUUUCCGCAAAUUGCUUGCUAGGUAUGAUGUUAAUCAUAUAAUUGCAUCUCCUUAUCAUCCUCGGUCUAGUGGGCAAGUAGAAUUGAGCAAUAGAGAAAUUAAAUUGAUCUUGCAAAAGACCGUUAAUAGAUCUAGAAAGAAUUGGUCUAAGAAACUUGACGAUGCAUUAUGGGCUUAUAAAACUGCUUACAAAAAUGCUAUGGGUAUGUCUCCUUAUAAAAUGGUUUAUGGUAAAGCAUGUCACUUAACUCUAGAGCUGGAACGUAAAGCUUAUUGAGCAAUUAAAGAGCUUAGCUAUGAUUUCAAACUUGCUGGUGAAAAGAGGUUAUUUGACAUUAGCUCACUUGAUGAAUGGAGAACCCACGCCUAUAAGAAUGCCAAGUUGUUUAAAGAAAAGGUUAAGAGAUGGCAUGAUAGAAGGAUACAAAAGCGUGAACUCAAUGUAGGUGAUCAUGUCUUGCUAUACAACUCUCGUUUAAGAUUUUUUGCAAGAAAACUUCUCUCUAAAUGGGAAGGGCCUUACAUUAUUGACGAAGUAUAUCAUUCCGGUGCCAUCAAGAUCAACAACGCCAAAGGGACAAAUCCGAAGGUGUUAAAUGGACAAAGAAUCAAACAUUAUAUCUUUGGUACUCCCAUAAAUGUUGAAACUAAUAUUAUAAAUACCAUAACUCCGAAAGAGUACAUUAGGGAGACCUAUAAGAAAGUCUCAGGCCCCUAAAAGGAAUUGGUAUGUGCUAUGGUAAGCAACCCGACUGCAAAACGUUUUCAAUGGCAAUUUCUAUCUAUUUUGGAAUAUUUAAAAAAUUAGGAAAAUUUAAAGCAGUCUGAAGCAUGCACGAGGAGGCGACAAGCCAGGAGGGAGUGGCCUACCCCCUGGGUGCGCCUGCAGGCUUGUGGCCACCCCGUGCACCCUCUGGACUCCGUUUUCUUGGGGAAUACUCCUUCGGGUCGGCAAAAAAUCAUUAUAUAAUCUCCCGGCGGUUUUGACCUUCGUAUCUUGACAAUACCUCGUGUUUUCGUUUUGAGCUGUUUCUGUAGCAGAUUUAGAGCAAGAUGUCGUCCCAAGAUUCCGAUUGGGAGAGCUAUGUAUCAGAUUAUCUUGCCAAUCCCAAGCUCUACGGGGAUGUAGAUCCCUAUGGAUUGUGCUCGUAGGAGGAACGGGAGAUAUGCAAUUAUCCAGAAGAAAGCUUGGGCGAAGAGGAGAUUCCCUUGCCUCGACCCGAAGAUAUGCAUGUGGAGUUCAAGAAGUCGAGCCUCUCAAAUACAAGGAGAAACCCCAAGGUGCUAUUUAUCCCUUCUCAUUUUAUGCAGGAGAGCAAGGGUGAAUUAUGUCAAAAGAUAUUGAGGCUCGAGCAGGAAGUAGACGAUCUGAGGAAACAAAAUUUCAUGCUAGAGGAAACUUGACAAACUUUCAACCUCACCAACAACUCAAACAUCACCACCUCCAAAGAAAGACGACUGAACACAUGGGUAUGGGCACUCCCCUUGGCUUGUGCCAAGCUUGGGGGAGGCGCCCCGGUAUCGUAUCACCAUCACACCUUUUAUUAUUAUUUUCGUUUUUCUUCCUUCAAUGCAUUUGGUUAUAUCUUGAUCUAGUACAAUAAAUUUUUAGUGUGAUCUAGUUUUGAGUUUUUUUAUGUUCCCCCUAUAUAAGAAAGUCCGAGAGUUAUAUAAUAAAGAGUAGUUAUGAGUUGAUGACUUUGAUUGCUUGCUAUGAUCUAGAGAAAAAGAAAUAGAAAGAAGUAUAGAAUAAAAGCAAAAGAGCAUACAUAAUGAUCUUAUGGGGAGUGAUGACUUCACAUAUAAAAAGUAUGUCGAUUGAAAUUUUUUGUGAGCUGACAAACAAAGCUAUUGGUCAUUGUUGCAAUUAAAAGGAAGUAAUAAAGAAAUAGAGGUUCACAUAUAAAUAUAUUAUCUUAGACAUCUUUUACGAUCGUGAGCACUCAUUAAAAUAUUAUAUGCUAAAAUGUUGAUGUUGGACAAGGAAGACAACACAAUGAGUUAUGUUUGCUUAUUUCCGGAUAGAAGUUAUAUGGUUGUAGAUCCUUCAACAUGUGUCACUUGCUUCCACCUCAUAUUAUCCAGAAACUCCUCGACCAAGUAGAGAUACUACUUGUGCAUCCAAAAGACCUUUAACCCAGUUUUGCCUUGAGAGUCCACCAUACAUGCCUAUGGAUUGAGUAAGAUCCUUCAAGUAAGUUUUCAUCGGUGCAAGAAAUAAAAAUUGCUCCUUAAAUAUGUGUGGUUUAAUAGUGUGAGGAAAAUAAACUCUAUGCGAACUUGUGAUAUAGAAGAAAUAAAAGCGACAGACUGCAUAAUAAAGUUCUUUAUCACAAGGGGAAAUAUAAAGUGGCGUUCUUUUGCAUUUAGGGAUUGUGCAUCCAACUAUAAAAGCGCAUGCCAACCUUUGCUUCCCUCCGCGAAGGGCCUAUCUGUCACCUUUACUUUCUAGUGCUUACCUUUAUGUAGUGAGUCAUGGUGAUCUUCACCAUUUCCUUUAUUUCGCCUUUAUCUUUUGGCAAGUGACAUGUGUUGGGGAAUGAUCUAGACAAAUAUAUCCACUCGGAUAUGGUUUUCAUGAGUUAUUAUUGUUGACAUUACCCUUGAGGUAAAUAGUUGGGAGGCAAAACUAUAAGAACCUAUCUUUCUAUGUGUCUGAAUGAAGCUUUGACAUCAUAGGUACCGCAUGAGUGUUAGGAAUGAUGAAAGACCAUAAGAUGAUUGAGUAUGUGGAUUUGCUUUACAAGCUCUUAUAUUGACUCUUCCCUACGUUGCAAUAAAUUGGGAUUGCUUCAAUGACUGAAAUCAUAGUUUGUUAGUUCUCAAUAGAGUUCUUGAUUCAUAUUUUGCCUUGUGAAUGAAUUGUUACUCUAGCAUAAGAUAGUCUAUGUCAAUAUGUGUUGUUUUUCUAAACAUAACUAUGAUGCCUGCAUGUCCGUAUUUUAUUUUAUCGGCACCUCUAUCUCUAAACAUGUGGGCAUAUUUAUUGAUCUCGGCUUUCGCUUGAGGACAAGCGAGGUCUAAGCUUGGGGGAGUUGAUACGUCCAUUUUGCAUCAUGAUUUUAUAUCAAUAUUUAUUGCAUUAUGGGCUGUUAAUACACAUUAGGGUACAAUAAUUAUGCUUUUCCUUCUUAAUUUACAAGAUUUACAUGAAGAGGGAGAAUGCCGACAGCUGGAAUUCUGGACUGGAAAAGGAACAAAUCUGAGAGACCUAUUCUACACAGCUCCAAAAGUCCUGAAAAGUUACGGAGAAUUGUUUUGGAAUACAUAAAAAAUCAUGGGCGAAAUAAAUACCGCAGGGGACCCACCAGGAGGUCCCAAGCCAGGGGCGCGGCCUACCCCGUGGUCGCGCCCUGCAGCCCUGUGGGCCCCGUGACAGGCCUCCGGCGCCCAUCUUCUGCUAUAUGAAGGGUUUUGACCUGGAAAAAUCAACACAGAACUUUUGGGGUGAAGCACCGCCGUCUUAAGGUGGAACUUUGCCAGAACCAAUCUAGAGCUCCGGCACAACUGUUCUGUCGGGGAAACUUCCCUCCUAGAGAGGGAAAUCGAAGCCAUCGUCAUCACCAACAAUCCUCUCAUCGAGAGGGGGUCAAUAUCCAUAAACAUAUUCAUUAGCACCAUCUCGUCUCCAAACCCUAGUUCAUCUCUUGUAUCCGAUCUAUGUCUCAAAACCACAGAUUGGUACCUGUGGGUUGCUAGUAGUGUUGAUUACUCCUUGUAGUUGAUGCUAGUUUGUUUAUUUGGUGGAAGAUUAUAUGUUUAGAUCCUUAAUGAUCAUUAAUACUCCUCUGAUUAUGAACAUGAAUAUGCUUUGUGAGUAUUUACGUUUCUUCAUGAGUACAUGGGAUAAGUCUUGUUAUAAGUAAUCAUGUGAAUUUGGUAUUCGUUCGAUAUUUUGAUAAGAUAUAUGUUGUCUCUCCUCUAGUGGUGUCAUGUGAACGUCGACUACAUGACACUUCACCAGUAUUUGGUACUAGAGGAAGGCAUUGGGAAGUAAUAAGUAGAUGAUGGGUUGCUAGAGUGAUAGAAGCUUAAACCCUAGUUUAUGCGUUGCUUCGUAAGGGGCUGAUUUGGAUCCAUUGGUUUAAUGUUAUGGUUAGAUUUAUCUUCUUUCAUAGUUGCGAAUGCUUGCAAGAGAGGUUAAUCGUAACUGGGAUGUUUGACCAAGUAAGGGAAGCACCCAAGCACUGGUCCACCCACAUAUUGAAGUAUCAAUGUAACGAACGCGAAUCAUAUGAGCAUGAUGGAAACUAGCGUGACAUAAAUUCCCAUGUGUCCUCGGGAGCGCUUUUCUUUAUAUUAGAGUUUGUCCAUGCUUUUCCUUUGCUAUAAAAAGGAUUGGGCCACCUUGCUGCACCUUUGUUACGUUUGUUACUUGCUACUCGUUAUGAAUUAGCAUAUCACAAAACUAUUUGUUACCGAUAAUUUAUGUGCUUGCAAAGAAUACCUUACUGAAAACCGCUUGUCAUUUCCUUCUGCUCCUCGUUGGGUUCGACACUCUUACUUAUCAAAAGGACUACAAUUGAUCCCCUACACAUGUGGGUCAUCAGUAUGUAGCAGUAGCUAUGUGUUGGAUCUCUCUCUCUCUCGUGUUCUUGAGAUGGCAUGAUCUUGAUGUAUCGCGAGCUUUAUUAAUAUAAAUGAAUCAUAUGGAGUUUUCCCCUCUCUAUGUUCUUGUGAUGAAUUGAGUUUUCCCUUUGAAGUUUGUUUAUUGGAUUGAGUCCUUAAGGAUUUGAGAACACUUGAUGUAUGUCUGGCAAUGGGAUAUCCAUGGUGACAAUGGGAUGUUCUAUUGGUCCACUUGAUGUAUGUUUUCGUGAUCAACUUGCGGGUUCUGUGACCUUGGGAAUCUAUGCAUAGGGGUUGGCACACGUUUUCGUCUUGACUCUCUAGUAGAAACUUUGGGGCACUCUUUGAAGUUCUUUGUGUUGGAUUGAACAUGAUGAAACUGAAAUUAUGUGAUGCAUAUCGUAUAAUCAAGCCCAUGGGUACUUGUGGUGACAUUGGAGUAUCUAGGUGACAUUAGGGUUUUGGUUGAUGUCUAUCUUAAGGUGUUAUUUCAGUAUGAACUCUAGGGAUGUUCGUGACACUUAUAGGGAUAGCUCCUAAGAUUAAUCGGAAAAGAUAACUUUGAGGUGGUUGUGUACCCUACCAUAAUUUCUUCGUUUGUUCUCCGCUAUUUGUGACUUCGGAGUGAAGUCUUUCUCACACAUGAGGGAUUUAUAUAUGAUUCAACUAUGUUAGUAUUGUUGAGAGAACUUGCACUAGUGAAAGUAUGAACCCUAGGCCUUGUUUCGAAGCAUUUAUACAGCAUUUUGCUCGAUUAUUACUAUUUAUUACCUUGCUGUUUUUAUAUUUUCAGAUUACAAAAACCUAUAUCUACCAUCCAUAUUACACUUGUAUCACCAUCUGUUCGCCGAACUAGUGCACCUAUACAAUUUACCAUUAUAUUAGGUGUGUUGGGGACACAAGAGACUCUUUCUUAUUUGAUUGCAGGGUUGCUUGAGAGAGACCAUCUUCAUCCUACGCCUCCCACGGAUUGAUAAACCUUAGGUCAUCCACUUGAGGGAAACUCGUUAUUGUCCUACAGAACUCUACGCUUGGAGGCCCAACACGAGUCUACAAUAAGAAGGUUGUGUAGUAGACAUCAAGAGGACACGGUGGGGUUAUGUUUUACUCGUAAGUAUGUGUUCAUGAUCAUUUCUUGAUCAUUAUUAGUUCACAUUCGUUUACCCGUAGGUCACCCCCUCUUAUUCUUGUACUCAUAAGUUCGCCACUCAAAUAAAUGCUUAGUGCUUGCUGGAGCCUCACCACUUAACCAUACCUCACCCAUUAAGCUUGCUAGUCUCGAUACCUUUGGAAAUGAGAUUGAUGAGUCCCUCUGGCUCAAAAAUUGGUACAACAAUAGUUGCAGGUACAAGUAAAGUGAUACUUUGACGUGAGCGCGAUGGAAUAUCUUCUUAUUCUUCUUCAUCAUCAUCGAACUAGGAUGGGUUCCAGGCCGACAGGUUGGGAUAACAAGGAUGGACGUCAUUUUUAUCGUUUGAUUUCAUCCGUAGUCGGACCCUGCUCUUCUGAAUCGUGCUUGAAUGUAUGUUUGUAUUGAGAUGAUUAUGAUGUAACUUGUGGCGAGUGUAAGCCAAUUUCAUAUACUCAUCUCUUCUUACAUGUACUUGUAACGAUGUCCAUUCUUGCGAAACAACGAGCUGCACUUCUAUCCGCGUCGAAGCCCUCAUGCCAAAAUAAGGAUAGGAUCGCAUCAUGGGCGUUACAUAAGGAUAGGUUCCCUUGAAGCGAUGGUAUCUAGCAAGCUUUUAUCAAAGAAAUAAUUCCAGGUUUUUAUCGGAUCAAUCAAGCUAAUGGUGAUUAAACACUUACAAUAAGAAGAGGUACGGCUAUGAUUGCUUAAUAUUUACAACCAUGUAUUUGUGUUGGGAUCCAAUAUGAUCAUAAUUAGUGUGCUAGAGGUCACCCAUAGAGAUGUCCUUGUUACGAACCAUGGUGGGAGAUGUGUCCAAAUAACAUCUUAACCGACAUGUGUCCGGCAUCAAGAAUCAGUUGUCCUACCGAAGGCCCUAUCUCUCACGCGGUGUUGCCCCGAUAAUUAAGACUAUAAUAAUCAGACAAGAUAUUUUGGUUUUUAGUGACUACACCUCUUGAAUCCCCAAGGAUUGGAUCUAUCUUACCAUACUAAACCUUUCUAUCACUUGUGUUCACAAUAACAGUUCAUGUUAUCCCUGCCCUUAGACUUCCAGUGACUCGCUCUGCAUCAACCUGCGUACCUGCAGGGAUGAAGAACAUGGACAAGACAAAAGACAUCUACGAGACAAUUUUAUUUCACACAUACAGAAAGUUAAUUCAAAGCACCUAUAUUGAUCCCACAACAAAUACAGAGGAUUGCAAGCCAUGCACCUCAACCCAUAGCUUACUGAACUAUUGACACAUAGAGAUCAGAUCGCAUGAAGAAAACAUUGAAGAAAUCAUCUUAUAGAUUGAUAGAUUUAUAAUAUGUAUUACAAAGGAUGCCUUGUGCGAUGCACGAUUACAAGUAUGAACUAGAGGAAGAUGAACUAUGAUGGUGAUGGGAAGGCAGUGGUUAGGGUUGAUGAGAGUAGAUGAAGAUGGUUUUGUUCUAGCUUCGCUCGAUGUCCUUCUGUUCACAUUUUGACAUUUUGACAUUUCGACCUGACCCCCUAUUUAUAAAAGUUGUUCAGUUCGAUGAGGUGCCUCGGUUUCCAUGCCAUACAACUACAUAUGUGAGCGGUCACGGUCGCAUGGAACGUCGUCUUUCGGUCUGUUUCUUUCGAUGUGCCUCCUCUUGAAUUCUUCUAUCUGCUCUUGUAUUCCUUUCCAUGUUCACACGUGUUCUCUUGCCUUUUUAACCCAUUUUCUAUGGAAAUGCAUCAAAGAGAGGAUUUAGAGAAUUAUUCGUAUUCAUUAGUCAUUAGUAGCAACAUCGGAGUGAAUAUCUCGGUUUUAACGAACCAUAUCGAUUUAAACAAAGGGCGAAUGAUUAUAAAAACCACUCGUCACUCAUGCCAUUGUUUAUCGUCUCUCAUAGGCUUGUGGGAGGAAAGGUGUCAUUCCAUUGCCACGACGAGGGUGAAGAUUACCAGAGCCACCACCAAAGAUAUGUUUCAUGCCGCCCUCCCUCACUUUAUAUCCCUCUUGGCAAUUGGGAACCCUAGCGAGUAAGAUGGAUCGGCCCCAUCUCAUCCAGUACCAACACCUUAUGGCAUCUCUAGUCGAUCCCCAAAAAACUAUGGAGGAGUAAAAUUUCAUUUUUACUCCUCUAACUAACACCUAGACGAUGUCUUAAAUUGGUUUCAGGAAUAAAAAAUUAAUAUUCGACCUCCCCGAUUCCUAAAAAUACUCCACCAUGGACAGCUAGACUAAAACUUCACAUUGCGUGAAGGCCCCCUUGUAAUCGGUCGACUACUCACGUGAAGCAUCCUUGUAUUCGGCAAUGACCUCGAGGCUCGUCAAUGACCUCGCCUUGAACAUUUCCUCCUCUGGAUGUGAACAUUGUCUCCUCUCGCCAGAGGCAUCUCAAGGGCAUGCGGUGAGAAGGUGUCCACCCGCACACUCAUGCAUGCAACGGGCUCGAAUCGUGAUGAUGACGGGAGCUCGUAUGAGAGUUGGUUUAACUACUGUGACAGAAUAUUUCCGAGAUUGUAAUAAGUGUAGCCUUCGAGAUGGUGUACAUGAAGGUGAGCACGACCAUCAUACUAGCCCCGCAAAAUAUGUUGCCUGGCGGUGCGAUGCCAUCACGGGGUCAAUAGCUUAUGUGCGACCUAUUUGAGGUGAAUUGGAUGGAGUGCAACAUUAUUUAAGCCAAUGGCUCUUGUGCGACACAUUUGAUAACGUAAAUAGCAAAAACACAACAUGGCCCUUAAACUGAACUGAUGUCCUCAUUAGCUGUUAAGGGUUGGACCCACCACUUAUCCAUGUAAGCACGGGACCCACCACUUGUCCACGUAAGCGCGGGACCAACCUAUUCACGGCUAGAAGAGACAAGUGCACAUGCCCAUCCGCCCGCCACCGCCGCCCAUUGCUUCCCCUUCGCCAAUCUUUCUCUUCUCCGGCGACCUAGCACACAUGUCUACCUCCUCCGCCACACACUCAGAAUGGCGACAGUAUGGUCGAAUGCCGCUCACAAGGUUCCCUCACUACCCACACCUAGAGCCUCUUAAACGGUGGGUUGGUAAGACUGAUGAGAAUGGAAAUCUUGGGUGCGAAUUUCUCAAAUGCUUGAUAAAAAAUGGAAGGAAGGGAUGGCAAAGUUAGAUCUCAGUUCUUAGCCCGUUCUUUCGUUGUUGUUUGCUUUGAUUUAUCCAUAUUUUAUUUUUUCUAGUUGAAUUUUUAAUUUAAGGUUCAUGUUUUUGUUUUCAGAUCCAGAAGAAAUGUACCCAUUUCGAGUGGAUGGAUGAGUACAUUGAGAGGAUUUCAGUUUGAGGGCUAUAUUGAUUCGAGCGGGGCCACAACCUGGGAGCUCAAUUCGGGCGGGGUGCAGCCGAUUAGUGUGGAGAAUUUGGGGAGUGCUACUGCAACAAAAGACCUUCCAACGGCGCCAGAAACGUGCUACGGCACCAGGAAUCCUUCUGCUAUGGCUAUGCCUUAAGGGACUUCCUAGGAAAAUAUGCAAAGGAUUUCCCCCGUGGCCUUGGAGCCUUGCGCUGGUGUUCCCUCGAAGCAGAAAGGGUGAUGUAGCGCAGCGGUGGUAAGUAUUUCCCUCAGUUUUGAGAACCAAGGUAUCGGUCCAGUGAAGGAGUAUCACAAGUGCCUACACAAACACAAAGAACCUGCUCCCAAUGCUAUGAAGGGGUUGUCAAUCCCUUAUAGAUUGUUUGCCUAGUGAGAACUGAAAGCAACAAAGUAACAAAGCAAAGUAAAAGCGGAGGUGUAAACGAUAGAUGUGAAUAGACCCGGAGGCCAUAGUGUUUAGUAGUGGCUUCUCUCAUGAAAGCAAGUAGAUGGUGGGUGAACGAAUUACUGUCGAGCAAUUGAUAGAACCGCGCAAAGUCGUGACGUCAUCUAUGGAAAUGAUUAUAUCUAUAGGCAUCAUGUCCAAAACAAGUAGACCGAUACUUUCUACAUCUACUACUAUUACUCCACACGUCGACCGCUAUCCAGCAUGCAUCUAGUGUAUUAAGUCCAAAAGAACAGAGUAACGCCUUAAGCAAGAUGACAUGAUGUAGAUGGACAAUCUCAUAUCUACGACAGAGCCCACCAUGUUACCCUUGAUGGCAACUACACAGUGUGUGCCUUGCUGCCCCUACUGUCACUAGGAAAGGUCAGCACACGGUAAGAACCCAAAACCAAGCACUUCUCCCAUUGCAAGAAUCAUAGAUCUAGUUGGCCAAACAAAACACAAGACUCGGAGAGACUUACAAGGAUAUCAAAUCAUGCAUAUAAGAAACCAGCAAAGACUCAAAUAUAUAUCAUAGAUAAUAUGAUCACAAAUCCACAAUUCAUCGGAUCUCGACAAACACACCGCCAAAGAAGAUUACAUCGGAUAGAUCUCCAUGAAGAUCAUGGAGAACUUUGUAUUGAAGAUCCAAGAGAGAGAGAAGAAGCCAUCUAGCUACUAACUACGGACACGUAGGUCUGAAGUGAACUACUCACGAGUCAUUAGAGGGGCGAUGAUGAUGAUGAAGAAGCCCUCCAACUCCAAAGUCCCCUCCGGCAGGGCACCGGGAAGGGUCUCCAGAUGAGAUCUCGCGGAAACGGAAGCUUGCGGCAGCGAAAAAGUAUUUUCGUGGAUCCCUCGGGUUUUUUUCUAUAUUUUAGGGAAUAUAUAGGCGAAGGACUUAGGUCAGGGGGGUGCCAGGGAGGCCACAAGCCUGCUGGCCGCCCCCCUGGUGGCGGAUAGGGGGAUUGUGGGCCCCAUGUAGCCCUCCUGGCUUGGCCCUCAAGCCCCCUGAUCUUCUUCCGUUCGGGAAAAAAUCAUUUCGUGGAUUUUAUUCCGUUUGGACUCCGUUCCAAAAUCGGAUCUGAAAAGAGCCAAAAACACAGAAAAAACAGGAACUGGCACUUGGCAUGGAAUUAAUAAGUUAGUCCCGAGAAAGGAUAUAAAAGGUACAAAAAACAUCCAAAGAUGACAAGAUAUCAACAUGAAACCAUCAAAAAUGAUAGAUACGUUUGAGACGUAUCAGGGAGCUCGGAGAGAGGGGUGGGUAGAAUCCUGCCAAUGGUGAGGUAUGCUAAACUGCAUGGGGAGUACGAACUGAACAAGGAACGGAAGAAGAUCAAGAAACAUCUAAUGCACAUGAUCGUUUUGCAGAAGCAAGCAAGUAUCAUGGCACGGGGGUUCUAUUCUUGUAUCGUUGCACUAUUUUUCUUUUACUUGUUAUUCAUCCGUCAUUAGAACGGACAUUUAUGCUUGUCAUAUAACUGAAUCAAAGCAUCAAUUUGGAAAAUUAUUUUGGAGGUGAAUCAAAGCUUUGGUGUUAAUGCCCCUAUUUUUUUUCUGGAGUUAACAGAGUGCACACCCAAAUUCAGUUUCUAGUGAAAAAGAAUUCUGGGUUGCCGAAUAGAUGUUGGGCCGUGAGAAAAACCCAAAUAACCAGGCCCAAAAAAAAACAGCCCACGCGCAUAGGGGCAGCAGCCAUAGAGGCACGCAUGUUGGGCCAAGAGAUUAUCACAAAAAAAUGUUGGGCCAUGAGAAAAGCCCAAAUUUACUUGUUCGACCGUGAGAAAAUCCCAAAUCUUUUUUCAUGGAACAAUGUAAAUAAAAGUGCGGCAAAAUGCAAAGAGUUAUCACACUUUUUUCUUGUUUUACUUGUCUUAACUCAAACACAAACUUUUCUUCUUUUAACCUUUGAAAAAAUAAUACUUCUGUUAAGUCUUGAAUGGUUCAUGGAAAUAUUUUUUAUUCCUACAAAAAUGGGACUUGCAUGACUCAUGGGCUAGGAAUAUCAAUACCCAAACAUGGGUUGGGGUAUUGAUGUUCAUGAAUUGUUCAAAUUUAAAUUAGGGUUGGGGUAUUCAAAUAAUUGUUGAAUUGUUCAUGGAAAUAAUACUUCUGUUAAGUGUUGUUCCAUAUGGUGUUACUUGCAUGGCUCAUAAAUACAUAAAAAAAUAGAACUUGCACAUAAUCAACCAUCAGGGGGCGGCAUGGAUACAUCUUCACUCCUCAUCUUCCGGUGGGUUGGCGAGGGCGAGAUGGGCCCGGGCGAGAGAGUGCAUGUGGCCCGGGGUGGGGAAGAUGUAGUCGAUCUCGCUGAAGAUGUUGUAUGUUCAGAACAUGAUGAACUCGCACCUACAAAAGAAGGACUAUGCGAGGAGAUGAUAGGCAUCAAAGGGAUUGGUGAAGUGGACGAUGAGGCCACUUCCUCCCAUGGUAACCGGCCCUAAUGAAUACAGACGCAAACUCCAUUGGACCCCUCCACCUCAAGAUUGCCCACACCCGGAGCUCGUUCUCGACCAUGACCCCGGCGGGGUACUCCCUCUCUGGCAUGAUGUUUGGCAUGAGGAAGGUUAGCCUGAUGUACUUCAUGGUGCCGCUGGCAUGGGUCAUAGCUUGGAUCUGAGAUGCAAGGGGAUGCGAGUGUGGAGUUUGGGGAUUGAGAGGGGAGAGAGGUGCGAUGUGUAGAGGUAUAAGAGGUGGGGUUAAAUAGGGGGAUCCAUGACACCGUUUGCGCUUCAUCGUGGUGGGAAAGUGCCCAGUGUUAAACAUGUCGCCCUUCAUUGUGGUGGGAAAGGGCCGGUUGGGAAACAUGACAAUAAUUGAUGCCUAAAUUUUCCCUUCGUGUAACGCGCAGCAUGCCGUUUGAAUGUCCUUUCAGUUGUGUCGAUACCCAUCAUGCCACUAUUGUGUCAUGGAAAGAGGAGCACGCCAUGCAUUGUGGUCUGCCCGCUGCAUCAUGGUCUCCAUGCCUUGAUGUGAUGAUGUAUCGGUGUUAAUGGUAGGCAUGCGACAGUUUACUGUGUCGAGAGGGGCGGUGGAGCAGGGCUACGUCGAGGGCGCGGCGGAGCAGCGCGGUGUGCAUGGUUGACUGGGCAUGCAUACAAGGAGGGAGCCCCAUUGUCACGCCCAAGAUGCGAUCCUAUUCUUAUUUUGGCACGAGGGCCUCGACAGGGAUAGAAGUGCAUCUCGUCAUUUCACAAGAAUGGAUAUCGUUAUAAGUACAUGUACAGAAGAGAAGAGUAUAUGGAAUUGGCUUACACUCGCCACAAGCUACAUCAGAGUCACAUCAGUACAAUACAUAAACAUCAUGAAGAAGAGGAGGGUCCAACUACGGACGAAAACAAACGAGAAAAGAAAACGAUGCCCAUCCUUGCUAUCCCAGGCUGCCGGCCUAGAACCCAUCCUAGAUCGAUGAAGAAGAAGAAGAAACUCCAAAGGAACAAUCAUCAUGCUCACGUCUUAGUCACCUUACAUGUACCUGCAACUGGUGUUGUAGUAAUCCGUGAUCCACACGGGGCUCAGCAAUCUCAUUUCCAAAGGUAUCAAGACUAGCAAAGCUUAAUGGGUGAGGUAAGGUUAAGUGGUGAGGCUGCAGCAAGCGACUAAGAAAUAUAUGAGGUGGCUAACUUACGAGUGCAAGAUUAAAGAGGGGGAAGAUCUACGCAUAGCGGAUGUGAGCUACAGAUGAUCAAAUGAAUGAUCCUGAACACCUACUUACGUCAAGCAUAACCCCACCGUGUCCUCAAUAGGAGAAGGAGGUCCCGAAAGAGACAGACACGGUUAUGCACUCAGUUGGCGUAUUUUAAUUAAGUUAACUUCAAGUUAUCUAGAACCAGUGUUAAACAAAGUUUCCACGUUGCCUCAUAACCGCAGGUACGACUUUCCGAAAUAUUUAACCCUGCAGGGGUGCUCCAACUAGUCCUUCACAAAUUACCACAAGCCGCAUAGAAAUCCUCGAUCAUGAAACUCGCGAUCUCAUCGAACUCCUUAGUGGAAAACCUCAACUCUGAGAUUACCCAAUGCAUCACCGGAAUCCCGAUGCACAAGACAUUCGUCAAAGGUAAAACUAAUCCAGCAAGGCCACCCGAUGUGUCGACGAUCCCGAUAGGAGCCACGUAUCUCGUUCUCAGGACACGAUGGAUAAGCGAAGCGUACGGUGGCCUGAUAGACAUCACCCGAGUUGCCCCGGGUUGGCCCCGCACGGUGCUCUGUUUGGGACCAGCACCAUCAGCAUUGGCCCUCCCUGUGUUAUGUAGAAUUACUCCUUGGGUUCAUGACGCCCUAUGCUUUUCAGUAUUAACAGAAUUAUUAUGUUGGGCAAAUAUAGUACCAAUGUUGGGCCUUGCUAGACCAGCUUUAAUCUNNNNNNNNNNNNNNNNNNNNNNNNNNNNNNNNNNNNNNNNNNNNNNNNNNNNNNNNNNNNNNNNNNNNNNNNNNNNNNNNNNNNNNNNNNNNNNNNNNNNNNNNNNNNNNNNNNNNNNNNNNNNNNNNNNNNNNNNNNNNNNNNNNNNNNNNNNNNNNNNNNNNNNNNNNNNNNNNNNNNNNNNNNNNNNNNNNNNNNNNNNNNNNNNNNNNNNNNNNNNNNNNNNNNNNNNNNNNNNNNNNNNNNNNNNNNNNNNNNNNNNNNNNNNNNNNNNNNNNNNNNNNNNNNNNNNNNNNNNNNNNNNNNNNNNNNNNNNNNNNNNNNNNNNNNNNNNNNNNNNNNNNNNNNNNNNNNNNNNNNNNNNNNNNNNNNNNNNNNNNNNAUGUUAUCACAUGGAAGCAACUGCACCUGCAAUUAGCAAAGCUAACACAAGGUUAAGCAAGAGGUAACAUAGCCAACCAGUGGUUUGCUAGGUUGUGAACAGGUUGUAGGUUUUCAUGGCAAUGUUGAGAGGCUGAUAUUCAACAGGUGGUAGGCAGCAAGACAUAAUGAUAGAAACGGUAAAACUAGCAUGGCAAUGAUAGUAAUGGUAUCUGGGGAAAUGGCCAUCUUUCCUGAGAUUCCGCUUGGAAGAAGAACGACUCCGUGAAGCAGACGAACCGAUGUAGUCGAACGGGUCCUCACUUUCCAACAUGCUUGCGGAACUCUAACGGGACAAAGGAAACCAGAAACAAGAAUCAACACACGAUGCACAACACAUAUGAUGCAUGAAUGGUUGAAUAAAUGAAAGACAUGGCAUGUCAAUUCACAAUAACCAAACACUACACAUUAAGUGAAGUUCAAUAUGCAACGAGUUGCAUAUUGACGAAACUCCACGUACGAAUUAUUUAGUUCUAUCCCGAUUAGGUACACGACAAUAUUAAAUGUGGUUAAACAUGGAAAAAGGUGAAGCGUAAUUAAUCUACUUAUCUAGGCAUUUUAAAUGAGGUCGGAAACGACAUAUAGCAUCUCCGGACUGACCUCAUACGUUAAUUUAUAAUUCUGUCCAAAUCUGAAUUAACACGUUUAAAUAUUCGUUAAACAGCGAAAUAAAUAGCUUCACGUGAAACUACACGUCGUUUCAAUCAAUUUACACAUAGAGAACAUCUCCAGCGAAGCUACGGUUCAAAAGAUACGAACACCGCAAGAUAUGAUGGCAUGAAUGCAAUAUGUGUGCAACGAUAGUCACAAGCCUCCUAAACCAAGAAGGAAGCAAUAUAUUAUGAAACUACACAAUAUUCUAAGCAAUUUUCAUAUAGGACAUGAUCAAAACGGAGCAACGGCUCAACAACUACGAGCUAAACAAGAAAUCACUACAAUCUGCCCAAAACAGCAACAUGGCAUUUUCUACACCCUUGAAAACUAGCUACACAAAUCCAAAAUGCUCAACGAAAGCAUGAGACAGUAGAGUCCAAUAUGCACUUCAACAACCUACUAAUAACAUUUAGCAUGGCAUCAUAGAUCACUAGGAAAAGAACUCACAAAAUGGCAUCUCACACACAGUUUCAGACUUGGUGAAAUAUCAGUUUUAGACAGUGCAAUUUUCGAUCUGAAGGCGUAUAGACUGCAACAAAACUAUAUGCUACAGGGCACCAAAUGGCAUGCAAAUUCACAGCAUGAUAGAGAAUCUUAAGGACUACAACUAACUCCAUUGCCCCAACCUCAAAAGAUCUACAGAUCACGAGAUAAACUUAUGGAAAGACAGCAACAAAAUAUAAAAGAUUUCAGACUUAGAAAUAUUUCAGCAUCUCCAAAUAAGCACUAUUUUCUAGCAAGUUGAGAACAAGCAAACAACACAUAAACAUGGAUUUCUAUUGCAACCAAAUUUACCAGGGCUAGUUUACACAUCCAAGGGCAUAUCUCUAGUUGACAACUCCUCCAUAUCAUGCAUAGAUUAAAUCCCACAAAAUAAACAAAAUGGCAACCUGGCAAAACAUCACGCGCACUAACUUGCUCAAAAGCUAAAACUAAAUGCACAGUUAAAUUCUAUGGAUUUUUCUACCCCAAAAACAUAUAUAACAUGUGGGGUUGCAAAAAUAAAAAUACCGCCACACGUAUAUGAGAGAAUAUGUCAUAAACGCGAUAUAACAAACUAGCGAUCGAACCUACAUGCAAAAAUGCAAACAACUACUCUCAAAUACAUGGCAAAAGGUCCCUCAAAAUAUGAGCAUUUCAUCUACGGGGUUUGAGCAAUCCGGACACGCGUGAAAAUAAAUACGGGACAAUUAUCAUAUUAGGACAGCAUGCAAAACUAUACAUACGGCAAGUCAAGUUACUUCAAACAUGUAUGCAGGCUGUAAAAUCAUAAUCUAUGCGGAAAACUACAGAAGUUACAUAUUUAAAACGUUUCAUCUGAUACACGGUUAAUUAACUACGGCCAUUUCAAAUUCCCGCAAUUUUCUAGAAUUAAAUAAAUCUCCGGAAAAAUCCUAUAACCUAAAUGGGCCGAAACUAGGAGGCAGCGUUAAAUAACUAAAUUACGCACGCGCGCAAAAUAGGGGGAACAAGGCGGCCUCACCUCGUGGUCUUCGGCCCAGGUGGAGAGGAGGUGCUGGGUCGGCUGGCGCACUGGGGCGCGCCUGGGCCACGGGCGCUGGCGCGGGGGGGUCGCGACCUAGGUGGAGGAGGCGCACGGCUGCGCCUCGUCGUUCUCCUCCCGUGCCCGAGGAACACGAGGCCCUGGCGGCGAGCUGCUGUGCCAUGGCGGCAGGCAGGGCAGCGAGGUCCUCGCGGCCGCGGGGAUGGCCUCCCCCGGACCGGAUCCGACCGACGGGGGUGCUGGGGCGGCCAGCUGUUGCAGGUCCGAUGACGGCGGCGGCCUGGCGAAGCCACGGGAGGGGCGGCAACAUGCAGCACCGGCGCGGGAAACCAAGGGGAUGGUGGGAUCUGGCGGAAUCCGACGCUGGAGGUCGGCUGGUAGUCGGGUUGCCGGCGGCGGCGGAGCAGGCAAGUGAGGCGGCGGCGCUCGGGGCAGAGGCGGCUCGGGACAGGCAGGGGCUGCAGCGCCGCUCGGGAGGAGGGAGCCGGCUGGGGGUGGCGCGAUCUGGGCCUGGGCGGGCCCCGGAUGGGCUUCGCGAGCCAGCGGCGUUGGAGGGAGGAGAGGGGAGGGAGGUGGCGCUAGGGUUUGGUAGGCACAGGAAAUGAGGGAGAGAGGGCCAGAUUAGGUAGGUUAUGGGUGUUUAAAUAGGAAAGGGGGCUAGGGUUAGCAGAAUUUCGUCCCGGUUUCAACCGUGCGAUUGGAAUCGAACGGUCUCGCACGCAGGGACGGCUAAGUGGCUGUGUAGAGUGGGCUAGCCGGAGAAGAGAGGGAAAACGGGCACCGGGCAACGCGGUUUAAAAUACCAAAAUACGUCCAACGAAUAACCGAAGACCAUGCCGCUACGGUUGACCGUUCGGGUACCAGACGGACUCCGAUUGCGACGAGAAUUGGCAGGCGGCCUNAGAAGGUUGAUGAUGACGAUGGCGACGAUUUCCCCUCUCCGGGGCCCAAGACGGACUGCAGAUCUGCCCUCUAGAUGAAGAACAUGAGGUGGCGGCGCAUCCGUAUCAAAAACGCGACGAAAACUUCUCUUUUUAUUUUUUCUGGGACGAAAGACAACUUAUAGAGCUGGAGUUGGGGGCGGCAGGUGCCUGUGGGCCCCACAAGCCUGCCCACCGCCACCAGGGGGUGGCGGAGCAGGGGCUUGUGGCCAACUGGCCCACCCCCUGAGGUGGAACUUGGCGCAGGUAUUUUUGAUAUUUUCCAAAACUGCUCCCCGUAAAUUUUCAGGAUGUUUGGAGAACUUUGAUUUCUGCACAAAAAUAACACCAAGGCAAUUAUGCUGAAAACAGCGUCAGUCCAGGUUAGUUCCAUUCAAAUAAUGCAAAUUAUAGUACAAAACAAGGGCAAAAGAGUUUGGAAAAGUAGAUACGUUGGAGACGUAUCAACUCCCCCAAGCUUAAAACCUUGCUUGUCCUCAAGCAACUCAGUUGACAAACUGAGAGAGAAAGAAAAACUUUGACAAACUCUGUUUGAUCUUGUUGUUGCAACUAUGUCUAACUCAUAACCAGAAUUUCAGCAAGAUCACAAGUUAACCACAUAAGCAAAUGACACAAAGGUCUCACGGUAAACUAAUAUCAAUGGCAUAAUCAGCUAACGAGCAAAUAAUAAUGAGUUUCAAAUACCAACACUUCAAUCAAAGCAAGCAUGAAGCAAUAUGAAUAGGUGGUAUCUCGCUAGCUCUUUCUGAGACCGCAAAACAUAAAUGUAGAGCACUUUCAAAGAUCAAGGGCUCACUAAACAUUGUAAUUCAUAGCAACGAAGAUCCAGUCAUAGUCAUACUCAAUAUCAAUCAAAAGUAAAGCAUUGAAAUGACAGAGGUGCUCUCUAAUUGGUGCUUACAUAAGAGGAGGAUGAAUCAACAGGCAAAUAAAUAGACAAGCCCUUCGCAGAGGGAAGCAUUGAUUUGAAGAGGUGCCAGAGCUCAAGCUUUGAAAACAGAGAUAAUAAUUUUGGGUGGCAUGCUUUCAUUGUCAAUGCAAUGACCAAGAGUUCUCAAUAUCUUCCAUGCUACUCAUGCUAUAGGCGGUUCCCAAAUAGAAAAGUAAAGUUUUAACUCCCCCACCACCAAUCAAUCACACUCCACGGCUAGCCGAAUCCUCGGGUACCGUCCAUACUAACAUCAAUCCGAGGGGAGUCUUGUUUUACAGUUAUGUUUUCGAUUUAAGCAUGGAACUGGGCAUCCCAAAUACCGGCCCCUUUCUCAUGAAGGACUGUGAAUAAACACAUGUCGAGGAUAACACUCCUAGAAUGGAAGAUACCAAUAGCCCUCUGUCACCACAUGAGCGGUUCGGACAUGCAAAACAGAUUUAUUUCUUGAAGGUUUAGAGAGUGGCACAUGCAAAUUUACUUGGAACGGCAGGUAGAUACCGCAAAUAGGUAGGUAUGGUGGACUCUCAUGGAAAAACUUUUGGGUUUAUGGAAGUGGAUGCACAAGCAGUAUUCCCGCUUAGUACAAGUGAAGGAUAGCAGAAGACUGGGAAGCGACCAACUACAGAGCGACAAUAGUCAUCAAGAUGCAAUGAGUUUGACUAACAUUAAAUGCAAGCAUGAACAGGAUAUAAAUCACCAUGAACACGAACAUCAUAGAGGCUAUGUUGAUUUUGUUUCAACUACAUGCAUGAACAUGUGCCAAGUCAAGCCACUUGAAACAUUCAAAGGAGAAUACCAUCCUAUCAUACUACAUAGAGUCAUCUCAAAAUCUAUGUUGGCAAUCAAGACAAACCAUUAUAAGCUCUCAGCUAAAUAAGCAUGGCAUCAGAAACUAUGAUCUCUAAGUUGUCAUUGCAAACAUGGUUCUCUCACAACAAAGCUAAAUUUGGGUCGACAAGCUAGUCAUAUUUACAAAAACAAAAUAGAUAGAGUUCAUACCAGCUUUUCAGUAUCAGUCACUUCAUCAUAUAUCAUCAUUGUUGCCUUUCAUUUGCACGAUCGAACGAUGAAAACAAUAAUAAGCGCAUUGGACUUAGCUGAAUCUGCAGGCAAACACAAAGGACAAGACAAAAUAAUAUGUCUCUUUGAAAGCUAAACAGGUGAGCAUGCAAGAAGCAAUAAACAUUGUAACCAAUAUCUUCUACCUUGACACAAAGAAAAAGAAAGCUAUUUACACGGGAAAGCUCCCAAAAAGCAAAAUAAGAAAGAAAAAUCUUUUUGGGUUUUCUCAAAAGGACACAAAACAAGAAAACAAGAAAACAAACAGAAACUAGCAUGGAUAAUACAGUGGUAAAGUGUAAACACCGGCUAACAAAGUGAAAGCAUAAGCAUGAAUGUAAAGUCGGUGAGAACACGUACUCCCCCAAGCUUAGGCUUUUGGCCUAGCUUGGUCUACUCCCAUGGUGGGAAAUAACCAGCUCCAGGAUACUCUGGAGCAGACUUUGGAUGCCACUGCUGUGCGAGCUCCUCUGGCUCCCACUGAUAAACUGGCGUGUGGUACUCGAUUGGCGGCUCGGGCACGGGCGCCUGUGGUUGGGCCAAGCCCCAAUAUGCGUAGAUGUCUGCGGGCAUAAUAGUGUACCUACCUGCAUGAAGAUCAAACAAAGAAGUAGCAGGCAAAGUAAUAGUCUCUCGAGUAGCCUGACUAAACACCAGGUUAUAAAUCAUCCGUCUACUAGCAUCUCUAUCCAGAAAAUCAUGGCGAACCAUGCUAUCAUAAUCCAGAUAUCUCUAAGGGAGGAGCAUCUCUCCUUCCUCUCCCAGUCUAAUGGGUAUCUCAAAGUGUUUGGCAAGAUGGGUAGCAUAGAUACCUCCAUAGACAACACCCUUAGAAUGGUUCAGGUUCAACCGUUGAGCUACUAUAGCGCCCAAGCUAUAAGUCUUAUCGUUAUAAAGGCCUUCGCGCAGAACCGCAAGGUCUGGAGAACUAAGUGAUACAGCCUCCCCACGGCCAAUCAAACAUUUUCCCACAAAUAGUGAGAAGUACCGAAGCACAGGAAAAUGUAUGCUAGCAAUUCUAGCGCGAGAUACUCCUCUCUCCUCUCCAACAGCAAUAGAACUAAUGAAAUCCUCCAAGUCCCGUGGACGAGGGUCACGGAUAUCCCCAACAUAAGGUAAUUUGCAUACAUUGCAAAAGUCCUGCAGCGUCAUGCACUGGGGAACAUCGUAUAUCAUGAACUCAACCAUGGGAGGAUUCUUCCUCGGAUAAAAGUUCAAGCUUUGAACGAAAAUAUUGGUGAGGAGGAGAUAUUGUGGGCACUUAUCUUCAACAAAC
rnacentral:lncRNA from 1 species